rnacentral:lncRNA from 1 species
UUCAUUUGAUCUCGAUUCUCAAAGUGUAUCUUUAUCAUGCAAGCUAAGCAGAACUAGACAGUAUAAAGAACAAUAUUUUCUUAAAUUAUCGGAUCAUGCUUUUAAGACAACGUAAAAGUACGCAACAUUAAACAUGAAUGAACAGUAAAGUGGACAUGGUUUUACUUUCUUUUUCUUGUUUCACAUUCUCUAGUAUUAUAUAUUCCGGCUUACACCAUUAUUAUAAUCAUUUAAACACGAUCACGAAAUCCUUAUAAGAUCAGGGAAAACAAUUCUUGGUCAUAUUUUCGUUCCUUGGAACAGGGAAUGUGCUUAUUGACGCUAGCAGUUUCAUUGCCCGGACUGAGGCCUCCGUCUUGUGGGCACCAAGUAAAGGAGGUGGAUUGCGAUAGACAUGCCUCAACAUUUCAAGUCGGCAUCUUCUACUGUGCAUUAUACAUAAUUGCAGUUGGAACAGGCGGAACAAAGCCCAAUAUCUCUACAAUGGGAGCAGAUCAAUUUGAUGAUUUUGAGCCUAAAGAAAGGUUACAAAAGCUCUCAUUCUUCAACUGGUGGAUGUUUAGUGUUUUCAUUGGCACCCUUUUCUCCAACACUUUCCUUAUUUACAUUCAAGACAAUGUGGGGUGGGAACUUGGCUAUGGCCUCCCUACACUUGGGCUCACAGUAUCGAUACUUUUCUUCAUUGUGGGUACACGUUAUUAUAGACACAAACCCCCAUCAGAUAGCCCAUUGAAUCGAAUGGCUAGGGUGCUCGUGGCCACUGCAAGGAAGUGGAAGGUAGUCGUCCCUGACGAACCGAAGGAACUUCAUGAGCUGAGCUUGGAAGAGUACUCCAAACCUGGCACGUUUAGAAUUGAGCACACCAAUUCUCUCAGGUGCACAUUUUUCUCCCAAAUAAAGAUACUUGGACAAGGCCACGUAGGCCCUGCUUGUGGGAGGGCGGAGGGCGCCCCCUAUUCCUUGGAUGUCCGUCCAGCAUAACCCUUUUCUCCUAUUCUAAAGUCAUUUUAGCAUGCGUAACAACUAAUAUAAAUCCCACGUCACUCGUGGAAGGUCUGUCUUAUGGGUUUAUAAGCAAAUUAGUGCCCUCCUCUUUCAAAGUCGAUUUUAAAGGUAACUCAUUGUCAUUUCACUUUCUUCAGCCUCCUGGAUAAAGCAGCAGUCGAAACUGGGCAAAAUUCGCCAUGGAUGUUAUGUCCGGUGACACAAGUUGAACAAACCAAACAAAUGAUAAAAAUGAUUCCAAUUCUGCUUGCAACUUUCAUUCCCGCUACUAUGUUCGCACAGACAAACACUCUCUUUAUCAAGCAAGGCACAACUUUGGAAAGAAGCAUGGGUCCCCAUUUCAAAAUUCCUCCAGGAUGUCUCUCAGCAUUUGUGACUAUUUUCAUGUUGACCAGCCUCGUACUAUAUGAUUGUUUCUUCGUUCCCUUUGUACGAAGAUACACGAAGAAUCCUAGAGGGAUCACCAUGUUGCAGAGGUUUGGGAUCGGCCUCGUGUUGCAUAUCAUAGUCAUGGUAACUGCUUGUUUAGCAGAAAGAAGGCGUCUAAGGGUUGCUAAAGAGAACGAAAUCUUUGAGAAAAAUCAAAUCGUUCCUCUUUCGAUCUUCAUUCUUCUACCACAGUUUGCUCUAAUGGGGGUAGCUGAUACCUUCGUAGAAGUUGCGAAAAUCGAGUUCUUCUAUGAUCAAGCACCUGAAGGCAUGAAAAGCCUCGGAACUGCCUAUUUUACGACUAGUUUUGGAGUUGGAUACUUCAUAAGUAGUUUUCUGCUGAAAACUGUGGCUGACAUUACCGAGAAACGUGGAAAAGGAUGGAUUUUGGACAACCUAAACGUCUCUCGUUUGGACUACUAUUAUGCUUUUUUUGCUGUGCUCUGCUUUCUCAACUUACUUUACUUUCUGUUAGUUGCAAAGCUCUUUGUUUAUAACACAGAACUGAAGGAUACCGAAACGGAGUUGCAUGAAGCAAUCGAGGCUCGACCGAACAAGUCUACACGAUCGGAGGAAAUAACGUUGGAUGAUAAAGCAAGCUCAUAGAAAUAUAAAAAAAUCCCAUGAAAUUUUCCAAGUCUUUUUUCUCAAGCAUGUUUAUCGUUUUCCUUUACUACUCUUUUUUCAUUGUAUCUAAUUAUAUUUCCGCAAUAUAACAAUUUAGAUCACAUUGUAAUAUAAGAAUAAGAUACAAAAAUUCAUCACUUGUUUUGUAAGUAGAUAGUAUUUCCUAAAAAAAAGAAAUUAAAAUCUUGUAUAUCAUAUGACAGUGUCUUAUCUCACACUAUGACUAAAAAUUCAUGGCUUCUUAUGCUACCAUCUGUAUCGCGUUCUUAAUGGCACCUCCACAAGCUGCAAAUAAGGGCUCGUUCGAUAGUGAUUAUAAAAAAUAAUUUUUUUAUCGUUAAAGAGAAAAAUGGAUCCCAUUUAUAAGUGAAAAAGUCAAAAAUGACGAUUGAAAAUAGUGAAAUAAUGGUUAAAAAUUUGAUUUUUUUUUGAAAAAUUGUUAACAAACCUCUGUUUGGCUUCCAUUCUCCUUCUCAUUCUCUCUCUCUUAUUUUCAACAAUAUAAUCUUCCAUAAAAUAAUAUUACAGGCAAAUCAAAAACUUUUGAUUUUUUUUCAACCACCUAUUUUAAAAAAAAAUCAUUAUACCAACCAUUAAAAUUUGAAAAGAAUUGGGGUCAAAUGGGGGCUAAAUCUAAGAGGUCACUCUCGUAGGCCAGCACAAAAUCCAUGCUAAAUAAUGACAUACAUGACUAAACGUAUUGUACUUAUUAUAGCAAUUGAAAAAAGGAAAAUAUUAAGAGCUGACUAUUUUACACCCCAACAAUCUCUUUUUGAAUAUCAAACUUUCAUUUUGGUCCCAACCUACUUAUGAUGAAUUAUGGGAUAAUGACAUAGAUAUGCCAAAAAUUGGGACCGUUUUGAAAAGUCAGCAUAAAACUUAGGCUAGCUAGAAAUUACUUCAAACUAUAUAAUAUUCACUGUUAAAGCACAAUUAACCCUAACCCCAUCGUUUAAAAAUUUCUUUCAAUGAAAUUGAAAGUUAGCUAAACAUGAUUUUUUUGUGACUCGAAUUCAUGAUUCUGGCUCUGAUAACAUCUGUCAAGAUUGAAUUUCAACUAUCUCAAAAAGUUAAUUGGUGAGCACUAAUGGAUUGAGGUAUUCUCAAUUAAGCUAUUAAUGUUGUAAAAAGUAAGUUUAUUACGGUUUAGAGGUGAAUGACAAUUAUACCCCUACAGUUCUAGAAAUAAUUACUGUUGUAUCCUUGAUUCUGCCCUAUAAAUACAGUGCUUUGAUUCUUAAUAAAAUACACACAAGUCUAUUGAUUUCUCUCUGUUCUCUUCUCUUUUCAAAAUACGUUAUCAGUACGAAAAACAUAAUUCUUCAAAUUUUUGAGAGGAUAGUCAUUUUUUUUUAUCACAUAUAUUAAAAUUAAUUUGAUAACACCUGAUUUUUUUUAUCUAUUCUAUUCAUGCAUCCAACUCACGUCUAUAAUUGGGUAAAAAUCAUGUCUAAUUAUUCGUGCAUCAUAGCGGCCGUCAAUUAGUGCCUAACAACUCGCUACCAUCAAUUUGUAGCUUUUGCCUUUACAGAGAUAAAAUAUUACUUGUACAAUGCCUUUUUCGUUUGCUUCUUUAAUUGUCGUCAAACGUGUAAUGAUGAAAAUUUAGCCUGCAGCAUGUCUACCAAAUUAACUGUGUAAUGGUUUACACGUAAUCCUAUGUUCAUGCCUUCAAUUUACUUGGAAUUGCCAAAUUAAUUGUUUAUUUGGUUUACACGUGAAUUUUGUUCAUCAAUUCUGCUGCCUAACAUAUGAUAUAGUCUAAACUAUUUUUAUAGCUUUUGCCAUCAAUCUUUAUUUAUGAUUUGAUUUGAUCAAUGCACGCGUCAUCCUCAUUAAUUAUUGCCAUCAUUAAUAAUUUUUAGUUGUAUUUACGUUUCUUCAUGUGUAAAUUUGGUGAGAAAAUUUAACUAUUCAGUAAUUUUAAUUAUCGUUCAAUUAAUCAUCGAAUUUUUGUUACAAAAUUUUGAUGCUCCUGAAGUAGCACAAUAUUAUAAUUACUAUUGAAAAAUAUUAUUCGCUCCUGAAGAGCAUGAAUUUUAUAUAUAUUUUUUCAAUAUUCCAGAAGAAUAUAUUGACGUAUUGAUCUUGAAAAAAUCAUAAUAAAAUACAACAUGCUCCUGAAGUAGUAUAUGUUUUGAAGAACAUAUUAUUUUUAUGUUUAUCUCUAAAGGAAAAUACGUAACUUAUUUUAUGUUGAUAUUAUUACUUGAUUACUUAUUAUAUAAUGUUUAAUCAUAUUUUUUGAAACUUAUUAUAUUUUCUUUUACUUUAUUGUGUAGUUAAUCAAAUGACAAAUAUCAUGAAACUCAAGUUUGAUGCACUUUAUAUAUCUGGCAAAAAUUAUUUAUCAUGGGUACUUGAUAUCGAUACCCAUCUUAUCUCAAAAGAUUUUGGAGAGACAAUAAAAGAAGGAAACAAAGAAUCCCUACAGGAUCAUGCAAAAGCACUCAUCUUCCUUCGUCAUCAUCUUCACGAUAGAUUAAAAAUUGAAUACCUCACUGAGAAAGACCAACAUGUUCUUUGGAAAAACUUAACUAAAAGAUUUGAUCAUUAGAAGACUAAAAGCAUUCAUCCUCCUUUGUCAUCAACUUCACGAUAGACUAAAAAUUGAAUACUUCACUGAGAAAAAUUCACAAGUUCUUUGAAAAAAAUUAACUGAAAAAUUUGAUCAUUAGAAGACUAUAGUCUUUGCCAAAGUCCGUUAUGAGUGGAUGCACUUUCAUUUGCAAGAUUUUAAAACUGUUAGUGAGUACAAUUCUGAAUUGUUCAGAAUGUGUUCAAAAUUGACAUUGUGUGGAGAAAAAAUCACUGAUGAAGAUAUGUUGGAGAAAACUUUUUCCACCUUUCACGCCUCGAAUGUGCUCUUACAGUAGCAAUAUCGUGAGCUUAGUUUCAAAAAAUACUCAGAACUUAUAUCUUACCUACUUGUUGUUGAACAGAAUAAUGAACUGUUGAUGAAAAAUCAUGGGUUACGUCCAACUGAUUUUGUACCAUUGCUUGAAGCAAAUGCAAUAUCAAGAUAAGGACGUGACAUAGAUGUGGACACGUAUUUGGACGUGGACGCGGACGUACACGCUGAAUAAAUCAUGGACAAAAUAUUCAACAAAGUUUUCAACAACCAGGCAAUAUUUUCAAAAGGCACAAAACAAAUGAAAGUAGCACAUUGAAAAGGGUACAUGAAGAAAGUUGCUUUAGAUGUGGAAUGAAAGAGCAUUGGGCACGUACCUUUCGUCUGGAAAAACACAUUGUGGAUCUCUCCUAAAAAUCAAUACAGGGAAAGGGGAAAGUGGAGACAAAUUUUACUGACUAUGACGGUUAAAUUGAUGUGACUCAUUUGAAUGUUUUCGAUUUCUUUGCUGAUCCAAAUGGGAAUAUUGAUCAUUUGAUUAGGGAUGAUGUGAUGGAAGAGAUAGAUUAGUUUUUUAUAUUUUUAUGUUUCUAAUAUUUCAUUUUAUUUUAGAAAUUUAGUUUGAAAUAUGUUUUUACUUUUCGUAAAAAUUUUGAACUUUAUUAUGCAUCGUUAAUUUCACAGUAUUAAUUAUGCUUAUUAUUUUGAAUUUAAAUUCAAGCUUCUUUUUUUAAUAUUGAUAAAUCAUGAUGGAUUGUCAAAACACCUGUUUGAUUGAUAGUACUACUACACAUACUAUUCUUCAAGACAAAAAAUAUUUUUGGACCUAACAUUAAAAGAAAAUAAUGUCAAUACAAUAUCAGAUGCAUCAAAUAUCGUUGAAGGUUCCGGAAGAACUUGUGUUAUUUUACCAAAUAAUACAAAAUUGUAUAUUGAUGAAGCACUUUAUUCUAGCAAAUUCAGAAAAAAUUUACUUAGUUUUAAAGAUAUUCGCUACAAUGAAUAUCAUAUUUAGACAAUACAAGAAAAUAAUAUUGAAUAUCUUUACAUAACUUUUUUAUAUCUGAUUAGAAGCAGAUAAAAGAAAAAUUUUAUGCAUUCUCAUUUCGCAUGUAUUAUGCAUUUAUAAAAAUGGUUGAAUCAAAUAAUGUCACGAAUCAGAAGUUCGUUGACCCAAAAAGUUUUAUAAUUUGGCAUGAUCGACUUGAACAUCCAGGAACUGUAAUGAUGCGUCGAAUAAUAAACAAUUCACAUGAACACCCUUUAAAGAACCAAAAGAUUCUUUUACCAAAUGAUUGUCUAUGUGUAAUUUGUUUGUAAGGCAAGUUAGUCAUUAAACUUUCGAUUACAAAGGUCAAUAUUGAUCCCCAAUUUUUUUUGAAAAAAAAUCAUAGAGAUAUAUGUGGGCCAAUACACCGACCAUGUUGACCAUUUUAUUAUUUUAUGGUAUUAAUUGAUUUUUCUACUAGAUGGUCACAUGUUUGCCUACUUUCCACUAAAAAUGUAGUUUUUGCUAGACUACUUGCUCAAAUUAUAAAAUUACGAGCAUAAUUUUUCGAUUACUUAGUUAAAACUAUUCGCCUUGACAAUGCUGGUGAAUUUAGAUCACAAGCAUUCGAUGAUUAUUGUAUGUCAAUCGGGAUUAUAAUUGAAAAUUCAGUUGCGCAUAUCCAUACAUAAAAUAGUUUGGCAGAGUCGUUUAUUAAACGUCUACAACUUAUUGUUAGACCAUUACUUAUGUAAACAAAACUCCCAGCUUCUGUUUGGGGUUAUGUCAUAUUACAUGCUACAUCAUUAGUUCGUAUUGGACCAAUUGUCUAUAAUCAAUAUUCACCUUUGCAACUGGCAUUUGGUUAUAAACCUGAUAUUUCUCACAUACGGGUUUUUGGUUGUGCAGUCCAAGUCCCUAUUUCAGCUCCACAACGUACUAAAAUGGGUUCCCAACGAAUACUUAUGAUUUAUGUGAGUUUUGAUUCAUUAUCAAUUCUUAGGUAUUUUGAACCUUUAACAGGGGAUUUAUUUGCUGCACAUAUUGCAAAUUGUCAUUUUGAUGAUAUGACUUUUCCAACUUUGGGAAGGAAAAACUACAACCCGAAAAAUAAUGUAAAAUUUUUUGGAAUGAAAUAACUCUAUCUUACUUUGAUCCCCGCAACAAUCAAUGUGAGCAAGAGGUUAUAAAAUCAUUCAUUUGUAAAGAGUUGCAAAUCAAUUACCUGAUGUAUUUGUUGAUACAAGAAAAGUGACAAAGUCAUAUAUUCAAGCAGAAAAUAUUUCAGCAAAAAUUGAUGUCUCUACAGGACAAUCUACUGUUGCAAAUAAAUCUCAAAUACGUCAGAAGCGUGGUCGACCAGUUAGUACAAAACACUAUGUACCUCGAAAAAGAAAGGUACAUGAGAAAAACCAACCAAAAACUUCCAAAAAAGUAACAUUAGAAAAGAUUGAUCAAUCAAAUAUUGAAAAUAUGGUUCUCGAAGAACCACAUGUGCCUGAAAAUAAUGAGAUUCCAAUAAAUUAUAUGUUAUCUCAUAAAUUAUGGGAACGAAAUAAUGUUGUUAUAGACAAUAAUUUCGUCUUCAAUGUGGCUCUUGAUAUUAUGCAAAAUGAUGAUCCUGAACCAAGUCAGUUAAAGACUGUUAAAAUAAAAAUGAUUGGCCAAAAUGAAAAGAAGCCCUACAGGUGGAAUUGAAUUCCUUAGAGAAAUGAAAAAUGUUUGGACCUGUAGUUCGAACACUUGAAAAUGCAAUCCAUGUUGGAUACAAAUGGGUUUUUUUGCGAAAGAGAAAUGAAAAUAGUGAAAUUACAAGAUAAAAAACCCGACUAAUAGCUCAAGGUUUCUCACAAAGACAAAGAAUUGAUUAUGAGAAAACAUAUUCUCCCGUAAUGGACACAAUCACUUUUAGAUUCUUAAUUAGUUUGACUGUUUCACAAAAACUUUAUAUGCGCCUUGUAGAUAUAGUAACUGCAUAUUUGUAUGGUUCACUAUAUAUGAAAGUCCCUGAAGGACUUAAGGUACUAGGAACAAACGAUAGAUGGUCGAGAACUAUGUUUUCAAUUAAAUUGCAAAGAUCAUUAUAUGAAUUAAAACAAAUCGGACGCAUGUGGUAUAGUCACCUUAGCAAAUAUUUGUUGAAUGAAAGUUAUAAAAAUGACGAUAUCUGCUCAUGUGUUCUCAUAAAGAAAACAAAUAGCGAAUUUGCAAUUGUGGCAGUUAUGUUGAUGAUUUAAAUUUAAUUGAAACCCUUAAUGAGGUAUUAAGUUUCUAAUUCUAACUGCCAUUAAUUUAGGCUUUAUAAGUUUGACAAGAGAUUAAUAAUCCGAAUAUUAUAGAUUAUCUGGGUUUACAUGAUGAUUGCAUAAUUGUUCAUUAUUAGAUUUAAUUGUUCUGUCAAAUUACACAACCAGUAUUAUGUGUUAGAUCUAGCAGUAGCUAUGCACUGUGUGAAUUCUUCCACAGUAAAAUUUGAAGUAUUUUCAAAAUUAAUAAAAACAAUUGUGCUUCUGUUAAUACAAUGUGACAACUAUCUUAUUAUAUUUUAGAUAUCUAUAACAUUAUUCAAAUCAAGCUGAUUAUUUUUCUUUGAAUUAUGGCAUACUUUUAUACUGUUACCUAGAAUUUUUUUGGUGAUACUUGAUACUUUCUAGCUUAAUUAGAGAAAGUGUCGAAUAAUUAUAUAGCUUCUUCAAAAUAAGUAAUUCCACCUUACUCAUUUUCAACAGGUUCUCUUAAGUCCAUUGUAUUACACAGGCUUUCAAUCUUUCUAGACAUUAAUUUGCAAUGAUAAAAAUGCAUAAGAUAUAAUUAGAAUAAUUUCUUUAAGGUGAUUCAUAUUGGUCCCAAGAAUCUUGCCAUGGUGUGCGGCAGCUCAUUAGCGUAUUACACUAGAAUAUAAUAGUCCAGCUAGCACAAUGCUCUCUCAAGUUUAUACUUUUUUUUAGAGAUCCCAAAAAAAUGUUUUUCUGCAGCAUUAUGUGUAAUAAUAGUAAGAGAAAUUUAUGCCAGAAAAGGUGAUAGUAGUAUCCAUCUCAACAAAUUCCUCAUCCACUAACGUUUUAUGCAAGUGUUCAAGAGCAUAUAUCUAUGUCAGUAAUCGUUAUGUAAAUUGCCGGAAUUAACUAUUCUAUUAUCUUAUAACUAGCAGGAUAGUAUUAUAUACGUAAUUCCUUAUUAUCAUGAUAGCAUUAACUAACUGGAUGUAGCACACAAUAGAUGCAUUUUUCUUACAUUAACCAUUUGGUACCCAUUUUUUUCAAAAUGCAUUUUUCUCUCUCUUCUUUUCAAUCACACAUUCUUUAUUAAAAUAAUAUUACACAUAAAUAAAAAAACUUUUCAUUAAAAAAACUUUUCCCAUCAAUUUACUAUUCAAAAAUGUAUUUUUACAUAAAAAUGUCUCCUAAACACUCCCUAAAUAUUAACAUCGAUAUUAGUAUUUUUUUCGAAAUUUUCCAAUAUUAAUUGAUGGAAUGGUACAGAGACGAUACCUACUCCAUUUAUGGAGAAUAUUGUAGCCAUUUAAAAAAACUUUGAUGCUACUUUCAAUGCAACUAUUUUCCUGCUCUUUUCUUCUAGUAAUAACGCCGACAAUCCUUACAAAGAAUGGUUUCUAGAAUUCUUGAUUACAUUUGACCUCUCUAAUUUUAACUCUUGGAUCACCCUAGAUGCUGGAAAAUCGGGACAUUCCCCAAUUUCAAUAUUAACUUCCACUACUAAAAAUCAUGGCUUCAGGCAUAGAUUUUUCGUUCCUGAAAUCUCAAUAUCCGUUGCUAUAACUCUUUACUAACGGAAUAUUUGCAAUCGCAAAUCCGUUGCUAAUUUGAGGGUCGCUGAUAGUUACCAACAUAUCCUGCAGUAGGUAAAAAAUAAACAUUUUAUCAACGAAUUUUUCAUAGGUAAAGUGUGAAUCUUUUACCAACGAAAAUUUGAAUCUUUUACCAAUGAAAUUUUCGGUAAAAAUCUUAACCAAUACCAAUCGACUUUUCGUUAGUAAAUCUCUACCAUUACAAUUGGUAAAAAUCAAUGUUUUAAAUAGCCGCAUAUGUGUGAGGCAUGGUAAGAAAAAAUAUUUAUUAUUUUAUAUUUGUUAUUAUUAUUUAUUUAAUUAUUCUAUUUUAUUUUUUUUACUUUUAGCCAACCAAACUGAAAUGCCAAAAUAUUGUUUAACCACUCAUUAGAUCACAAAUUAAUUUAUAGAGAGCAACUCCGAAGACUUUGUUGUGAACUUUCAAUAUGGGAUAAGUGAAUUACUUUUACCAGCGGAUAAUCCGUUUCUAAUUACCAACGGAAUAUCCAUAGUUGAAAUAUCCAAAUGUUAACGAUUACAUAAGGCACAAAAUAUCCCUUGGUAAAAAGAUACUAUCGUUACCAAUGAAAAAUUCGUUGCUGAUUAUCGUAGUUGAAAGUGAAUUAUCAUUACCAACGGAUAAUCCGUUUCUAAUUACCAACGGAUUGAAUCCGUUGGUAAUAUUCGGUACGUCGCCUACGAAUAUUCCGUAGGUGAAAGAUUCAAAUGUUAAAUGGUUACAUGAGACACAGAAUAUCCGUUGGUAAAGAGAUACCAACGUUACCAACGAAAAAUUCGUUGCUGAUUAUCGUAACUGAAAGUGAAUAACUUUUACCAAUGAAUAAUUUGUUUCUAAUUACCAACGAAUUGCAUCCGUUGGUAAUUUUUCGUAGGUGAAAAACUGUUUUUUAGUAGUAUUCUGACAUAAAUUUGAAAAGGAAACCCAAUGAAGCUGGACAUCGAGAGGGAAAUAAGAAGUCCAAUGCUUCAUUUAUCAACUGUGUUCUUAAUGGAACUGAUUCAUCUGAGAGAACUGACAAAAGUGUGCAAUUAAGUGAUGGUAGGAAUGGAGAAUUUGAGAAGCAAGGUGGAUGUGACAUGUUUUUCAAAGUUGGCACUCAGGUAUCUCCAUUGCAGUCGUCCGAUUGGAAUGACAAAAUGACCAGUGUGUAAGAACUAGAUAUGAAUCAGGUUUUGAAAUUUUCACCUGGUGGCUCUCCUUCCUUUGGUGAUGCCAAAGAUGCAGAUGUUUGCACUGAUGAUAUAGGUAGUAGAAAUGGGGUAAGAUUCAAACCCUCAUUUCGUUUGAGUAUAAUUGGAAGUACAAAAUUUCCUUCGAUUACUCAACUUGCUGCAUCAUUCCUUUAUCAAUUGAAUUCAAGGUAACACAAGUUGGGUUCAUCUGUUUACCACAAUAUUGAUCGCUGGGUGAACUAUUAGAGUAAAAAUCUCAAAAGGAAAUAACUAUGAACAUUUUUUCCUACUCUCGUAAUUGAACUUACUACCCAUCAAUUGAAUUUAUACACCAUGAAAACAAACUCAAUUGUUGUAAGAUGAUCGACAUGUCAGGACUUUGAUCACAAGAUUGUUCUUUCCAAUUGAAUAUUGGUCAUGUUGAAAUAGCUCUCCAGUUGUCUUAGAAAAUCGAUAUGAGUUAACUUCAAUAUCCCUUGGAAUUAUGGAGUACUCUUGUCCUCUUUCCUUGGUCUAAAGCCCUGCAUGACAUUUCUAUCCACUGAAGUCCUCGCCUUGUUAUGCUGAUUGAUGGAACCACGUAUACUAGUAGAAAUUUUUGCCUUUAUGAUCAUCAUGUCGAGGCGAUUAGAUCACUCCCAUUUUCAUAAAAUGCGAUGUUCACUGAAGUGCUAGUAUCAGUGAUUUCAGGUGAUUCAUCUUUCUUAAUAGCAUAAUCAAUAGCCAUCCAUCCUAAAUGGAGAAGAAUUCUCUCCUUCCAUACUUUAUAGUUGUCACCCUUUAAUUCAUGAAUAUCACAACGAAUAUAAGAGAAAUUAGAAGGUUGUGAAGUUGCAUAAUAUUAAAAUUUGCUUAUGUUAACUUAAGGCUUAAUAGAUUGCAUGUUUUACCGAUGUAAAUGUGCUAAAAUUGAAUACAAUGACAUAAAAAUUGCCUAUAUGUUGAAUUUUUAAUUCAAACAUAUUCAAUUAUUUUUUAGAUAAAAUUAUCAAAUUAUAUAGUCAAUUCAUAAUUUGUUCAUUAUGAAAUCAAUUUGAUAUUCUAUCCUAAAGAAAUCUUGUAAUAAAACUAUCAAAUUAUAUAUUUAUUCAUAAUUCCUAUGGGAAAAUUAUGAGAUAAUUUGAUAUUUUAUUCUAAUUAAUUAUAUAAAUAUAACAAAAAUCCUCGUGGGAUAAAAUUCAUAAUAUUGAGUAUAAUUAAUUACUAUUUAAUAUCAUUAAUCAUUAUGUGAUCCCCAUCUUAAUAUAUAAAUUUAUUUAAUUAAAGAUGCUGUGGCUAAUAAUUAAAUAAAUAAAAUCAUACUCAUCCCUAGACAUUAUCAUGUUGUGCAUAAACGAUUAACUUAAUAUGAGAAUAGGUCUAAUUGCACAAUAUUAACUAAUAUGUUAUGAUUAUACACAAAAUAUUCUCAUAAACAUUCUAAAUUGAAUAAAAUAAUUUAAACAUAAUCAAUUUAUGCAAACUUAAUAUGAGCAUAAUUCAUAAUUUAAUACAUCCUAAAAUUGCAUAUAUUAUUCCAAACAUAAAUAAUUAACAUAUGCAAAAAUUAGGCCAAGAUAUAAGAUAUGCCCAUAUAUCAAAUAAAUAGGGCAACUUACAAAAAUACCCUUAAAAUUAUGAGGAUUUUGAAAAAUCAUAUGAAAAGUUUUUUAGAAGUAAAAAAUACUAUGUAAAAUUAAAAAGUGACACGAUGCCACUUUUUUAUAAGAGUUGCGUCACUUUUUUUUAGAAAAAGUGACACAAUAUCACUUUUAAAAGUUUUGUAUCACUUUUUUAUUAAAAAAAUUACAUACAAUGUUACUUUUAUUAAAAAGUACUGUUUGUAACUAAAAAAGUGAUAGAAAUUUCAAAUAAGCAAUUGAAAAAAGUGAUAAAAACUAAAAAAAGUGAAAAAUUCAAAAAAGUGGGAAUUACUAAAAAAAAUGACAAAAAUUCAAAAAAGUAACAGAAACUUUAAAAAAGUGACAAAUAUAAAAAAGAGACACAAAUUUAAAAAAAAGUUACACAUAUUCGAAACAAAUGAGAGGGCAUAGAAAUCAAUUGUUAAGUGUCAUUUUCUUAUUAAAAAAUGAUAUAACUAUGUCAUUUUUAUUAAAAGUGAUGUUUGUCAUUAAAAAAGUGAUAGAAAUAAAAAAUGUAAUUGAAAAAAGUGACAAACACUAAAAAAAAAAAAGUGACAAAUUCAAAAAAGUAACAAAAAAAAAGUGGCGAAUUCAAAAAAGUGACACAAAUUAAAAAAGGACACAUGUUGAGCUUGUUCAUCACAUGCACCUUCCAUCUUUGCCUCGUCAACAAUGUGUAAGCUGAAAUCCAAUAGUACCUAUGCUACCAUGAACAUUAUCUAACUAAUAUUUUCUAUACAAUUAGACACAAACUUGAUAAGUAAGGGAAAAGAGGUGUCGACUAUUCGUUACUGAUCGCAUGUAAAUUAAUAAUUGAUUUUAGAUGGUAAUGGACUCCUUAAUUUAUUGUUCAGUGUACUAAAAUAUAUCAUAACUCCAUUGAACAAUGAAUCAAAAGACUACUCAUAUCCACCUAAAUAAAUAUUGGGCACAACCUAUAAUGUGGCCAUAAGACUAUCUGGAUUGUCCAGUUUGAGGCCAUUAGACCUUAAGGGACUAAUCCUAAUACAACCCUUUUUCGAUGGUGAGUCGAGGACUCAAUCAGAGAAGUAUAUGGUGCAAUCACAAUGCUCCGCCCUCACACUGGUGGCUUCAGACACUUACUAGAAAUGAUAUACCAUGUCACUUUUAUUAAAAGUGAUAUUUGUCAUUAAAAAAGUUAUAGAAAUCAAGAAUGUAAUUGAAAAAAGUGAUAAACACUUUAAAAAAAGUGACAAAUUCAAAAAAGUAACAAGAAAAAAAAGUGGCGAAUUCAAAAAAGUGACACAAAUUAAAAAAUGAUACAUGUUGAGCUUGUUCAUCACACGCAUCUUCCAUCUUUGCCUCGUCAACAAUCUGUAAGCUAAAAUCCAAUAGUACCUAUGCUACAAUGAACAUUAUCUAACUAAUAUUUUCUAUACAAUUAGACACAAACUUGAUAAGUAAGGGAAAAGAGGUGUCGACUAUUUGUUACUAAUCACAUGGAAAUCUUCUAAGCAAAGAUUGAGAUUAGUAAUUCAAAAAUUUGUGAGUUUGUAGUAACAUUUGUUUUCAUACAGAAAGAUCUAAUCACCUUUGCCACAAGGGCACCUGAAAUGAAAUUUAACCAUAGACAUAAGAUGCAAAUUAUACACUCAAGAUGUAAAUAAAUACCAAAGCAACAAUGGAACAAUUACAGAAAAAUCAUAAGGUCUACAAUUAUUAUUUUUUAAGAUUAAGCUAUGAAUUUAUACCAGAAAAAGAAAAACAAGAACUCAAUCUUUUUCUUCACAUUCAAAACACCUUAACUAGUCCUCCAAUUCAUGAUUUCACAAUGGAUUUUAGUAUUAUUCAUUAAAUAAAUAUUACCCAUGGUGACGAGGAAUGCAUUGAUGAUGGGGAAUAGCGGGCUAGAAACACUGAAAGUUUAUUGACCAGAAAUCACCAUAAUGAAAUUACAGAUUUAGGACUUGAUUGAGACUGAUUCAUGAAUGAUUAAUAGUCAGAUUUGGUAUGAUAGUGGACGGCGGGAGAAAAAACAAAUCAUUAUAUUAAUUUGCGUGUCCGUUUCCUUGUGGAUCCACACAUUCCUUCACAAGAAUCAACUGAAUGGUAGGGUGCGGUGUUCGUGGAAUUAGAUUAGUUUUUGCCUUGUUUGAUUUUAUUGUAACAGUAAAAUUUACGGUUAAUUAAUGCUAAUGAAAAGAUAAAACUUUAAAAGUGUAUUAAUCAAUUUUUUAAUAAAUGUGCCGUACGGGGCCUAAUUUUACCAAAUAAAUAUGUCGAAGAAUUAAUUGGCCCAAUAGACAUAUAUGUGCCGAAGAAUUAAUUCUGUAAAAAGCAAUCUAGUAAAAGUGUCGGUUAUAGCCCAACUAUUAAUUGCAUAAAGAAAACAGGCUUCAUGAAAAUAACAGGCCCAAUGAGAAUUAAUCCAAUUAAAAACGGGAAUUUUCACGUAUAUCCCAAUAUAGAAAGAUAAUUCCAAAAUCACUAACACAUUUUUUUUAUUCCUAAAAUACUAUAUCUGGCAACAUAAAAUUACCAAAUAACCCAAUUAACAUAAAUAUAGGUAACUGAUUGCAAUCAAGAUACAGACUUAUCUCCAAGUCAUUAAGUAGUUCCUAUAGUGUAAGGAUUUAUUAUAGAAACAAUUGGAUUAUUAAAUAACAUCCUGUUAUAAAAAGAGAGAAAAGAGAAGAGAACAGAGAAAAGUCAAUAAACUUGUGUCUUUUAUUAAGAAUCAAAGUCCUUUAUUUAUAGGGCAGAAUCAGAGUUACAACGAUAAUAAUUUCUAGGGUUGCAGGGGUAUAAUUGUCACUCACCAAUAAACCCUAAUGAACUUUCCUUUUUACAACACUCCCCCUUGAAUGACACAUUAUAAAAUAUGUAUCUCAUUGAAACGUUAAUUAGCAAAAAUCCAAUGGGACAAAAUGUCAACAAAAAGAGUAAAAAUAAUUUGAAAUAAUAAGAUGCUGCCUCGUUAAAACUUUGUCAAGAAAACCCAGUGGGACAAAACUUGAUUGAAGUAAAAAGAAUACGCUACUCCCCCUGAUUUCAAUUCUUGUAUUAAUUCAUCAUUGCCUUAUACAUCACUCAAUUUUUGUGAAAUGCCUUAUGUUGUCUUGUACAAUCUUCAAAUAAUACCAUCUUCGUAAGUGAUACUUUAUCAUUCUUUGAUAACUGUAGUAACAUGAUAAUUCGAAAAUAACUCUUGUUGAUUUUUUCAAGAGUCUCAUACAUAUAAUGUAUUAUUUUGAGGGUAAAUGUCUUGCAUAUUAUAGACAUUAAUUACACGAAGAAUAUGCCUCAUUAAAACCUUAUUAGGAAAAAACCCUGCGGGAAAAAGUCCUAAUGAAGGAAAAAGAGUGCAUUAUUCUUUUGAAUACACUACAAAAGUUGCCUCAUUAAAAACCAUGCCAGGAAAAUCUAAUGGGAUAAAACCUUGGUCAAGGGAAAAAGGGUGCAACGCGUAUUUACUCCCUCUCAUAUUAAUAUCAAUUGAAUUAUGAUUCAGGCAUAUUAAAUCUUUCAAGGUAACAUGGAUAGCCAAAUGUAUUGUCUAUAAUCAAAUUUGUGUCAAAUUCUACGCAUUGUCAGGCUAAUAAAACUGAGACUUGUAAUUAUAUUCACCACAUGAUAAUUUAUUUAUCUAUAUAAGUUUUCACGAAAUUCAUUAUGUAAAAAGUUGUACAUUUCACAUUACGACUUUACUUUUUCCAUUUUCAUUUCGCACAAGUAUACACCUCUUGGUGUUUGAACUGUAUAUCCAGAAACUUCAGGUUUCUCUAGUAAGUUUAAUUUGACUAGGAUCACGUUCAUUUUAUUUGGCCAAUCACUAUUUCGAUAGAUAUAUUUCAACGAAUUUAUUUCAAAUCCUCGCUAUAUGAUCGAGCACAUCAUAUGUAAAACUAUUGUCCACAACAUUUUCUUCUCUUGUUCGAUUCUAUUUCUUUUUUUAUGAUGACAUAACUUAUUGAGAUAUCUCAGUUUUCAAUAUAUCAGGUACCUGAACCUCUUCUGGAAUUUUAUAAUAUGUUAUGUCUAAAUACUCAUAAGUGUGUAUGCCUCAUCAAUGAGACCAUCUUUGUUAAUUGCUCCAUUUGGAGAUUUUUUGUGUUAGAAUCGAAUAUCAUCACGCUCAGGCGUGUUAUUAAAUAUCAUAUUAACUAAUUGUCCUCUGUAACGUUAAUUCAAGUUGGAGCAUUUGAAACUGAUGUGAAAGAUAUUAUUGAUCCAUUUGAUCAGUAUAUGCAUCUAAAUAAAUUAUACUUCGAACUUCUUGUUCGAGUAAUCUUUUGCUAGGAUUUAGAUAAUGAUGCAUUUAUACAUUAUUUUCAACUUCUUAAUUCCUCCCCCUAAUGCCGAGAAAAUUGUCAAAUCAAAUUGAUAAAUAUUUUUACUACGUUAUAAAAUAUCACAAUUUGUAAUAAGGGUUCAUCAACACAUUUAUUCUCAACAUUCAUUACUUUUCAUCUCAGUGCAUUGUGGUGGAUCAAUUUUAUACAUACUGCAUUAUAAAAAUAAUUAGAUGAAAAAAUUAGGCUACGACCAUAAGCCAAUUUUAAUAGGGAAAACUAUGAUAUUGGCAAGAUGCGUAAUAACAUUCCCUAGAUGGAAAUAGGAAAUACAUUAUUUUCAAUUAAAUUAAUUGUAGACGUUUAAUAAAGAAACUUGUUAAAUCAUUUAUCAACAUCUCAAAAAGAACUCAUUAAAAUGUUGAGAAUUAUACCUACUAGCAUUAACAAGACACAGUUUUGAUUAUUUAAUCUGAAAAUUAUGCUCAUACUUUAAAAUUUGAGCAAUAAUUUCUCAAACUUCAGGUUGCGAAUAUCAUGCAAUCAUCUACUAUUUGUAUCAAAUUUAUUAUAUACAAAUAAUAUUCAGAUGAUCAACGUGGUGGGUGACGGGGCCCAUAUAUCACCCUAAUUAAUUUUCAGAUAUAUAGAAAAUUCAAUCCCAAUUUUAGCUAGUGGCCUUUAAUGAUCAACUGUCGAUAAUGAGAACAAAUGAUACAUAGAAAUUUAUAGAAUUAAAUAAUCUUCUAGUUCUUGAUUUUGAUUUCGAUCAUUGUUGAUCCAGUGAUGGUCCAACUGGUCAUGCAAUCAAACUGAACUUCUGGUUCAAUGUAAGAUAUAAUCCAAUUAUUUAAUUUCGAAGAAUAUGAUUAAAUAUUAUAUAAUCAUAUAAUGAUCAAUGUCCACGUGACAUAAGUCGUAUACUUUCCUCCAGGGAUAAACAAAAAUUCAAAAUGAUAUAUUCUUCGAAAACUUGCUACUUCGAGAGCACAUUAAUUAUUGCUUCUUCAAGAGCAAUACAUAAAUAUUUUUCUGAAAUAUUGAUAUAUACCUAGUUUUGAUUAUUUACAAGUGAUAGGAUAAUAUUCUUCAGGAAUAUUGACACAUUUAAAUUAAUCAUAACAUUUUUCUAAAUUAUUAAUAUGCAUAAAUUUGUGCUUCUUUAGGAACACAAUACUGUAUUCUUCAAGUAAACUAGUAUAUAUUAUUUUUACUUCUUUUGGAACAAUAUAUCAAUAUUUUUCUUAAAAAUAUUGAAAUUAUAACAACGUGCUUUCUAAUAGCAUAUCAUUCUUUGAGAAUAUUGAAUCACCAAAUAGUAUGCUCUUCUAGAGCUAUAAAAUUGUUUUGAAUUAUUUGUGUUUCUACAAGAACACAACGAGAUAUAAUUCUUCAAAAUGUGUGCUACUUCAAGGGCAUGUCAUGUUUUAUUAUUAAUUCUUCAAAAGAAAUAUAUCAACAUUCUUCUGAAAUAUUGAAAGUUAUACAAUAAUUUAUUCUUCAGGAGUAAAAACACAAUUUUCUAAUGAUGCUCUUUGGGAGCAAGUAAAAUAUAACUAGAACAUUAAUAAUAAUAUGCUGAUUCAAGAGCAAAAAUAUUUUAUAGUAGACAAAUAUACGAGUAUUAAAAUCAUGUAUGAUAAGGGUAAGAACGAGAUAAUUAAUCAAACGAUAAACAAUAGUAAUUGACAUUUAGCGAUGAACCUAGUUUAAUAUAUGAUAUUUAUACAAUCACAAACUGUAAUAAUUAAGUGCCUACUUUGUUUAAUAUAAACUUAAAAUUUGUCACCAAAAUUUAACUAGAUACCGUGACAUAAUUAUGUAUACAUAUACGUGUAAAAUUAAUAUUACCUUCUAUCGAAUAUGAAGAUGAAUUGCAAACUUGCAUAGAUAGCAUUGUCUCAGAACCUCCAAAAAGGUACAAGAAGGAAUUGAUGAUAAAUUUGGGUGGCUGCAACCUUGGAUAUCAAUCAUUAACCACGAAGGAGAAUUACACACAUGGUGGUCACACAUCUUGAAAAUGGUCAUGCACAUAAUUUAGAUAAAUACGUCUAUUAGUAAUAUGAUGCUCUUUUGGAGCAAUUAAUAUUCUUUUGGAAUAUUUUUAUAGCAUGGGUUGUGUUUUUUCGAGAAUAUCAACACUAUAUUCAUUUAAAAUAAAUAUAAUUUAAGUUAUACUUCUUCAGAAAUAUUGAGUUAAUAUUCUUCUGGAAUAUUGAAAUUGUAAUAUCAUGUUCUUCUGGAACAAUUAAUAUUCUUUUAGAAUAUUAAUAAUGUUGUGCUACUUCAAGAGUACCAACAAACUCUUGUAAAAAUAUUAACUCUAUAGGAGUGUUAUCAUUAUAAAAUAUUUAUCUGUAUGAAGAUUCGCUCUUCAAGAGCAAUAAGCAUAAUAUUCUUCUAAAAUAUUAAUUAUAAUGUUGUGCUACUUCAAGAACAAAAUAUUUGUAAUAAACAUAUUUAUGAUUAAUAUUCUUUUGGGAUAUUAAAAAAAAUAUUGUUCAUGUAAUGUUGUGCUACUUCAGCAACAACAAAAUACUCAUCUUUGAUAUCGAUCUAAGAUAUUUCUCAAAUCAAGAAAUAAACUAAAUUUUAUAAAAUCCGCUCUUUGAGAGAGAGUAAUAUUCUACUAGAAUAUAACCAUCAUAUGAAAUUUAAUAACCAUGAAUUUUGGAUUCUUCAGGAAUAACAAAAUAUUCUUCAUGACCAAUAUGUCAAUGUUGUGCUACUUCAGGAGUAACAAUAAAAUAUUUGUAGUAGACAGAUCUACAAAUAAUAUUUUCAACAAUUAAUCCGUAUUUGUAAAGCUUUAUUAUUGUUAAUUUAUAUGAAGUACACGAAAAUCGAACAAACAUUUAUAUAUAUAUAAAUUUCAGACAUUAUAUUUUACCAUAUAAACAUGAUAUGAAUUUAUAUGGAAAAAUUAAUUACCAAACAUGUAUUAGGAAAAAAAUCUCCAUACAUAAAAGUUAACAAAAAUGGCUACAUCUUUUAUUAACUAAAUUUUUUACCAAUAUGCAAAAAAUACUAAACAUGCAUGUGAAUUUCACAUAGAUAGAAAUUAAAUGUAGAACUAAUAUGUGACAAAUUCAAAAGACAGUAUUAACACUGAAUAAUGCAUGAAAAAAAUGAUUGAGUAUGAAUCAAAAGACAUGAACUGAUAUGUGUACAUAUUACACACAUAAACGUGAAUUAGAAUUAAUAUGUAUACCAACGAAAAGUAAAGGAGAAUGAACAACUUUGUUAUGAUGUACAUGUAUAUCGAAAGAAUUCACAUGACACCAAAUUAAUUUUGGUACAUAUGAUAAAUAUUUAUACUUAUAAAAAAAUUACCCCAUUCACUAAACUUUUAAAAAUUAAGCUAUCGUGCUGACAACGUGUUAUAAAAAGAGAGAAAAGAGAAGAGGAUAGAAAAAGUCAAUAAACUUGUGUCUUUUAUUAAGAACCAAAGCCCUCUAUUAUUAGGGCAGAAUCAGGGGUACAACGGUAAUAAUUUCUAGGGCUGUAGGGGUAUAAUUGUCAUUCACCAAUAAACCCUUAUGAACUUUCCUUUUUACAACACAUCCGUGUGUAGUUGGAGGUAUAAUUCUAAAAUCCCUUUUUAUUAUUUUUGAAAUUUCUAUUUCAGAUCACUUCACAUUACUAAAUAAUGAAAAUUCAUGUCUGGCAAUUUACAGUCUUAUGUUAAUUUUUAUUUUUAUUUUUUUCCUUUCCGAAAUGUAAGGCAAUACAUUGUAAGUGUUGCUAUAAUAUAACUUGUAAUGUCUUAACAUUUUUAAGUAUAUUAUUGUUAUGUGUGGAUAUAAUUCUUAUUUUUGUAUCAUAUUGUAUAUUCUAUAGCAAUUAUGGAAUGUCUAAAGGAGCGAUAUUAUGUAAUUUAUGAAAAAUGGAAUGUUGCGAAUCUUGAUAUGUUCUUAUAUGAAUCUUGAAUAAUUAGUGGUUGCAUAUAUAACAUUUUGUUACAUCCAUCAAUCAUAUUUUGUUAUGAUGUUAUGUCAAAUUAAUAAUAUAUAUGGUAGAUUGUUUACUAUAUUUUUGUCAGGUUUUGUGAAAUUGUAUUGUAUAUUAAAAUAUAUUACACUUGGUACUUUGACAACUUACAUGUAAUAUAUUUUGUCGUGUCAAUCAAGGGUAUUCUAAGACUGCUAUUUGAUUUUAUAUUUGACUAAAAAAUACUAUAAUCUUUGAAUUGUAGAGAGAACAUACAAUCUUUGAAUUGUAGAGAGAACAUACUGGAAUUGAUGCUCAAAAUUUGGAGUAAAAGGGACUGAGAUGAGAAAUCUUUGGGAUGCUUUGAAAUUUUUUGGAUUAUCAUAGCUUUGAUUUUGAACGUAUUGUUAAAGUUUGGGGUCCAUCUUAAUAAGGUCAACCUUGUUAAGAGGAGUGUCCCAAUCCUUUAUAUAUUGGUCAUUGUUUCGGUAUUUUACCGAUGUGGGAUUAUAUUCCCUUAACAUGCCCCCGCAAGAUGGUGGCUCGUUUGAGCAGACCAAUCUUGAAAUCCGUGUGCUCAUUUUUAGAGACUUAAUCGGAUCGAAUUGCUCGUUGGAGCUUAAUGGGCUCUGAUACCAUGUUAAAACUUGGGGUCCAUCUUAAUAAGGUCAACCUUGUUAAGAGGAGUGUCCCAAUCCUUUAUAUAUUGGUCAUUGUUUCGGUAUUUUACCGAUGUGGGAUUAUAUUCCCUUAACACGUAUGUGGUACUAUGAUUUGAGAAAGUUUGGAUGGUUCCACAUUACUUUGGGAUUUUUAGAUGAUAAAUUUGGUGUAUUUGAUUAGGUGUGUUUAGAGGAGUGAUAUAAACUGGUUAACUAAUUAAUUGUAGGAGUGAAGUUGUUUAUGAUAUUUUACUUUUACUUACUAGAAUACAGUAUUUCUAGGAUAAAAAAAUGUGAAAAUGUAAAAUUUGAAUUAGUAAGUAAAAUGGAGUAAGACGUGCAAUUUCAACAUUCAAAUAUCUUAUAACCUUUUUUUUUUUUUUUUUAAAUGGACCAGACUCUAUAUAUAUAUAUAUAUAGUCCUUAGCCCAAUAAUUGACUAAUUCAAAUGAAUGCAAAUGAGUUACGUUCAUUCCUAAAAUUAUAGUCAACCUCUAACGAGUUGAAAACAAUCCGACUCCAAACCCACCUCAAACUCAACAUUUCCUCCAUCAAAACUCAAGUUUGAAAACAUACAGAGUCUAGAAAGGUGAUUUUAUGGACAAAUCUGAAUUUAUUUUCAGAAAAGGAUUUCGACCAAAAUUCAUAUUUUUACGUAUUGCUCCAUAAACAUCAAGGCAGAGGUAAAAUGAAGCUCUAAUACCAAAGGUAAGACAAAAAAAUCAAUCAUAAACAAUUAUAAUGUAAUGAAUUGGAUCGAAAUAUCGAAAAACCUGUGGAUCGAAUCCAUACCUCCGACAAUUGAUGUUGAUUCAACACUCUUAAUUGAUGGUGUAUAUUGUAUUUUCCAGUGCCGGAGGGGGGGGGGUGCUGAGCUUGAGUAUCAAAACCCAUCUAUAUAUAUAUAUAACCAAAAUCCCCAUCAAAUUAUGGCUUCAGUUACCAGCCUUGAUUGUCCAAUUGAUGGGCAAGUUUUUGAAAAACGUUGGACCACACUGAGUGAAGAAAUGGAACGAUUACACAAUGUUGUACCAGAUUCCUCCUAGGAACACACAAUAACUAGCGGUGGACUUACGAUUAUCUAUACAACUAGCUCACUUUGCAUUUGAGUAAGCUUCAAGCAACGAACCUAAAAUGAAGACCAAAGUUUAGUAGUAUGCUUAAGAUAUAUUAGAUUUUGUUUGUAGGCCUACCAAUACAUUCAGAGUUAAAAUAAUUACACAUCAUCAUAUCAUCAAUUAAAUCGAGACACGGUUUGAAUAGAACAUGUAAUCAAAGAUCUUGAUUGUAUAACACCCACAAUAUCUAGAUUGCUCGGAUACCAAUUAUUGAAAAGAGAACGAGAAUUACCCAAAAAAAAAAAAAAUCCUUAAUUUAAGAAACUGAGAUCAUACUAGAUAUUCACAUAUAUGUUAUAUUCUUGAAUAUAUAAAUUUAGAAUUUUCCUAAAUUCGAUAACCAAAUUCAUGGCUAGAUCACGAACUGUCAUCUUUUUAUUUCAAGAACACGAUGCUUCCAACUUUCAAAUCUUCUAUGAUAUUUGUUAUAAAAAAGUGAGAUGGGAAAAAAAAAAAGACUGGUAGGGAAGGAGAAAUUAACCAUAUCAAAGAUUAUUACAAGAGACGCUACCACUCCGAAUAAUAUAAUGUUAUGAAACCUUAAUAUGUAUUGUAUAUGCAAUAAAAUAGGUCCAUAUCCCGAGUGGAGCCCCUACACCACCGUAGGGAUUAGUGGUGGGCUGCAGGUCAGGCCUCUCAGCCUGAUCACUCCGCUACCUUUUUCUCAUAAUUUUAUAGUUUCACCACAUAUGUUGCACCACCAGAUUUCCGUUUUGGGUCAAAUAAAAUUCAGGUCACCAUGUUUUAACAAUAUUCUUUAAAGUCAAGAGUACAAAUGAUCCUUUCAAGAUACUCCAUAUGUACAAGUGUCAUCAUUAAACUAUUUAUGCAAUAAAGACAAAUCAUAAUCUCAAAUAAUAAAUUAGUCAACACGACAAGUUUCUAAUACAAGUCAGACCUUAUAUAUCAAUAUUGAACAAGUUUAUUUAUGAUCAAAAUAUAAGUAUAGUGUACUUCUUCACUGAAACACCCACUUAUAGUAUCACUACUGAUCAUUGACAUUUUUAUUCAAAUGCUCUAUAUUAAAUAAAAUGCAAUAACACUAAAUAUAUAAAAAUAAUGUGUUGUUUAAUAAAAUUUUCAUUUUACAACUCUGAAAAACUAUAUUAUAUAGACAUGCAACCCAGUGAUUAUCCUCCUUGGGAGAAAGAACACUUCUUAGAGUUGGAAAAUUCUUCCAUAUGGAGGAAAUGACUGAUUUCAUGGACUUGAGGAUUUGAGUAAAGAAAUUGAGCUCUUGUAUUGACGUUGUCACCGUUAUCUUUCUUCUAGUCAUCAUUAGUCACUACUUCUUUCACUAGUUUGACUUGACUGACGAUAAACGAUAGGUUUUCCAGUCUUUGGGAGAAGGGAUUCAACUUGGUCGUGUUGUUGCUUCCCAUCUUGGCGGCGCUUCCUACAAGAGGUGUCAUUUUGUUGAUCCAUGAUUUUUUUUGGCAAAUAUUGGCCAACAUAGAGUGAGUUGUAACUUGUCUAGGCAACAGAAUCUUGCUUCUUUUACUUUCUCUCCAUCUUAGACUCCACAAAAGUUAUUUUACUUAAUGCACUUAGUUCAACUUUAGCGAUCAAGUAUAUCUAAUUAAAGUCCAUAUUUUCCGUGUAAUUAUCUAUAGAUUGUGUUCCCUUUAUUUCUAAAUUUCUAAUUCUAUAUUGUAUUUCUCCGAGAGUUAUGUAUAUUUUAUUUAUUCUAUUAUUUGUAUUGAUUAUUCUAUCCUAAUCUUUCUAUAAUUUGCUAUGGUUUUUACGUUUAUUAUGAAUUUCUUCUUUUAUUCCUAAACAAUUAUUACACUAAAUUUUCAAACAAUUUUACAUUAAUUUCUAUUCUUAUGCACUAGGUAUAUUUUACAUAUUUUAUAUUUAUCCAUCAUUUAUGGACACAUUUUUAAAAAUUCUAUCUCUUCUAAACUACUGUUCUAUACCUGUCUUCAGAACUACUUAAUAUUUCUAAAUUGUCUAAUUCCUCAUUUGUAUGAAUACUAUAUACAUACAAAAUUCAUUACCUGAUAAUUUUAUAAUGUUGUACUAUAUUUCUUCAAUUAUCAUAUAUUUAUUUAAAAUUUCUCUAUUUUUAUUUUUAUUAGUGCAUUUAUUAGCAAAAGGUUUGGGUUCUCCACAAAUAUAACAUUAUAGUCUUUUCAACUUUUUGGCUUUUUAACAUGCCUUUAGUAACUGGGUCUUUUAAUUUUGUAAUAUGUCAUACUCGGUCUAAUAUUAUACUUUCUUAUUUUGGCAUUUUCUUUUGUAUUUAUGAUUUUUUUAAUAUUUUUUAUAUAUUUUUUUUCUUUCUUCUUCUAUAAUCAUAUGCCUAUCGUAAUGAAUAAUUUAAUUUCUACAUUUAUUUUCUAAUUAUUUCUUUUAUACAAUAAUUUUUUAAUUUAUCAGUGAUUAAUUAUGUAUUAGCACUAUAAAUUUUUCGUUUUAUUCCAGGUGCUGAUUCUACAUCAUUUUCUAAUCUUAUCAUUCCAAGGUGAUAAUAUCUUUCUAUAUAAUCUGUGAAGUAUAGAUACAUCUAAUGCUAAUCUUGCUACACUAGCUAGUCUUUCAAAGUCUAAUAAAAAUAGUUUUGUGUACUUCAUGUUGCUUAUAAUUAAUUUUUCUAAUUCUUCAAAGGCUUUGUUUUGUUCAUAUGAUUUAUCUGUUCUAGGGUUAGAUCAUAUAAUUAUUUCUCUAUUAAAGCUAGUAAUCUUUCUUGGAUUUUCUCCUUUGAUCAUUAUUAAUCUAAUUUCUUUCGACUUUAGACUUUUGGCUGUAACAUAUAUGUAUAAUGUCAUCUUUCCUAAAUAAGUUUCUAAAUAAGCCCACAUUUCUUCUAAAGUCCUUUAUGUAGGUACACUAUUAUAUGCCUUAAUAACAUAAUUUUUUCCAUUUAGUUAUUGUAUUAGGUUUGUCUUGAGGUUUACAAUUAUUUAUUUCUAAAAUUAAUCAUCUAUCACUUGCUAUAGGUAAACUACAUUCUCCUUCUACUUGUCUUUUUCUCAAACUUUUAUAUUAUGUGUAAUAUCCCGAAAUUUUAGUAGAAUAGAAUUUAAUUUUUUGGUAUACUAUAUUUUAAUGUUUUGAAAGUUUAGGGACUAAAGUAUAUAUAAAGUAAAUUUCAAUUGGGUCAUAUAUUUAGAUAAAUAUGACCGAGCAAUAAUAAAUAUAUAAAUAUUGGGCUCGUUGGAUAGAUCAUAAUUAAAAAUGCAUAUUAGGCUCGAUAAAAAGUUAAUUUGGAUUAGCGGAGCCUAAGUUAUUGAAGUCGGAAGAUAUAACCUUAAAUUAUAUUUUAAAUGAGUUUAAAAUUAGAAAAAAAAAAAAAGAAGAUAAGAGAGAGAUAAGGAACCACGAGAGAGAGAGACAGAGAGAGAUGAGUUGUUUAAAUUGAAAUUCAAAUUGUUUGAAAUACUGCCACGAGUAGUCGAGUAUGGAAAUAUAUUGAUUUUUGGGUGAUAUGAUUGAUUGGCAAGACUUUGUCUAAUAUUUUGUUUCAAAUACGAUUUCCUCAACUUUUAUCCCAUUUAACCACUAUAUCUUACACGUUUCCCACUACAUGCCAUCUGUUGGGAAUUAGGUUAUUGUUGCCCAUAUAUAUCUAUACAAAUAUGAUAGAGGGGACAAAAAAAUAACACGAUGAUCACAGUAGAAGCAGAAAAAAGGGACGUGAUUCUUAUUUUGUCUUUCAAAAAUCAAAGCAAGUUCACAAGGUAGGAUAUUGAGAUCUAGUGUUUUUCUAACCCAUUUAAAUAUUUGUUUUUCAUGUUGAUGAAUUUCAUACACAUAAAAGUUAAAGUUAUAAUAUGAUAUACUAUGAUAUGAAUCAUAUGACCAUUUCGGUAUAAUGAUAUAAUAUGAUAUGAGCUCUUACCGAAUUUAAAGAUUUAAGACAGUAUAAUAUUCUGACACAUGUUUUAAAAUUUUUAUAAGGGAUUGCACCAUAAAUUUUUAUAUCCUACUGAGUAUUCUCAUGUACUCACCAUUUUUCUUACACCUCAUAGCUUAGAUCGGGUCGUGUCGGAGCACGAUGGUUCGAUGGUGUGGUUGUGCCUCGUUUUGCUAAAUAAAGAUGUAAUUUAGAACGUAAUUUUAUUUCUUUUAAGUUUAUUGUAAAAGAUGCUUAUUUCAAAAAAAAAAAAUUAAAAAAAUACGUACAUGUUUAUUCGCAGAUGAACAUAUGUAGUUUGCAUUUUAAAUAAAAUUUGAAUUAAAUAUUAUUUCUUCUACUGAUUUCAUUGUUUAAAAGUAAUUGGUUAUGUAGCCUUGUUCAUGUGAAAGAUUAAUGUUAUGUACUUUUUCGUGACCUUCCCAGAAUUCAUGAAAAUUUAAGGUCAAAGCAAUGAUUCCUUACUUGUCACAUCACGCUUUCAUUGUCUCCCUUGGGUAUACUACACGACAAAUUGGAGACUUUAAACAUGGUUGACUGGUAGACAUAUCCAUACAUUCAAUAUAUGUCUCAUAGCCUUGUGAUGUAGUGUGUGAAUUCUUUAAUAAAGUAAGACAACUUUUGGUAGUAUUCUCUCAUUUUGGAGCCGUGUCCCAAGUCUUGAAAAAAGAGAAAAGCAUAUUAACUUUGAUUGGGAAUUUCGCUUAUUCUAUGUAAAUAUUUGGAAUUCAUCUCAUAUAUAUAUAAUGUCAGAUGGUAAUUGUUUCACACGUGAACAAUUAAAAGAACGGGUUUUUUCCUCUAAUCAUUAAAUUGCAAAUUUUAUGUGUUCUUUUUUUUUUUUUAAUGUACACGUGGAAGAUAUGGCGUAGGAAAAUAUUUUUUCUUUCCUUUCUAUUGAUUAAUAUGUAUUUCUUUUUAUGCAAAUUUGAGUAAAUUAUCAUUUCAUAAUUAUCUAUUUUAUUGUGCCACGCUAUUUAAAUUUACAUGAAAAUUUUGGUAACGAUUCAAACCUUUAAUUAAAUUUGGGUCGUUGCAUUUUAUCUUCCCAUUCAUAUAAUUUUUUAGGGUAAAAAGGGUACUUCCCUGCAAUAUCAUAUUUUUUUAUUCAUAAUCUCUUUUCCUUUUCUAGAUUUUUGGUCUGUUUUCAUUUACUUUCAACAUUCUUUUGAUCUUCCUCUAAUAAAGCUUUUAUUUCUACUUCUUUGUACUUUCCAAGAUUCAUAUAUUAUUCAAUAUCUAUAUAUCUAAAAAAAAUUUCAUCAUCUUCGCUUUCGUCUUCACUUUGCACUUCUUCACUAUAUAUAUAUAGUGAAGAAGUGCAAAGUGAAGACGAAAGCGAAGAUGAUGAAUUUUUUUUUAGAUAUAUAGAUAUUGAAUAAUAUAUGAAUCUUGGAAAGUACAAAGAAGUAGAAAUAAAAGCUUUAUUAGAGGAAGAUCAAUAUAUAUAUAUAUAUAUAUAUAUAUAUUCUUCUUUCAUUCUCAUCUUUUUUUUCUUUUGUCUAAUAAUUAUAAUUUUCAGUAUAAUACUUAGAGUUCCAUUACUAUUUUUAUAAAUGAUAUUAUACAAUAUUGGUUUUUUCAAAAAAUUUCUUUGUUCCAAUCUAAACCUGCAUUUAUUUUUGAAGAGAAUUUUUUUAGCUAGGAUGGUUUUUAUACCUUUUAGUUCUAAUAAAAUAAUUAUUUGAUUAUGUUCUAAUUUAUAAUUAGUAGUGCUAUUUUCACUAAAUCUUCUUAUAAAUCUGUACAAAUUAACAAAUUAUCUCAUCUCUUUUCCUUUUUGUUCUAGUAACAUAAUUGUUUGAUCAUUUCUAAUGUAUAAUUAGUAUUGCUAUUUUCACUGAAUCUUCCAAUCAAUCCUGUACAAAUUAACAAAUUAUCCGCAUCCCUUUUCAUUCGAUAUUCUUUAGAUUUCACUCAUAUUUUAAUGUCUAUAUAAAAACUUUUUGUUUUAACUAAACAAUAUAGUGUAAGGUAAAUUAUAACUCCUUUAUUAUUCAUAUCUAAUUUUAUUCUUCCUAAUAGUCCUUAUUCUAAAAUUGUAAAUCUGUUAUCAUAUAAACAUAUUUAUAUUUUAGCUCCUAAAUUUUCUCUUUGUAGUCUUUUUACUACUACUAUAUUUAAUCCUAAAUGAGGUCGUUGAAGAUUUUUAUUAACAAUUUCUUUAUACGAUUCUUUUUCUAUUAGUUUUGAAGAUACGAAUUGGUCUUCGUGUGUACAUGAAACAUGUCUUUCUACAUAAUAUUGCUAUAUUAAAGACUUGUUAAAGAUAUAUUCCUUUCUUAUAAAUGUCUAAAACUUUUUCAAAUUUUUAACAUAUUUUGUCUAAAAGUUUUUAUCUAUUCCUCAACAUCUAUUAAAGAUUCUGAUCUUGUUUCCGUUUCUAUUUUUUUCUUAACUUAAUGAUCUUAUUAAAGGAUUGCCUAACAUUCUACUACAAGCCACAAUUUGUUUUCCUUUAUUCAAUACGUAUAAAUCCACUUAGUGUUCUUAAAUCUACUAGAUUCUUUAGUUUUUCCCAAGUCUAAAUUUUCUAACUUAUUUAUUAAAAUGUCAGUCUUGUUUAUGAGUACCUAUUGAUUUUUCUUUUUCUAAUUUUUGUAUUCUACUUUCUAAUUUGUUGAAGCUAAUCUUUUGUAAAUUAUUACAAUUUUCUUGUAAAUUUUCAAUCUGUUAUAGAGAUUUUUCUAUGGAAUUUUUAUAUAUAUUUCACUUGUGUUGCAAAACUUUAUUUUUUGAAUUUCACAAUUUUGAUUUCUAAUAUAUUCUAAAUUAUUUUCUAAGGUCUUUAUGUUUUUACUUAUUGCUCGUUGAGAUAUUUAUUUCUAAUCUUUCUCAUAGAUUUACAAUUAAAUCUACAAUAUUAUUAACUGUUUAUCUUCAAAACGUAAAAGAUGUUAAAACUUCUCUCAACAUAUGCAAUUGUAACUGGUACAUCAGUAAUAUUCUAUAGACAAAUCACACAUUUAAAAAACAACCGAUAUUUUUAUAUAGUCUAAAACUUCGUUCACCUUUUUGGUGUCUUCUAACAAACGAUUUUUAAUCAUUUGUUGCUUAGAAAAUAAAUUUAUGUUUAUAAAUAUCAUAAUCCUUGUCAUGCUUAAUUUUUUUCAAGCUUAUUACAUCAACACCUCAAACAAUUAUCUUCUUAGUUUGCAAAUUUUUUUAAAUCAAACAAAAAAUCAAAAGCAUUUUCAUAUUUUAAAAAUUGUUCAAAGAUUAACCUAGGAGAAGAAAGAACUUAAUCAACUAUAGAUAAUAAAUAAUAAACUCUAAAAGAUUUCUCAGCAUAAUGUUUUAUCUCACCUUUAACAUUUUGAUCAAAGUGCUUCUUUCUAUGAUAAUACAUGAAAUGUAGAUUCAACUUCAACUCAAGCAACGAUAUCUUUAAGAGUAAUCUUGUCAGAUUCAAAUUCAGUUUCUCUACAUAUUUCAAAGAAUAAAAUAUGUUCUUUUAAAGUUGAUAAUAGUAACGCCAAUAUACAUAUUCUUAUUUUGUAACAUUUUUCUUACUCUAAUAAUGGUACACAAUGUAUUACACCAAUAAUCAUGUCAAAUAAGAACUCAAAAUUCUUAUUGUCAUAAGAUAAAUUUUUAGCAUCCCCAAAUAUCUUAGCAUCAUCACAUGUUUUCCCUAAGUGUCUUAAAGCAGCUUUUAUUUCUGAUGAUUAAAUUUUAUUGCUUUGGCAUUUCCAACUUAGCGUUCUUAAUGUGUUUGUGAAAGUGCCUUAAGUCUUAGAUCUUUCACAUUAUCCCGAAGAAUUUUUCAUUGCUUUGUAGAAGAUGAAAACAAUAUAUGUACAAUUUCAAAAAACAUUUAGCUUCGAUACAAAAAAUUGUCAUAUCACAAAGUUCAAUAAUGUAAGACCCCUUUUUUGUGUGAAAUUUUCUUUUAUAUGUACACACACACACACACACACACACCCCUUGUAGCCGAAUAAGGAAACAAAGCAACAAAUAGAAACAAACGGUGUAUGGAAACUCUAUUCUUAUUCUUCUUCUCUUUGGCACUUCAUUUUAAGUUGGAGGGAAAAUAUUAAAAGAGCGUAACUUUGACAAAAUCUAUUGGACCUUGAUUGCAAGAUUCAAUGGUAAAUAUAACAGCCUACUCUUGGUUGCUCCAAACAAAUGGGGUGCAUAUUACAUUAGAUUGCACAAUUUCUUAAACAAAAUGACAAUCCUCGUAAGAUGUUUAGUUCGUUCAUAUAAAGCAAUCGUAUAACUUCUUGAUUGUCACCAAACAAUUUGGGUGAAGAAAAAGUGGCAAGCCCCAAAUCUCCAAGUAAUGUAGGCAAUCAAGUUACUUUACUAGUGAUUGAGGACAUAGUGUGAUCUAUGAAGCUUCUGCAAUAGAGUUCUCAAUAACAUUCAAUUGAUUGCUUUUCAUCUCACUAACUUACCCCCAAAAGAUGUAUAAUAUCCAAUUGUAGAUUUGCAAUUAGAAUCAUUAUAUGCAUCAAUGUCUUUCUAGAUCCUGUCACAAUACACACAAGAGGUAAUUUUCAUUCAUACAUUCAAUAGGUGGGUUACAGAGUUUAUAUAGGAAAAAAAACUCCUAAUUUUGGAUAAUCACAAAUCUGUAGCUAAUUAAUUGAUUCUACACAUAAUUGCCUAAUUCUAUUCCCUUAAAAUGAUACAAUUAUAUAUGAUUUAUGUUUCUAGAAAAAGAUUUCUAACAACUCACGCCAACACUCCCCCUCAAGUUGAUGCAUACAGGUCUCUGAUGCCCAACUUUUCAAGUGAGUUGUGAAAAUACUUGCUUGAAACUGCCUUUGUGAGUAUGUCUGCUAGUUGAUCCUCGGACUUUACAAAAGGGAAACGAAUUGUCUUUGCUACCAAGUUUUACUCGAUGAAGUGUCGAUCUAUUUCUACAUGUUUUGUUCUAUCAUGUUGAACCGGGUCAUGAGAUAUGGCAAUGGCAGCUUUGUUGUCACAGUAUAGAUCCAUCUCAGUAAUAGGAGCAAAGCCAAGUUCAAUAAGCAGUUUUUUGAUCCAGAGGAGUUCACAAAGUCCUUUUGCCAUUCCACGAAACUCCGCUUCAACACUCGAUAAUGAUACCACUUUUUGCUUCUUACUUCUCCAUGUAACAAGAUUACCGCCUACAAACAUGAAGUAGCCUGAGGUAGACCUCCUAUCUGAAAUGUUCCCAGCCCAAUCUGCAUCUGUAUAGCCAUCAACUUUCAAGUGAUCAUUCUUUGAAACUAUCAGUCCCCUCCCUGGUGAGGACUUUAGAUAUCGAAGUAUUCGAGUUACAUCAUCCAUGUGGUCUUUGCUAGGGCUAUGCAUAAACUAGCUAACUACACUUACGACAUAGGCAAUAUCUGGACGAGUAUGAGACAAGUAUAUAAGUUUGCCAACUAAUUUUUGAUAUCUCCCUUUAUCCGUUGGCACUUGAUCUGAACACUCACUCAGUUUAAGGUUUUGAGUGAUAGGAGUAUCUGCUGGUUUACAUUCCAACAUCCCCACCUCAGCCAGCAAGUCUAGCACAUAUUUUCUUUGGGAUAGGAAUAUGCCUUGUCUUGAUCUAACCACUUCAAUUCCCAGGAAAUACUUGAGGCCUCCCAAGUUCUUUAUCUCGAACUCAGACGCCAGCUGUUUCUGAAUUGUGGAUAUCUCUUCUUUAUCAUCCCCUGUGAUAAUCAUGUCAUCCACAUACACUAUCAAUACAGUUACUUUGCCUCCAUUAUGCUUAAGAAAGAGUGUAUGGUCUGAGUCACUCUGUUUGAACCCAUAUUUCUUCAUUGCCACACUAAAUCGUCCGAACCAUGCUCGAGGUGACUGCUUCAAGCCAUAUAAUGCUCGCUGCAAUUUACACACGACAUUUUGUGAAGACCCUGUAUAGCCCGGAGGGAGGUCCAUAUAGACUUCUUCUUCAAGGUCGCCAUGAAGAAAUGCAUUCUUCACAUCAAGCUGAUGUAGUGGCCAGUCAAGAUUAGCAGCGAGGGACAAUAGUAUUCUAACAGUGUUUAGUUUAGCAACUGGUGAAAACGUCUCUUGGUAGUCUAUCCCAUAUGUCUGUGUAUACCCCUUCGCGACUAGCCUUGCUUUGUACCGCUCAAUGGAUUCAUCUGCCUUGUGUUUGAUGGAAAAUGCCCAUCUGCAUCCUACUGUCUUCUUUCCUUCAGGUAAUGGAACUAGUAUCCACGUGUUAUUCUUUACUAGUGCCUCCAUCUCAUCUUUUAUUUCCUGAGUCCAUUUGGAAUAUGAUAAGGCAUCCUAAAUUCCUGUUGGAACAUGAUUCGAAGAAAGAACAUGUAUAAAAGCUUUCAGUGGAUCAGAUAACUUCGUGGUGGAUACAUAGUUGGCAACUGGAUAUCUUGAUCUUCAUUUUUCAAUGUCUGGAGAGUAUCUGCUUGGUGGUUGCCUCGAUUAUGCCUGAAAGGUAAAUUAUAGCCACCAGGAGUAUCUAAAUUGCUUAUAUGUGAAGGAGUGCUUACCUCAGAGAUAUUCUCAGGAGAUGGGCUUGCGAAUACUGAAGAGAAAGGGGGCUCUGGUUCGGUGGAGUUUGGUUCAGCUUCUACAGUUGGUUCUGGAUCUUGAGUCAUAUCAUUCCUUAAGUCAAUAUCUAUUGGAGCUGUCUCUAUCUCAGUAUUAUUUGACCACUCAAACUUCAACCAAUUCAACUCUUCAUCCCUUGUCUCCCCCUGAAGAGGAGAAUUGGAUGUUGGAGAAAAAAAUGUGUCAGACUCCGAGAAGGUAACAUCCAUAGUUACAUAGGUCCGUUUGGAGGAUGGAUCAUAGCACCGAUAGCCCUUUUGAUGUGUAGCAUAUCCCACAAAAAGACAUCGGAGAGCACAUGGGUCAAGUUUUGUCCGUUGAUUCUUGUGAAGACGUACAUAGGCCACACAACCAAAUACUCGAGGAGAGAGCAUUAGAGUUGGUAGUAGAGCAACAUGGGAUGAUAGGACCUGGAGUGGAGUCUUAAAAUUAAAGACUUUAGAGGGCAUCCGAUUGAGUAAGUAUACAGCUGUGGACACUGCAUCAGGCCAGUAACAGUUUGAAACAUAUGUUCCAUGAAGGAGAGCUCUUGCAGUUCAAGAAUAUGUCGAUUUUUUCGUUCAGCAACGCCGUUUUGUGGAGGGGUUUGAGGGCAAGAUGUCUCAUGAAUGAGACCGUGUUGUUCAAAGUAAGUGCGAAACUGUUGGUUGAUAAAUUCACCACCAUUAUCGGAACGAAGAACUCUUAGUUUGGCAGAUAACUGAGUUUGAAUCAUGGCAUGGAAUGACUGAAAUACUUUGAACACUUCAUCUUUAUUUUUUAGUAGAUAGAGCCAGGUCAUGAGAGUGCAGUCAUCAAUAAAUAUAACAAACCAACGAACCCCAAACCUUGUAGCAAUAGGUGAAGGGCCCCACACAUCAGAAUGUACUAGGGAAAAAGGAAUACUACUUUUAUUCAUGCUUGAUUGAUAAGAAGUGCGUUGACUUUUCGCUAAAAUGCAGGUAUUACAUUUAAAAUCAGACACUUCCGUAUUCGAAAAAAGGCUAGGUAAUAAAUGCUUUAAAUAACCAAAUGAUGGAUGCCCAAGACGACGAUGCCACAUCCAAAUCUGUCGUUCCUUCACAUUACUCUGAACAUGAUGAGUGCGACCGACACUGAAAUCCUCCAUGUAGUAUAACCCCUCUCUCUUAGUACCACGCCCAAGUAUCUCCUUGGUGAGAAUAUCCUGAAGAAGACAAAAGGUUGGAUAAAUAAGUACCACGCAAUUUAAUUCAGCCGUCACUUGGCUUACAGACAAUAAUUUAUGUGAGAGUGAUGGAACAAGUAAAGUGUGGGAUAAAUGUAGAGAGGGAGACAGAGAUACAGAGCCAGCCCCGGUGACUGGGGAAAUAACUCCAUUUGCAUUCGCAACCCUGUUGCGUCGAGGUGAGGUCCUUUGAAUAAAAUCUCUUUCAUCAUAAGUCAUAUGGUCGGUUGCCUCGGAGUCAAGUAAUCAUAAAUUAUUAUUCUUGUCACUGGAGGAUGUAACACAAGCUGAACCAAAAUUACCUGGUUCUGAUGAGGGGUCCGUAUCCUGAAAAUAAUCAUUUUCAGGAAUCAAAGAUAGCUGAGAGUCAGAUGUUGCCACGGCCGCCUUGCCUAUUCAUUUAUUGGUGCCCGUCCCAUUUUUGUUCCUUUUUUCCUGCAACUCAUGCCACCAAUCGGGGUAUCCAUUAAGUUUAAAGCAGUUUUCUCGUGCGUAAUUGUUAUUUCCACAGUAUGAACACUUAAUUUCCUCAUCCAAACCCUUUAACUUAUUUGGCCCACUUUUAUUUGGGCCUCCACCACUUUUAUUUGGGUCUCCCUUUAAAGAAUUUAUUCUAGCAACAGCAAAUGAUCCCAUCUUCACGCCUUUGGUUGCCAAGAUCGCUCCAGGAAGACCAUUGUCGGAGUCUAUAGAAACCAUGACUGCUUGUCGCAGUGCCUCACGACGGACGUACCCAUACGCCUGCUCAACGGUAGGAAACGGGUCCAUCUGCAAAACUCCACUACGGAUGCUAUCGAGACGUUCAUCGAGCCCAUCAAGGAAAGUGUAAACUCUGUCUUCCUGGGUCAAAUUAUUGAAGUGGCGGAUGUCAGCGGCACACUUCAUUGGAUUUGGGCGACGAAAGUCAAUUUCGCGCCACAACCCCUGCAGUUCAGUGUAAUAUUUCUCCACAGAUCCGCCUACUUGUUUUAGGCGACUCACCCUUCGUCGAAGAUCAUAGACUUGGGAUUUAUCAUUCCCAUCAAAGUAUGCAGUGGCAAUAGCAUCCCAAACUUCCUUAGCAGUGUGGAAACAAAUGAAAUUGCCAAUCAGAACAAGGUCCAACGAAUUGAUAAUCCAUCCCUUGACAAUGGCAUUCUCAGUUCGCCAUUUUCGGAAGGAGGGAUCAGUUGGUAGGGGUGGAGGUGUAUCUCCAUUAAUGUAACCCAGUUUAUCUUUCCCGGAAAUAUACAUUUCCAUAACCUGAGACCAUAGGUCAUAGUUUGUAUCAUUCAGUUUGAUACCAAUCUGGGGCGAAUUUUCAGUGAGUGGGGCUGAUAUGUGUGUCUUGGUUAAGGCUUCAAAAAUUGGUGGAAAUAUCUGUAAGUAUAGCAUCAGAAUUAGGUGAAGAUUGGCUGGGAUCGGUGAUGAAGUUGGGGUCUUCCAUGUGUUUGUGAAAAUGUUCACAAGAAUCGGGCUACAGGUAACUUGGAGAAGAGGAACCAGGACCGUGUGUCCUGCUCUGAUACCAUGUCACAAUACACACAAAAGGUAAUUUUCAUUCAUACAUUCAAUAGGUGGGUUACAGAGUUUAUAUAGGAAAAAAAAACUCCUAAUUUUGGAUAAUCACAAAUCUGUAGCUAAUUAAUUGAUUCUACACAUAAUUGCCUAAUACUAUUCCCUUAAAAUGAUACAAUUAUAUAUGAUUUAUGUUUCUAGAAAAAAGAUUUCUAACAACUCACGCCAACAAAUCCAACACAUUCCCAGAGUGGCAAUUGCGAUCCCUAGAAAUAUUUUCUCAUCCCCAGAUCCUUAUUAAACAACCUUUGUGUAAUAGUAUUUAAGUUUUGAGAUUUUAACGUCAUCUUCACAUGUAAUUACAAUGUCAUCAAUAUAUACCAAUAUGAUCGUGGCACUUGUAGCUCCUUUUAAGCAACUAUUGAGAGGGUUAAGUAAGAUCAUUUUAAAGUUAUUUUCCAGAAGAAUAGUAGCUUUAGCAUGUUGAAAGUUGAUUCAGAAAUUAUCCAAAUUUAAUUGAGUCUUUAAUAUUUAUUUUUCAUGCAGAUUCUUGCUGCUUAAUUCACUAUUUUUUAUUAGUAAAUAAGUCUGAAAGUAGUGGCAAUAAUAUAUGAUAUUAGUUGAAAUUUUUUAGCUUUUCAGUUUGCUUGUAAGCCUAUAAAUAAGCACUUUCAAUUCUGGAAUAAAUGAAGCGGCAGAUAACUUGCAUAUUCUGCAUUUUUUAGUUUUAUUUUCUCCCUGCAAUUUCCUUUUUUAAUACUCCACUACUCUAAAUUCCCAACAAGGCAUACCAAGCUAAAGGUGACUACUUGAGCUUAUACAAAGCCUUCUAUCGAAAUGUGAGUCUUGCAUAUGACACGGUGGGACAUUUAUAUAAACUUCUUCUUGCAAAAAAUGCAUUUUUUUCACAUUCUUUGAAAUAAUUUUUAUCCUUGACCACGAAAAAGAUAAGUACUUUAGCCAUGUUUGGUGUAGUUAAACUUUAUAUAUUUACUAGAAUUUUAUAAAAGUUGAUGAGAUGUGUAGUUGAAAAGUUGUGAAUUUCAUAAAAUGUGUGAUUAAAAUUAAUUGUUCACUUUAACUUACAUUAGACAAAGGGUAAACAACAACAUGAACAAAAGUUUUCCUAUAGCAUUUUGCACAUGUUCAAGUAAAACCAGUUAUAAACUCGUGUCGUUCAAUAAUGUCACCACUCUUGUAUUUAUUCUUGCAAGUCCGGCUACAGCUCAAUGUUUUCUUUACCCAUGGCAGCUUAACAAUUUCCUUGGUUUUGUUCUUAUCAAGAGCACUUAGUUAAUUUUCCAUAGCUUUUCUCGAAUGAUGUCUGAAUUUUCUUUGACAUAAUCUUGGUUUUUGAUGGUCAAAUAGCUAAGAAUACAUAAUAUGAUUGUGCCACAUUUUCAUAUGUCAAAUACACUUGCAUAGGAUAGUUGACAUCAGUAUUUUAAAAUGCAUGCAUAUGUUUCGCAUAUGUUUGAUGUAUUUUCGAAACACCUUGUAUAUAGGGUAUGCACAUGAUAAUGCGGUCAACCCAUUUUGUUGAUUGCAUAUGCACACUUAAAACGCCAAAAUGCACAUUCAUUUCUAUUAAAAUCGUGUCAAAAUUAGUGUGGCAAAGCCAACGCAUUUUUAUCUUGAAAAAAUGUAAAUUAAGCUCAAUAAAUAUCAAAUUAGCCCAAAUCACCCAACUUCAUGGAUUAUAUACAACAAUAUGUAAGUACUUAUCUUUAUGAAAAAAAAUCAGAAAUCAAGAAUUUUUUUUCGUAGAGUUGCAAACUAAAUACAUCGACCUCGAGCCUCCUUCUUCUUCUGUCUUCCGCUAGUUUUACUUGCAAGUGAUGCUAGUUGUGUCCAAUCUUGAAUUGUUGAUGAUUAUGAUAAUGAGGAGGAGAUUGCCAUUAAUAUCUUACCAUCUACAAGAAGUAAUACAAGUUUUUCAAUUGAAAUGAGGGAGCAUGAUAAAGAUGAUUUUGUAUUGGAAAACACGAAAAGAUGAUUUGGAUGAAAAAGAGGAGAAUGAAUUGGAAUCCGAUAAACAACUAGACAAGAUUUAGAAUUUUUUAAAUCGAUGUUUGUGUCUAAUCUAAUUAUAAGAAUUGAUUAUCAAGUAAUUGUAGUAUUUAUAUUUUUGAGCAAUAUAUUUUUGUUGAAAUUAUGAAAAACAAAUAUAAAGUUCAAGAAUUGUAGUGUUUAUAAUUUUAAGCGAUACAUACAUACAUACAUAUUUAUUGAAAAUUUGAAGAACAUGUAUAAGGUUUAAAGAAUCCAUUACUUUAUUUAUUUAUUAGUUUAGAAUAUUUAAAAUAAUAUUAAAAGUUGGAAAAUAUAUAAUUAUGUAUAUGCUUCGCAUAAGCACGCGUAUGCUUGUAAUGCUUGAUGGUUAAUCGAAAUGUAUUGUUAUGCAUUAGUAUUUUAGAACCUCGGUGACAUUAUAAUACAUGAGAAGCUAUCUAUCUACUUGAUUUUCUUUGAAGCAUAGAGUCCACUAAGAGUUUGAAUUUCUUCAUUGUGAGCUACAAUUUCACUCGUAAUCUCUGAUUCUAAGAAUUUCUCAAGUUCUUUCCUUAAAAGAAAUAAAACCACCAAUUACUUGUGGGAGAGAAAGCAGAUCAUAUACAUUCCCUUUCUAAGUUGAUUGUCAAAUCUUAUUAUUUCCAUAUACGAUUUCAAUUCUCAAACUAUACAUCACGGGUGAUGUUAAAAUUAGGGUGUGACUCGAAUUCUAUUUUGAAGAUAACUGGAGAUUCUAAUUAAAGUCAACUUAAGAAGAAUUCCAUUUGAAAUGCUUCUUGGAAUCUUAUUCAAAGUCUAUUUGGCAAAUUCUGUUGAAAUUCUAUUUGAAAGCCCAAUUGGGAGUUAAAAUUUGUAUUGAACUUGAAGAGAACAAGAUAUGGAGAAAAGGAAUGACGAAAAACAUCAUUGGAGCAAAAUUUCCCGAGAUCGGGUGCUCCAACGCCAUAUUAUGCUCUAGAAGAAAAAAAAGAACAGUGGUUGUGAACCCUGGCAUCAGUUGGAUGCCUUGGGCCAAGAGGACGAUGGUGUCCCAGCGCCACCUGUACAAGAAAAAUCCUAUUUUGACGUUGAUUCUUGAAUUUUACUUCAACCAGAAUUUCACUAUAUAUACUUAGCACUUCAUUCUUUUUAGAUUAUGCUAGACAAAAUAUAAAUAUAAAAUCAUUGUAUUCUUUCUCCAUAUUUUAAUAAAUUCUCCUUUUCUCUACAAAUUAUUUUGUUCUUGAGUUUGUGAUCAAUUACUAAUUACUUAAUAUUGUGCCAUGUUUUAUUUUUUCGCCCAUUAUUACAAUAAUUAGUAUCAGAGCAAAGGUUUUAUUCAUUGGAGAUUUGAUUUUGGGAUGGCAACCAUGAAGUAGGAUAUUUUUCUUUUGGAUUGCAGCAUAAGAUUUUCAUUGUUGCAGGUAAAAAUGUGAGCAAUACUCACUCAAAUGAAUUUGGACGAUACAUUGUUGGGAUUUGACAAGAUGCCCACAACUUGGAAUAAGGAGGAGAAACAACGUAGGAAUCUAAAUAUCCUAUAACAAAUACAUCUUCAUCUUUUUGAAUAAUAUUCUCUAUGAGGUUUUGAAAGAGAAGUCCACGGCUGCGUUAUGUUUGACAUUGUAGUAAUUACGCAUGACAAAGAGUCUAACUAGCAAACUGUACUUGAAGCAACACCUUUAUUCUCAUUGUAUGACAGAAAUUACAUCUCUUAAAUAACACCUAGUUGUUUUUAAAGAUAUCGUAGCUGAUUUGGAACCCUUGGAAGUUAUAUAUGAUGAAGAAUAUUUUGGUUUUGAUAUUGUUGUGUUCAUAUAUAUAUAUGAUGCCCUAUAUUCAAAGGAGAAGAUGAAACAUCUCGUUAGAAUUGAGGCUCAUGGAGAUGCCCUUAUUGUUGAUGGUAGUUGUUCAAGGAGCCAAUAAAGGUCUAACUUUACAAAUAAAAUUUGUAAUUAUUACAAGAAAAAGGGACACUUGGUUACCUAUUGCUAAAAUUACAGAAUAAAGAAAAAUUGGCUGCAGAUAAUCAGAAGAGAAAGCAAUUAGGUACUCUAGGUGAAGCUAGUGUUGCAGGAACGUUUCACAAUGAUGGAGAUAUUUUGAUUGUUUCUGAUGGCUUCAUGGCGACUUCAAACAUAAAGAGGAUUUGAUUUUUGAUAUGGCUUGCACUUUUCAUAUGUGUUCUAGGAUUCAUUUACAACAUAUGAAGAAGUUUCCAAAAGUGUUGUGAUGAUCAAUAAUAAUACACCUUGUCGGAUAGCUGUUAUAAGAAGGAUCAGACUUAAGUUGUUUGAUAGAAAUAUCAGAACACGUGUUCCUGAUUUAAAAAAAGAUAAAAAAAAAAAUCUUACCUCCUUGAGUACCCUUGACUUGAAAGGGAACAAAUUCAUUGGUGAAGGCGGAGUCUUGAAGGUUCGUAAAAGUGCUCAUAUUGUGUUGCAGGGAUAGGAAAAGACCUAAUUAUAUGUCUUGUCAAUUCCUAUAGAAUCUCUGAUCAAUCAUCACAAAUAUGUAGCUCAAAUGGAUUGUGAGUUUAGUUUAGUAUCGUCAGAGUUUUGCUUGGGGUCUACUUUGAUGAAUAUAGGAAUGUAAACGAGCCAAGUCGAACCAAGCCGAGUAAUUUAUUUGUAUAGUUCACUACAACAAAAACAACAUUUUGCAACGUUCAAAAAAUGUUGCUUAAGACCUUUUGCAACGUUCGUCCACUUGUUGCUAAUCCCGAUGUUGCCGUAGAGUAAAGGAUAAGGCAACAUUUUUCGAACAUUUUGCAAAAAUCUCUUUCACAAUGUUUUUCAAACGUUGCAACAAGAACUUUCGCAACAUUUUUCGAAUGUUGCCAAAAACCUUUUCGCAAUAUUUUUUUUGACCUUUUUACAAUGUUUUUCGAACGUUUUUAAAAACCUUUUUGCUGCAUUUUUCGAACGUUGCUAAAAGGCGAAGAGACGAGUUGCUUGUCGCGAGGAGUGAGGAGUAAAAUUUGUCGUUUGAGGAGUAUGAUCUUUGUGUGUUUUUUUUUCUAGUCAUCCAUUAAUAGUUCAAAACUUUAAAAAAAAAUGAUAAUAAAAGUUAUUUUGAUUGGGCCCAAAUAUCAUUUCAAAUUUUUGCAACGUUUUAUAAACAUUACGAAAGAAAAAACUUUUGGCAACAUUUCAUAAACGUUGCGAAGAAAACUUUUUAUAACAUUUCAUAAGUGUUGCAAAAGAUAAAGUUUUUUGUUUUUUUGCAACGUGUCAUAAACGUUGCGAAAGACAAAUCUUUUUGCAACGUUAAAUAAACGUUGCAAAAAGGCAAUAUUAGCAACAAUUCACUUAAAAAAUGUUGCUAAAGCUCAAUUAUGCUGAGCAAUGGCAACAUUCAUGUAUUGGAAUGUGGCGAUAGUCCUCUUUAGCAACAUUUACUUGACAAAUGUUGCCUUUUGCAUGUUGCAAAAAGCCAUUUUCAUUGUAGUGUUUAAUUUUGAACGUGUCUCUUGACAUGUAGAUCGUAUACAUUUUUCUAUUAAAAACUUCAGACAAAUUUUUUUGGUCAAUGAUUAUCAUCCUGAAUCUUCGUUAGAGUCUAAUUUGACUAUGUGAGAUUAAUCAUUUUCGAUAAAAAGCCAAGAAUUUGUUUGUUUUCUUCUCUCAUAUAUGGUCCGAUAUUCUUUGGAAUUCAAACCUUGUUGAGAGUUCCAUUAAAGAUCAAAAAUUGCCGAAACAAUAACUUGAAGAUCCUUAGCUUGAUAUGAUGGUAUAAUCAAUUUUACAGGCUGACACCAUCUUCAAGGAUUAGAAGGAUGCUUCUUAUCUUGCAGUCAUAUUUGGCACAGGAAGAUCACGUAGACAGCAAAAUAUAUGGAAGCAUGCAUUCAUGUCGGUGUUUUGUUACUAAUAAACGGGCAAACUUGCAAUCAAAUGCUAAGAACCUAUAUGGGAACAUUUUAAGAAAAGAUGACUCAAGAACAUUUUUUAGUAUAUUUUGAACUUUGAAGUAGUGUUUAAAAUUUUAUCUCAUGAGGGCAAUAUUGAUGAAAAACGAAAAACAUGUUUACUUGCUCCAUUCCAAAGAUGUUACAAAUACGAUUUUAGUUUUCCUUUUUCAACAGAAACACAAAAAUCAGCUAAUGCGUACCUGAUUGAAGAUCUAACAUUUGCACCAGCAUAAAAGAAAUAUUGAUGCCAGCUACGGCCAAAGGAUACUCCCAUUUCGACCUAUCCCCAACUCUCUUGUGCAACAAGUUUUGAAAUGCUUCCUGUUAAAAAGAGAAGUAGAUACAAAAUACUACUUUUAAAAUUUUUCGAGUCUAAUAGAGUCGAGCUGACUCUUUUUUGUGAAAUUCUAAUUUUUAUGUUUGUAAAGAUAGUCAUUGCUGCCUCGGAAAUUAAAGGCAAUUGUAAAUGCCUUUUUCAUUUAAAAACAUGGGCCAAAAAUGGCCCGUAUUGGUAUGACUAACAGAGGCUGGCUCAGGCUCGAGGCCAGUACUCAAAAAUGAGGCUCGACCCAAGUCGAGGCUUGAUUCCAAUGAGCCGCGAGACGAGCCAGCACGGAUUUUUCCCGGGCCGAGCCUCGAGCCGCUCGAGCCGAAUUGACAUCCCUAAAUGAAUACAUUUAAGUCAACUUCGAAAGUUAUAGAUAAUUCCGCUACCACCAUUACCAGUGGUUUUUUUCAAUCACUUGCUAGAAACAGAAUCGUUUGUGAUAUUUUGCCUUGACAUAGGUAUAAGAUGCAGAUUUAGUUGCAUACAUUUUGAAUGUGGUUGAAGGUAUUGAUUCUAGCCAAUAUUUUUUUGUCGAAGCAUUUUGUGGUGAUUCUGUUAUAGGUUAUUCGUGAUUCGAGCAACUUUGGUGUCCAAGGUAGUUCUUAGAAUUUUGUUACUCAGUUUUUGGAGUUUGAACCUAUUUUAGGUUUGUGGUAGAGGUAAAGGUUGAUGAUAUUUUAAAGUUGGAAAAUUUUGAUAGAGAAUUUCUUUUGUGUUUUUGACACAGAGUUGAAGUUUAAUCCUCAUAGUAGAAUUUGUCUUUAGGUGGAGAUUCUUUGAACUUUAUUCAUGGCAGUGAAUUUGUGUGAAGGCAGAGUUUGUAGAAUUAGGAUGUCAUCUAAUUUCUAUUUUAAACAUAAUUGAAAAUUCUAAUUAAAGUUGACUUAAGAAGAAUUCUAUUUAGAAUGCAUUUUGGAAUUUUAUCCGAAAUCUAUUUGAUAAAUUCUAGUUGAAGUUAUAUUCGAAAGCCCAAUUGAGAUUAAAAAUUUGUAUUGGACUUGAAGAGUAUAAGAUACGAACAAAGGAAUGAAGAAAAAUAUCAAUGGAGCAAUAUUUUGCAAGAUUGGCCGCCCCAGCGCCUUGUCUCUGCGCCUAGAAAGAAAAAGGAAAUAGCGGUUGAGCGCCUCAAUGCUAGGAGAGCUAAUUAUUGCAUUCUACUUCAAUUGGAACUCCAAAAUUGGACUUCUAUAUAUAUUUGGCUCUAUAUCAUAUUUUAGAUUAAAUUAGACACAGCAUAAAAAAAUUAUUGUAUUCUUUCUCCAUACUGUAAUGAAAUUUUCUUUCCUACGCAAAUUAUUUUGUUCUUGAGUUUGUGAACAAUUAGUUCAUAUUGUGUCAUAUUUUCUUUUCUUGCCUAUUAUUACAACAGGUAACAAAACUUGCGAUAGCCACAUUUCAAUAAAUAUACAUAUUUCUUUGUUCAAGAACAUGAAGAGAAGAUACACUUCAAUGCCCCAGCAUCAAACUUAAGGUGCACAACUUAUACAAUCAAAUACUCACAAAUGAAAAAUAUUUGGACUAAAGCCCUACCUAAUUUAAGAAUAUGUUGUCUUUUUCUUCUUCAUCUCACCAUUUUAUUGUGGGUUCAAGUGCAACUAUAUGAUGUAUAAUUCUAUGUCUAUGGAGAUUAUAGCGGAAAUCCCUCGAUAAAUUUUGAUUCCGGGCUCAGAAAACAAUCAAACAAACACCGGUUUACCUUAGUUCGACCCAAGACUUUUGCAUUCACUUUGGAUUGUCCAAACUCUCUCAAACCCCUCAAAAGGAGAAGGGAUGGUGGUGGUAAUAGGAAGGAGAGGAAGAGGCAACAAUGAUGUGAAUCACUCCAACAAACCCUCCAAGUCGGCUGCCCCUCAACCUUCUCGGCCCUCUCUCUCUCACGACCCUCUCUUUCACACACACCCACUCAUCACCAUCGAGAAAACGGCUGGGAAUAUAUGGAUAUAUAUAUAUAUAUAGUAUAGGUUAGACACAUAACUUGGGGCAAAAACUUGUGCAAAAGGGCUUCUUAAAACCUAAACUAAUGGGCUACCAAUUACUCCAACCCACAAUCUACUAAUUCAACAAAUACCCUAAAGCCCAACACUAAUCAAGACUUGCGACAUCCAAAAGUGUAAUUCGUCUCUGAGUCGAGUCAAGUCCAUGGUGUCGAUAAAUAAUCCGACAACUGUUUUAAAUCAUUGGGUAUCAAAAAACCCAACAAAGAUGUUCAUGAAAAUAGUUAACCUUUUAUCUAGUGUCAUUGUAAAAUCUAAAAAAAUUAACCCUGGCAUGUAAUUAAUUAAUUAAUUAACAAAAUUAUGUUAAGGACGUUAAUAAAUAAAAUUCUUGCAAUUUCUAACUAUUUGAAUGGGUAAAAGAUAUUAUCCAAUAUCGUGUUAAAGUUAAUAUGGUUCAAAUUCAAGUGAAAAUUGGGCACAAGAGAAUAAAUAAUCCGGCAUGUAUGCUUUACUACGAGAACCAUGAAAAUAACAUGAUAGAGAAUUUUUGAAUUUCUUUAUUAUAAAGUGGCAAAACCUAUAGAUCGUUAUUUGGGGUGUAUAUUUCCAUUUGUACAGAAAUUACAAUUUGUAUGAAAAUAACAUGAAUGAAUAUUUUCAUUUGUACAGAAAUUUUUCUCAUAGAAUUCUAUCAGAAUACUCUCAUGUGUAUAGGCCCCAUAUUUUGAUAAAAAAAAAUGCCAAAAAAUUCUCUCACCUCUCCUCUGUGAGUCAAUCCUAUCAUUUCUGUGUGCUUCCAUCCGUACAUGUUGAAGUGCACCUAUAGAAUAUGAAUAAAUGAUUUCUUUUCUUUCUUGAUAGUUUAAGCGCCUGUCCGGCACCAAUUUCUCCCAGAUUUUCAUUAAUUUUUCUCACCGUUGGAGCAGGUUCCAAGUGUGAGAAGCAAGUCAACAAAGCUGUCUACUUUGCCUAGAAGUUGACCGAAGUGUACAGUGACCUACCAGUCGAAUUUUAUUUUUUAUUUUUUAUAUUCAAGUAUCCCAGCUUACACCAGACUAAAUCCUGAACCCAAAGACCCUUGCCCUUAGAACCUUGAAGGGGGUAAAUCGCGGGUUAUACCUCAACUGGAUCACAGGUUCCCCCAUUGCCUGUACACUUCUGCGUACAAGAGACCCUCCUCCACAGUAAUUGCUCCGUACCAAAUAUUUGGACGCAGGUUCUCACUAGGAAUCGAACUCUCCACCCUGCCGCUAGAAGCAAGACAAUGUUGAUUGAUCCACCAGUUGAGUUGUGCCCCGAGGGGCUACCAAUUGAAUUUUCUUAGUAUUCUUUAUUGGUUGAAUCAAAAAAACCGCCAAAGCAUUUCUGCUUACACGGGAAAUUCGGGAAUCGAUCGACAUAACACACCUAUAGCAAAGUUGUAUGCUCAAAGUGCAACUUUGGCCCGUUUUGACCUCAUUAAUUUUCAUUCUAUUAAAUUUCAUUUUUUUCUCUCUUAUUUUCAAUCAUAUAAUUUUAUAUAAAAUAAUAUUACACAUAAAUCGAAAAUUUUUCUUUCUUUUUUAAAUACUCAUUUUUCAAAAAGAUACUGCCCUUGUUUGAACCCCAUUCUUUUGAAGAAAUUCAUUUUUCAACAGUAUUUUGAUAUCAUUUCAACCACAAAAUUUUCAAUAAAAUAAUAUUACACGCAAAUCCAAAAAUUUUCCUUAUUUUUUAACCACACAUUUUCUAUCAAUACACUAUUCAAAAAUUUAUUCUUCCCAAAAAAAAUGGGGCUCAAACAAGGGCACUAUUUUAUGCAUUUUCAUUUCUACAAAAUGGGGGCCAGACGGGGACUUUAUUUCCAAGAGCCUAGGACCAUUUGAUAUGGCCCCACUUGGGCCCUGUCAAAUAUCAUUUUUUUCUCUUCUAUUUUCAACCAUACAAUUUUUCAUAAAAUAAUAUUGCACGUAAUUCGAAGAUUUUUUACUAUUCCACCCAUUUUCAUUUCGAAAUAUGGGGGCCAUGAUGUUAUAAUCAAAAUAUUUUGGCAAAAAAAGUGCACCCAAACAAGGCUAAGUUUGUAAGUAAGUAGUCGUAUCAAAGCGUAUAAAUGACAUAAAUAGAAAAAAUGAAUCUAACGUGUAUAUGAAAAAAUGUAAAAGAAAUAAAUAAUUGUAUCGUAAUUUAAACUCUUAAAUUUGAUAUGAACAUGUAAGAAUAUCCUCAAGUACACAUAUUGAGUUUUUAUUAAAUGCAAGUGUAUUGAGCAUAACACUAAUGCAAUGCAAAGUGCAUACUUGGCCCAUUGAAUUGAACGGACUUUGAGAGAGAGCUCUAUGUGUGAAAAUUUUGUGGCUUGUUUUCACUUUCUAGCACAUUUCCUGGACCUAGCCGAUUUAAUACAUCUCUUUACAACAUAUUUGAUAAGGUGAAAUGGAGAUAUUAAGCACUAUUAAUGAGAAAAAGAUCGUCCAAUCUUAUAAAAGAUUGUCGAAAAUUGAAAAUUGUAGCAUAUCAAACAAACCCGAAGAACUAACGAUUGAAAUUUUUGACAAAACAACUUUAUGAUAUUCGAAAUGUACUGUAUUCACUGAUCCAAUAUGUUAAGAAAAAUGUAGGGAAAUCUGAAAUUUAAUGAACUCCAAGGCACGAAAAACGUUAUCUUUUAAGAGAUGUUUCUCCCCUGUCCAACGAAGUCAUAGUUGGGGUAUGAUAGAAAAUCUCUCUCAGGAUACAAUGAAGGCGUUUGAUUCAAAUUGUGACUAUUUGAUCAAACCAAUAAGACACUCGAAAAGAACUGAUGAUGCCAAGAGAAAGAGAGAAGAAUAAUUUUUUAAUAUGUUUUGCAAACGAGAAUUCGCCCAAAAUUUAUAGAAAUUGAGACAACCGUUUGAAUAGGUGUGUCCCUUGAAAUGAAGAACACAUAUGUUGGAAGUUACUGUUAAAAACGAACAGAUGCACCUAGUCGGGGCGGCUAAUCAUUAGCAAAAAAAAUAAAAAUAAAUAAAUACAUGCAAAAUGAUGAAAAAUAUCUAACACAAUAUAGUGCAAUACUGAAUUAAGUGAAAAAUAGAAUCCAUUAGUCGACUCUAAAUUCAUUAUAAAUAAGAUUUCAUUCGUUGUUAUUUAUUAUUGGCCAUUGCAUAUUAAUUUAUAUAAGUAUAUUCUGAAUAACUUGGCUGCAUUUUAUUGUCAAUUUUUGCUUUCUUUUCCUUAUCCGGCAGCCUAAAUUAUUUGCACCAUAAAAUAUUAAUACUUAGUUGCGUUUGAAAAGGGAAAUGUUUUUGUCAUCUAGAAAACAAAGCUAUCAUGUUGAAAGCGUUACUCGAUGAUUUAUAAACUGAUCCAAAAUAUCAGGAAUCUACUUUACAAAGCCAAAAUAGUGAGUUGACUGACUUAUGAUUACGACGAUUCCUAUAAAUAUCAAAAGGAAAAGUUCAAAGAAUAUUAAAUUGUAGACAAAUACAAAUAAUAAUGACAAGAAUAUGAAGUUAAUUUUUUAUUUUUCUUUUUUCUUUUUUUUCAUAAAAACAUAUUAUUAUGCUAAUAAAAGUUCCAAGUUAAAGUCUCAUAAAUUGAAAAAUGUGCGAGUGACAUCCAAAGAAAAAUUGAAUACAAUUUACAUACAAUGGAGUGUGUUGAAAAUUUAAAUAAUUUAGCACAUGUUUGACAAAGGUUUUUGAGAUUAUAAGUUGGUGGAUCCGAUGAAUAUCAAAUGUACUGUUGAAAAUGCAACUUAACUUCCCUUUUUUUUUUUUUUAGAUAGAUGUUUCUAAUAUUAAACUAUUUAAUAUGCCUCCUGGCUCCUGUUCUCCAAGUUUUACGAGUUAUGAUUUGUCAAUAAUUUAUUGGAUAAAUAGUCAUUUAGACAGCAAAUCUCAACUUCUACACUAAUAAUUUCUCUCCCUUCCCCCCCCCCCUCCCCCCCUCCUCUUCAACUAUUUAACAUGCCUACGGCUUCCACAUUUUACACAUAAUUUCUCGUUCUCUCCUUCUCCUUUCUAGAUCUAUUUCAUACUUCCACGAUGAAGUUGGAAGAGAAAGGCACUGAUUACACACAGGACGGGACUGUUGAUCUAAAAGGUAGACCUAUCCUCAGAUCAAACACUGGCAAAUGGAAAGCUUGUUAUUUCUUUGUUGGUAAGUGAAAAAAACUGGUAGAGUCUACCUAAUUUUCGAUUCUAAACGUGCCAUGAUAUCAUUUUAUCAAGGUUUGCUUUAGAAUUUUCUACAAACUGAGAACGAUUAGAUUUGAACGAAGAAGUUUUGCUUCAGAAUUUCGUGUGCUAAUAGAAACGUAACUCUUUUUGCAAGUUAAAUCUUUUGCUUUGAGUAUGAAGAUUUAGAAUAGAAUUUAUGGAUCCUCAUUGUGAUAUUACAGGGUAUGAAAUUUUUGAGAGGAUGGCAUAUUAUGGGAUUGCAUCAAACUUAGUAAUUUAUUUGACACGGAAGCUCCAUGAAGGCACUGUGACAUCUUCAAACAAUGUCACCAACUGGGUUGGUACUGUAUGGUUGACACCCCUUCUGGGUGCUUAUAUUGCUGACACUUUUCUUGGUCGAUACUGGACUUUCAUCGUUGCAUCAGCCAUUUACCUUGUGGUACUUCCUUUGAUUUCAUUUGAUCUCGAUUCUCAUGGUGUAACUUUAUCGUGCAAGCUAAACAGAACAAGACAGUAUAAAUAACAAUAUUUUCUUAAUCUAUCGGAUCAUGCUUUUAAGAUAACAUAAAAGUACGCAAUAUUAAACAUGAACGGACACUAAAGUGGACAUGUUUUUACUUUCUUUUUCUUGUUUCACAUUCUCUAGUAUUAUAUAUUACGGCUUGCACCAUUAUUAUAAUCAUUUAAACACGAUCACGAAAUCCUUAUAAGAUCAGGGAAAACAAUUCUUGGUCAUAUUUUCGUUCCUUGUAACAGGGAAUGUGCUUAUUGACGCUAGCAGUUUCAUUGCCCGGACUGAGGCCUCCGUCUUGUGGGCACCAAGUAAAGGAGGUAGAUUGCGAUAGACAUGCCUCAACAUUUCAAGUCGGCAUCUUCUACUGUGCAUUAUACAUAAUUGCAGUUGGAACAGGCGGAACAAAGCCUAAUAUCUCUACAAUGGGAGCAGAUCAAUUUGAUGAUUUUGAGCCUAAAGAAAGGUUACAAAAGCUCUCAUUCUUCAACUGGUGGAUGUUUAGUGUCUUCAUUGGCAUCCUUUUCUCCAACACUUUCCUUAUUUACAUUCAAGACAAUGUGGGGUGGGAACUUGGCUAUGGCCUCCCUACACUUGGGCUCACAGUAUCGAUACUUUUCUUCAUUGUGGGUACACGUUAUUAUAGACACAAACCCCCAUCAGAUAGCCCGUUGAAUCGAAUGGCUAGGGUGCUUGUAGCCACCGUAAGAAAGUGGAAGGUAGUCAUCCCUGACGAACCAAAGGAACUUUAUGAGCUGAGCUUGGAAGAGUACUCCAAACCUGGCAUGUUUAGAAUUGACCACACCAAUUCUCUCAGGUGCAUAUUUUUCUCCCGAAUAAAGAUACUUGGACAAGGCCAUGUAGGCCCUGCCUGUGGGAGUGCCUUGGAUGUCCGUCCAGCAUAACCCUUUUCUCCCAUUCUAAGUCUUUUUAGCAUGUGUAACAACUAAUAGAAAUCUCACGUCACUCGUGGAAGGUCUGUCUUAUGGGUUUAUAAGCACAUUAGUGCCCUCCUCUUUCAAAGUCGAUUUUAAACGUAACUCACUCUCAUUUCACUUCUGCAGCUUCCUGGACAAAGCAGCAGUCGAAAUCGGACAAAAUUCGCCAUGGAUGUUAUGUCCGGUGACACAAGUUGAACAAACCAAACAAAUGAUAAAAAUGAUUCCAAUCUUGCUUGCAACUUUCGUUCCCGCUACUAUGUUCGCACAGACAAACACUCUCUUUAUCAAGCAAGGCACAACUUUGGAAAAAAGCAUUGGUCCCCAUUUCAAAAUUCCUCCAGGAUGUCUCUCGGCAUUUGUGACUAUUUUCAUGUUGACUAGCCUCGUACUAUAUGACCGGUUCUUCGUUCCCUUUGUACGAAGAUACACGAAGAAUCCUAGAGGGAUCACCUUGUUGCAGAGGUUUGGGAUCGGCCUCGUGUUGCAUAUCAUAGUCAUGGGAACUGCUUGUUUAGCAGAAAGAAGGCGUCUAAGGGUUGCUAAAGAGAACGAAAUCUUUGAGAAAAAUCAAAUCGUUCCUCUUUCGAUCUUCAUUCUUCUACCACAGUUUGCUCUAAUGGGGGUAGCUGAUACCUUCGUAGAAGUUGCGAAAAUCGAGUUCUUCUAUGAUCAAGCACCUGAAGGCAUGAAAAGCCUCGGAACUGCCUAUUUUACGACUAGUUUUGGAGUUGGAUACUUCAUAAGUAGUUUUCUGUUGAAAACUGUGGCUGACAUUACCGAGAAACGUGGCAAAGGAUGGAUUUUGGACAACCUAAACGUCUCUCGUUUGGACUAUUAUUAUGCAUUUUUGGCUGUGCUGUGCUUUCUCAACUUACUUUACUUUCUGCUAGUUGCAAAGCUCUUUGUUUACAACACAGAACUGAAGGAUACCGAAAUGGAGUUGCAUGAAGCAAUCGAGGCUCGACCGAACAAGUCUACACGAUUGGAGGAAAAAACGUUGGAUGAUAAAGCAAGCUCAUAGAAAUAUCAAAAUAUCCCAUGAAAUUUUCCAAGUCUUUUUUCUUAAGCAUGUUUUAUCGUUCCUUUUCUACUCUUUUUUCAUUGUAUCUAAAUGUAUUUCCACAAUAUAACAAUUUAGAUCACAUUGUAAUAUAAGAAUAAGAUACAAAAAUCUUGUAUAUCAUAUGAAAGUGUCUUAUCUCACACUAUGACUAAAAAUUCAUGUUCUCAAUGGUACCUCCACAAGCUAUAAUUAAGGUCUGUUCGAUAAUGAUUAUAAAAAUCGAUUUUUUGAUUGUUAGAGAAAAAAAUUGGUCCCAUUUGUGUGAAAAAAUCAAAAAUGGCGACUGAAAUAGUGAAAUAAGAUCAAAAAAUUGAUUUUUUGAGGUGAAAAUUGUUAACGAGCCUCCGUUUGGCCCCCAUUCUCCUUCUCAUUCUUUCCCUCUCUCUCUUAUUUUCAACAAUAUAAUCUUUCAUAAAAUAAUAUUAUAGGCAAAUUAAAAACUUUUCAUUCUUUUUCAAUCACAUAUUUUUCAAAAAAUCACUAUUUCAACCAUUAAAUUUUGAAAAGAAUUGGGGUCAAAUGGGGGCUAAAUCCAAGAGGUCACUCUCGUAGGCCGGCACAAAAUCUAUGCUAAAUAAUGACAUACAUGACUAAACGUAUUGUACUUAUUAUAGCAAUUGAAAAAAGGAAAUUAAGAGCUGACUAUUUUACACCCCAACAAUCUCUUUUUGAAUAUCAAACUUUCAUUUUGGUCCCAACCUAAUUACGAUGAAUUAUGGGAUAAUGACAUAGAUAUACCAAAAAUUGGGACCGUUUUGAAAAGUCAGCAUAAAACUUAGGCUAGCUAGAAAUUACUUCAAACUAUAUAAUAUUCACUGUUAAAGCACAAUGAACCCUAACCCCAUCGUUUAAAAAUUUCUUUCAAUGAAAUUGAAAGUUAGCUAAACGUGAUUUUUUUGUGACUCGAAUUCAUGAUUCUGGCUCUGAUAACAUCUGUCAAGAUUGAAUUUCAACUAUCUCAAAAAGCUAAUUGGUGAGUGAUGCUACCAAAAAUCGUAUCUGAGUAAUUUCGAGCUGGACGACUGAUGACGAGCACGAACAUGAUCUUCCGAUACCUGAAACAAAAGCGUCGAGAUGUGUCCUCGUCGCCCCUCCGAUGCUUAAGUCAGAGAGAGAAUUUGUGCGUAAGGCUAUGAACUGAUAAUUAUGUAAAAUGUACCUGAAUAAUGAUGAAGGGCUUCGUAUUUAUAGAGGUAGGUGGUGUGUUCAUAAUACGAUUCCGUAGUGCACUUGUAAUAGGACAGCUUGAUUUUGCAAUCUUAUACCAAUGAGUCCUACGCGAGAUAGGAGUUUGAAUUGCGGUAUAACUGGGAUAUCAAUUAUUUAAUAGAGUUCUUCUGGACAUAGGAGACAUAGGUUGAGGAGUUUUAGUCAGAAUAAAUUUCUCAUUGGAUAAGGCGUUGACGUCGGGGACAUGCCGAUGUCAUAAUCCCGAGGACACGUCGAAUGACGUUCCACGAACUCUUGGGUCAAGAGCUCGGGGCAUGCGAAAGACAUCCCAAGCACAUAUAUCUCGAGCAUACUGAUACACAAAUCGACGAAAUAGAGUCCUCGAGUUUAUAUACGUCGGGAAUAAUAUUUGGUAAUAUCAGUGAGCACUAAUGGAUUGAGGUAUUCUUAAUUAAGCUAUUAAUGAUGUAAAAGGUAAGUUUAUUACGGUUUAGAGGUGAAUGACAAUUAUACCCCUACAGUUUUAGAAAUAAUUACUGUUGUAUCCCUGAUUCUACCCUAUAAAUACAGUGCUUUGGUUUUUAAUAAAAUACACACAAGUUUAUUGAUUUCUCUCUGUUCUCUUCUCUUUCACAACACGUUAUCACGUAGUAAUUUUUGAGAGGGUAGUAAUUUUUUUUAUCACGUAUAUCAAAAUUAAUUUGAUAAUAUGUGAUUUUUUUUUAUCUAUUCAUGCAUCCAACUCACGUUUGUAAUUGGGUAAAAAUCAUGUCUAAUUAUUCAUGCAUCAUAGCCGCCGUCAAUUAGUGCCUACCAAUUCGCUACCAUCAAUUUGUAGCUUUUACCUUUAAAGAUAUAAAAUAUUACUUGUACAAUGCCUUUUUCGUUUGCUUCUUUAAUUGUCGUCAAACGUGUAAUGAUGAAAAUUUAGCCUGCAUCAUGUCUACCAAAUUAAUUGUGUAAUGGUUUACACGUAAUCCUAUGUUCCUGCCUUCAAUUUACUUCGAAUUGCCAAAUUAAUUGUUCAUUUGGUUUACACGUGAAUUUUGUUCAUCAAUUCUGCUGCCUAACAUAUGAUAUAGUCUAAACUAUUUUUAUAGCUUUUGCCAUCAAUCUUUAUUUAUGAUUUGAUUUGAUCAAUGCACGCGUCAUCCUCAUUAAUUAUUGCCAUCAUUAAUAAUUUUUAGUUGUAUUUACGUUUCUUCAUGUGUAAAUUUGGUGAGAAAAUUUAACUAUUCAGUAAUUUUAAUUAUCGUUCAAUUAAUCAUCGAAUUUUUGUUACAAAAUUUUGAUGCUCCUGAAGUAGCACAAUAUUAUAAUUACUAUUGAAAAAUAUUAUUCGCUCCUGAAGAGCAUGAAUUAUAUAUAUAUAUAUUUUCAAUAUUCCAGAAGAAUAUAUUGACGUAUUGUUCUUGAAAAAAUCAUAAUAAAAUACAACAUGCUCCUGAAGUAGCAUAUGUUUCGAAGAACAUAUUAUUUUUGUGUUUAUCCCGAAAGGAAAAUACGUAACUUAUUUUAUGUUGAUAUUAUUACUUGAUUACUUAUUAUAUAAUGUUUAAUCAUAUUUUUUGAAACUUAUUAUAUUUUCUCUUACUUUAUUGUGUAGUUAAUCAAAUGACAAAUAUCACGAAACUCAAGUUUACUGCACUUUAUAUAUCUGGCAAAAAUUAUUUGUCAUGGGUACUUGAUAUCAAUAUCCAUCUUAUCUCAAAAGAUUUGGGAGAGACAAUAAAAGAAGGAAACAAAGAAUCCCUGUAGAAUCGUGCAAAAGCACUCAUCUUUCUUCGUCAUCAUCUUCACGAUAGAUUAAAAAUUGAAUACCUCACUGAGAAAGACCAACAUGCUCUUUGGAAAAACUUAACUGAAAGAUUUGAUCAUUAGAAGACUAAAAGCAUUCAUCCUCCUUUGUCAUCAACUUCACGAUAGACUAAAAAUUGAAUGCUUCACUCAGAAAAAUUCACAAGUUCUUUGAAAAAAAUUAAUUGAAAGAUUUGAUCAUUAGAGGACUAUAGUCUUUGCCAAAGUCCGCUAUGAGUGAAUGCACUUUCGUUUGCAAGAUUUUAAAACUGUUAGUGAGUACAAUUCUGAAUUGUUCAGAAUGUGUUCAAAAUUGACAUUGUGUGGAAAAAAAAUCAUUGAUGAAGAUAUGUUGGAGAAAACUUUUUCCACCUUUCACGCCUCGAAUGUGCUCUUAUAAUAACAAUAUCAUGAGCGUAGUUUCAAAAAAUACUCAAAACUUAUAUCUUGCCUACUUGUUGUUGAACAGAAUAAUGAACUGUUGAUGAAAAAUCAUUGGUUACGUCCAACUGAUUUUGUACCAUUGCCUGAAGCAAAUGCAAUAUCAAGAUAAGGACGUGACAUAGAUGUGGACACGAAUUUGGACGUGGACGCGAAUGUACACGCUGAAUAAACCAUGGACAAAAUAUUCAACAAAGUUUUCAACAACAAGACAACAUUUUCAAAAGGUACAAAACAAAUGAAAGUAGCACAUUGAAAAGGGUACAUGAAGAAAGUUGCUUUAGAUGUGGAAUGAAAGAGCAUUGGACACGUACCUUUCGUAUAGCAAAACACAUUGUGGAUCUCUCCUAAAAAUAAAUACAGGGAAAGGAGAAAGUGGAGACAAAUUUUACUGACUAUGACUGUUCAAUUAAUGUGACUCAUUUGGAUGUCUUUGAUUUCUUUGCUGAUCCAAAUGAAAAUAUUAAUCAUUUGAUUAGGGAUGAUGUGAUGGAAGAUAUAGAUUAGUUUUUUAUAUUUUUCAUAUUUUUAUGUUUCUAAUAUUUCCUUUUGUUUUAGAAAUUUAGUUUGAAAUAUGUUUUUACUUUUCGUAAAAAUUUUGAACUUUAUUAUGCAUCGUUAAUUUCACAGUAUUAAUUAUGCUUAUCAUGUUGAAUUUAAAUUCAAGCUUCUUUUUUUAAUAUUGAUAAAACAUGAUGGAUUGUCAAAACACCUGUUUGAUUGAUAGUGCAACUAUACAUACUAUUCUUCAAGACAAAAAAUAUUUUUUGGAUUUAACAUUAAAAGAAAAUAAUGUUAAUACAAUAUCAGAUGCAUCGAAUAUCGUUGAAGGUUCCGGAAGAUUACCAAAUAAUACAAUAUUGUACAUUGAUGAUGCACUUUAUUCUAACAAAUUCAGAAAAAAUUUACUUAGUUUUAAAGAUAUUCGCUGCAAUGGAUAUCAUAUUUAGACAAUACAAGAAAAUAAUAUUGAAUAUCUUUACAUAACUUUUUUAUAUCUGAUCAGAAGUAGAUAAAAGAAAAAUUUUAUGCAUUUUCAUUUCGCAUGUAUUAUGCAUUUAUAAAAAUGGUUGAAUCAAAUAAUGUUACGAAUCAGAAGUUUGUUGAUCCAAAAAAUUUUAUACUUUGGCAUGAUCGACUUGGAUAUCCAGGAACUAUAAUAAUGCGUCGAAUAAUAAACAAUUCACAUGAACACCCUUUAAAGAACCAAAAGAUUCUUUUACCAAAUGAUUGUCUAUGUGUAAUUUGUUUGCAAGGUAAGUUAGUCAUUAAACUUUCGAUUACAAAGGUCAAUAUUGAAUCCCCAACUUUUUUAGGAAAAAAUUCAUAUAGAUAUAUGUGGGCCAAUACACCGACCAUGUGGACCAUUUUAUUAUUUUAUGGUAUUAAUUGAUUUUUCUACUAGAUGAUCACAUGUUUGCCUACUUUCCACUAAAAAUGUAGUUUUUGCUAGACUACUUGCUCAAAUUAUAAAAUUAUGAGCAUAAUUUUUCGAUUACUCAGUUAAAACUAUUCGCCUUGAAAAUGCCGAUGAAUUUAGAUCACAAGCAUUCGAUGAUUAUUGUAUGUCAAUCGGGAUUAUAAUUGAAAAUUUAGUUGCGCAUGUCCAUACAUAAAAUAGUUUGGCAGAAUCGUUUAUUAAACGUCUACAACUUAUUGCUAGACCAUUACUUAUGUAAACAAAACUACCAGCUUCUGUUUGGGGUCAUGUCAUAUUACAUGCUACAUUAUUGGUUCGUAUUGGACCAACUGUCUAUAAUCAAUAUUCACCUUUGCAAUUGGCAUUUGGUUAUGAACCUGAUAUUUCUCACAUACGGGUUUUUGGUUGUGCAGUCCAAGUCCCUGUUUCAUCCCCCACAACGUACUAAAAUGGGUUCCCAACGAAUACUUAUGAUUUAUGUGAGUUUUGAUUUAUCAUCAAUUCUUAGGUAUUUUGAACUUUUAACGGGGGAUUUAUUUGCUGCACAUAUUGCAAAUUGUCAUUUUGAUGAUAUGACUUUCCCAACUUUGGAAGGGAAAAACUACAACCCGAAAAAUAAUGUAAAAUUUUUUGGAAUGAAAUAACUCUAUCUUACUUUGAUCCCCGCAACACUCAAUGUGAGCAAGAGGUUAAAAAAUCAUUCAUUUGCAAAGAGUUGCAAAUCAAUUACCUGAUGUAUUUGUUGAUACAAGAAAAGUAACAAAGUCAUAUAUUCGAGCAGAAAAUAUUUCAGCAAAAAUUGAUGUUUCUACAGGACAAUCUACUGUGGCAAAUAAAUCUCAAAUACGUCAGAAGCGUGAUCGACCAAUUAGUACAAAACACUAUGUACCUCGAAAAAGAAAGGUACAUGAGAAAAACCAACCAAAAACUUCCAAAAAAGUAACAUUGGAAAAGAUUGAUCAAUCAAAUAUUGAAAAUAUAGUUCUCGAAGAACCACAUGUGCCUGAAAAUAAUGAAAUUUCAAUAAAUUAUAUGUUAUCUUAUAAAUUAUGGGAACGAAAUAAUGUUGUUGUAGACAAUAUUUUCGUUUUCAACUAGGCUUUUGAUAUUAUGCAAAAUGAUGAUCCUGAACCAAAUCAGUUAAAUACUGUUAAAAUAGAAAUGAUUGGCCAAAAUGAAAAGAAGCCAUACAGGCGGAAUUGAAUUCCUUAGAGAAAUGAAAAGUGUUUCGACAUGUAGUUCGAACACCUGAAAAUGCAAUCUAUGUUGAAUACAAAUGGGUUUUUUUGUGAAAGAGAAAUGAAAAUAGUGAAAUUACAAGAUAAAAAACCCGACUAAUAGCUCAAGGUUUCUCACAAAGACAAAGAAUUGAUUAUGAGAAAACAUAUUCUCCCGUAAUGAACACAAUCACUUUUAGAUUCUUAAUUAGUUUGACUGUUUUACAAAAACUUUAUAUGUGCCUUGUGGAUGUAGUAACUGCAUAUUUGUAUGGUUCACUAUAUAUGAAAGUCCCUAAAGGACUUAAGGUACUAGGAACAAACGAUAGAUGGUCGAGAACUAUGUUCUCAAUUAAAUUGCAAAGAUCAUUAUAUAGAUUAAAACAAACUGGACGCAUGUGGUAUAGUCACCUUAGCAAAUAUUUGUUGAAUGAAAGUUAUAAAAAUGACGAUAUCUACUCAUGUGUUCUCAUAAAGAAAACAAAUAGCGGAUUUGCAAUUGUGGCAGUUAUGUAGAUGAUUUAAAUUUAAUUGAAACCCCUAAGGAGGUAUUAAGUUUCUAAUUCUAACUGCCAUUAGUUUAGGCUUUAUAAGUUUGACAAGAGAUUAAUAAUCCGAAUGUUAUAGAUUAUCUGGGUUUACAUGAUGAUUGCAUAAUUGUUCAUUAUUAGAUUUAAUUGUUCUGUCAAAUUACACAACCAGUAUUAUGUGUUAGAUCUAGCAGUAGCUAUGCACUGUAUGAAUUCUUCCACAGUAAAAUUUGAAUUAUUUUCAAAAUUAAUAAAAACAAUUGUGCUUCUGUUAAUACAAUGUGACAACUAUCUUAUUAUAUUUUAGAUAUCUAUAACAUUAUCCAAAUCAAGCUGAUUAUUUUUCUUUGAAUUAUGGCAUACUUUUAUACUGUUACCUAGAAUUUUUUUGGUGAUACUUGAUACUUUCUGGCUUAAUUAGAGAAAGUCUCGAAUAAUUAUAUAGCUUCUUCAAAAUAAGUAAUUCCACCUUACUCAUUUUCAACAGGUUCUCUUGAGUCCAUUGUAUUACACAGGCUUUCACUCUUUCUAGACAUUAAUUUGCAAUGAUAAAAAUGCAUAAGAUAUAAUUAGAAUAAUUUCUUUAAGGUGAUUCAUAUUGGUCCCAAGAAUCUUGCCAUGGUGUGCGGCAGCUCAUUAGCGUAUUACACUAGAAUAUAAUAGUCCAGCUAGCACAAUGCUCUCUCAAGUUUAUACUUUUUUUUAGAGAUCCCAAAAAAAUGUUUUUCUGCAGCAUUAUGUGUAAUAAUAGUAAGAGAAAUUUAUGCCAGAAAAGGUGAUAGUAGUAUCCAUCUCCACAAAUUCCUCAUCCACUAACGUUUUAUGCAAGUGUUCAAGAGCAUAUAUCUAUGUCAGUAAUCGUUAUGUAAAUUGCCGGAAUUAACUAUUCUAUUAUCUUAUAACUAGCAGGAUAGUAUUAUAUACGUAAUUCCUUGUUAUCGUGAUAGCAUUAACUAACUGGAUGUAGCACACAAUAUAUGCAUUUUUCUUGCAUUAACCGUUUGGUACCCAUUUUUUUCAAAAUGCAUUUUUCUCUCUUCUUUUCAAUCACACAUUCUUUAUUAAAAUAAUAUUACACAUAAAUAAUAAACUUUUCAUUAUUCUUCAACCACACAUUUCCCAUCAGUUUACUAUUCAAAAAUGUAUUUUUACAUAAAAAUGUCUCCUAAACACCCUCUAAAUAUUAAAAUCGAUAUUAGUAUUUUUUUCGAAAUUUUCCAAUAUUAAUUGAUGGAAUGGUACAGAGACGAUACCUACUCCAUUUAUGGAGAAUAUUGUAGCCAUUUAAAAAAACUUUGAUGCUACUUUCAAUGCAGCUAUUUUCCCGCUCUUUUCUUCUAGUAAUAACGCCGACAAUCCUUACAAAGAAUGGUUUCUAGAAUUCUUGAUUACAUUUGACCUCUCUAAUUUUAACUCUUGGAUCACCCUAGAUGCUGGAAAAUCGGGACAUUCCCCUGUUUCAAUCUUAACUUCCACUACUAAAAAUUAUGGCUUCAAGCAUAGAUUUUUCGUUCCUGAAAUUUUAAUAUCCGUUGCUAUAACUCUUUACUAAUGGAAUAUUUGCAACCGCAAAUUCGUUGCUAAUUUGAGGGUCGCUGAUAGUUACCAACGUAUCCUGCAGUAGGUAAAAAAUAAACAGUUUAUUAACGAAUUUUCCAUAGGUAAAGUGUGAAUCUUUUACCAAAGAAAUUUUCGUUGGUAAAAAACUUAACCAAUACCAAUCGACUUUCCGUUGGUAAAUCUCUACCAUUACAAUUGGUAAAAAUCAAUGUUGUAAAUAGCUGCAUAUGUGUGAGGCAUGGUAAAAAAAAUAUUUAUUAUUUUAUUAUUGUUAUUAUUAUUUAUUUAAUAAUUCUAUUUUUUUUUUACUGUUAGCCAACCGAAUUGAAAUGCCAAAAUAUUGUUUAAACACUCAUUAGAUCACAAAUUAAUUUAUAGAGAGUAACUCCGAAGACUUUGUUGUGAACUUUCAAUAUGGGAUAAGUGAAUUAUUUUUACUAGCGGAUAAUCCAUUUCUAAUUACCAACGGAAUAUCCGUAGGUGAAAUAUCCAAAUGCUAACGAUUACAUAAGGCACAAAAUAUCCCUUGGUAAAAAGAUACCAUCGUUACCAAUGAAAAAUUCGUUGCUGAUUAUCGUAGUUGAAAGUGAAUUAUCAUUACCAACAGAUAAUCCGUUUCUAAUUACUAACGGAUUGCAUCCAUUGGUAAUAUUCGGUGCGUCGCCUACGAAUAUUCCGUAGGUAAAAGAUUCAAAUGUUAAAUGGUUACAUGAGACACCGAAUAUCCGUUGAUAAAGAGAUACCAACGUAACCAACGGAAAAUUCAUUGCUGAUUAUCGUAACUGAAAGUGAAUAACUUUGACCAACGAAUAAUUUGUUUCUAAUUACCAACGAAUUGCAUCCGUUGAUAAUUUUUCGUAGGUGAAAAACUAUUUUUUAGUAGUAUUCUGACAUAAAUUUGAAAAGGAAACCCAAUGAAGCUGGACAUCGAGAGGGAAAUAAGAAGUCCAAUGCUUCAUUUAUCAACUGUGUUCUUAAUGGAACUGAUUCAUCUGAGAGAACUGACAAAAGUGUGCAAUUAAGUGAUGGUAGGAAUGGAGAAUUUGAGAAGCAAGGUGGAUGUGACAUGUUUUUCAAAGUUGGCACUCAGGUAUCUCCAUUGCAGUCGUCCGAUUGGAAUGACAAAAUGACCAGUGUUGAAGAACUAGAUAUGAAUCAGGUUUUGAAAUUUUCACCUGGUGGCUCUCCUUCCUUUGGUGAUGCCAAAGAUGCAGAUGUUUGCACUGAUGAUAUAGGUAGUAGAAAUGGGGUAAGAGUCAAACCCUCAUUUCGUCUGAGUAUAAUUGGAAGUACAAAAUCUCCUUCGAUUACUCAACUUGCUGCAUCAUUCCUUUAUCAAUUGAAUUCAAGGUAACACAAGUUGGGUUCAUCUGUUUACCACAGUAUUGAUCGCUGGGUGAACUAUUAGAGUAAAAAUCUCAGAAGGAAAUAACUAUGAACAUUUUUUCCUACUCUCGUAAGUGAACUUACUACCCAUCAAUUGAAUUUAUACACCAUGAAAACAAACUCAAUUGUUGUAAGAUGAUCGACAUGUCAGGACUUUGAUCACAAGAUUGUUCUUUCCAAUUGAAUAUUGGCCAUGUUGAAAUAGCUCUCCAGUUGUCUUAGAAAAUCGAUAUGAGUUAACUUCAAUAUCCCUUGGAAUUAUGGAGUACUCUUGUCCUCUUUCCUUGGUCUAAAGCCCUGCAUGACAUUUCUAUCCACUGAAGUCCUCACCUUGUUAUGCUGAUUGAUGGAACCACGUAUUCUAGUAGAAAUUUUUGUCUUUAUGAUCAUCAUGUCGAGGCGAUUAGAUCACUCCCAUUUUCAUAAAAUGCGAUGUUCACUGAAGUGCUAGUAUUAGUGAUUUCAGGUGGUUCAUCUUUCCUAAUAGCAUAAUCAAUAGCCAUCCAUCCUAAAUGGAGAAGAAUUCUCUCCUUCCAUACUUUAUAGUUGUCACCCUUUAAUUCAUGAAUAUCACAACGAAUAUAAGAGAAAUUAGAAGGUUGUGAAGUUGCAUAAUAUUAAAAUUUGCUUAUGUUAACUUGAGGCUUAAUAGAUUGCAUGUUUUACCACUGUAAAUUUGCUAAAAUUGAAUACAAUGACAUAAAAAUUGCCUAUAUCUUGAAUUUUCAAUUCAAACAUAUUCAAUUAUGUUUUAGAUAAAAUUAUCAAAUUAUAUAGUCAAUUCAUAAUUUGUUCAUUAUGAAAACAAUUUGAUAUUCUAUCCUAAAGAAAUCUUGUAAUAAAACUAUCAAAUUAUAUAUUUAUUCAUAAUUCCUAUGGGAAAAUUAUGAGAUAAUUUGAUAUUUUAUUCUAAUUAAUUAUAUAAAUAUAACAAAAAUUCUCGUGGGAUAAAAUUCAUAAUAUUGAGUAUAAUUAAUUACUAUCUAAUAUCAUUAAUCAUUAUGUGAUCCCCAUCUUAAUAUAUAAAUUUAUUUAAUUAAAGAUGCUAUGGCUAAUAAUUAAAUAAAUAAAAUCAUACUCAUCCCUAGACAUUAUCAUGUUGUGCAUAAACGAUUAACUUAAUAUGAGAAUAGGUCUAAGUGCACAAUAUUAACUAAUAUGUUAUGAUUAUAGACAAAAUAUUCUCAUAAACAUUCUAAAUUGAAUAAAAUAAUUGAAACAUAAUCAAUUUAUGCAAACUUAAUAUGAGCAUAAUUCAUAAUUUAAUACAUCCUAAAAUUGCAUAUAUUAUUCCAAACAUAAAUAAUUAACAUAUGCAAAAAUUAGGCCAAGAUAUAAGAUAUGCCCAUAUAUCAAAUAAAUAUGUCGAAGAAUUAAUUAGCCCAAUAGACAUAUAUGUGCCGAAGAAUUAAUUCUGUAAAAAGCGAUCUAGUAAAAGUGUAGGUUAUAGCCCAACUAUUAAUUGCAUAAAGAAAACAGGCAUCAUGAAAAUAACAGGCCCAAUAAGAAUUAAUCCAAUUAAAAAUGGGAAUUUUCACAUAUAUCCCAAUAUAGAAAGAUAAUUCCAAAAUCACUAACACAUAUUUUUUUAUUCCUAAAAUACUAUAUCUUGCAACAUAAAAUUACCGAAUAACCCAAUUAACAUAAAUAUAGGUAACUGAUUGCAAUCGAGAUACAGAUUUAUCUCCAAGUCAUUAAGUAGUUCCUAUAGUGUAAGGAUUUAUUAAAGAAACAAUUGGAUUAUUAAAUAACAUCCUGUUAUAAAAAGAGAGAAAAGAGAAGAGAACAGAGAAAAGUCAAUAAACUUGUGUCUUUUAUUAAGAAUCAAAGCUCUCUAUUUAUAGGGGAGAAUCAGGGUUACAACGGUAAUAAUUUUUAGGGCUGCAGAGGUAUAAUUGUCAUUCACCAAUAAACCCUAACGAACUUUCCUUUUUAGAACACUCCCCCUUAAAUGACACAUUAUAAAAUAUAUAUCUCAUUGAAACGUUAAUUAGCAAAAAUCCAAUGGGACAAAAAUGUCAACAAAAAGAGUAAAAAUAAUUUGGAGUAAUAAGAUGCUUCCUCGUUAAAACUUUGUCAAGAAAAUCCAGUGGGACAAAACUUGAUCGAAGUAAAAAGAGUACAGCUACUCCCCCUGAUUUCAAUUCUUGUAUUAAUUCAUCAUUGCCUUGUACGUCACUCAAUUUUGGUGAAAUGUCUCAUGUUGUCUUGUACAAUCUUCAAAUAAUACCAUCUUCGUAAGGGAUACUUUAUCAUUCUUUGAUAAUUGUAGUAACACGAUAAUUCGAAAAAUAACUCUUAUUGAUUUCUUCAAGAGUUUCAUAUAUAUAAUGUAUUAUUUUGAGGGUAAAUGUCUUGCAUGUUAUAGACAUUAAUUACACGAAGAAUAUGCCUCAUUAAAAUCUUAUUAGGAAAAAACCCUGCGAGAAAAAGUCCUAAUGAAGGAAAAAGAGUACAUUAUUCUUUUGAAUACGCUACAAAAGUUGCCUCAUUAAAAACCAUGCCAGGAAAAUCUAAUGGGAUAAAACCUUGGUCAAGGGAAAAAGGGUGCAACGCGUAUUUACUCCCUCUCAUAUUAAUAUCACUUGAAUUAUGAUUUAGGCAUAUUAAAUCUUUCAAGAUAACAUGGAUAGCCAAAUGUAUUGUCUAUAAUCAAAUUUGUAUCAAAUUCUACUCAUUGUCAGGCUAAUAAAACUGAGACUUGUAAUUAUAUCCACCACAUGAUAAUUUAUCUAUCUAUCUAUAUAAGUCUUCACGAAAUUCAUUAUGUAAAAAGUCGUACAUUUCACAUUACGACAUUACUUUUUCCAUUUUCAUUUCGCACAAGUAUACACCUCUUGGUGUUUGAACUGUAUAUCCAGAAACUUCAGGUUUCUCUAGUAAGUUUAAUUUGACUAGGAUCACGUCCAUUUUAUUUGGCCAAUCACUAUUUCAAUAGAUAUAUUUCAACGAAUUUAUUUCAAUUCCUCGCUAUAUGAUCGAUCACAUCAUAUGUAAAACUGUUGUCGACAACAUUUUCUUCUCUUGUUUGGUUCUAUUUCUUUCUUCAUGAUGACAUAAUUUAUUGAGAUAUCUCAGUUUUCAAUAUAUCAGGUACCUGAACCUCUUCUGAAAUUUUAUAAUCUGUUAUGUCUAAAUACUCAUAAGAGUAUAUGCCUCAUCAAUGAGACCGUCUUUGUUAAUUGCUCUAUUUGGAGAUUUUUUGUGUUAGAAUUGAAUAUCAUCACGCUUCAGGCAUGUCAUUAAAUAUCAUAUUAACUAAUUGUCCUCUGUAACGUUAAUACAAGUUGGAGCAUUUGAAGCUCAUGUGUAAGAUAUUAUUGAUCCAUUUGAUCAGUACAUGCAUCUAAAUAAAUUAUACUUCGAACUUCUUGUUCGAGUAAUCUUUUGCGAGAAUUUAGAUAAUGAUGCAUUUAUACAUUAUUUUCAACUUCUUAAUUCCUCCCCCUAAUGCUGAGAAAAUUGUCAAAUCAAAUUGAUAAAUAUUUUUACUACGUUAUAAAAUAUCACAAUUUGUAAUAAGGGUUCAUACCACACAUUUAUUCUCAGCAUUCAUUACUUUCCAUCUCAGUGCAUUGUGGUGGAUCAAUUUUAUACAUACUGCACUAUAAAAAUAAUUAGAUGAAAAAAUUAGGCUACGACCAUAAGCCAAUUUUAAUAGGGAAAACUAUGAUAUUGGCAAGAUACGUAAUAACAUUCCCUAAAUGGAAAUGGGAAAUACAUUGUUCUCAAUUAAAUUAAUUGUAGACGUUUAAUAAAGAAACUUGUUAAAUCAUUUAUCGACAUCUCAAAAAGCACUCAUUAAACCUACUAGCAUUAACAAGACACAGUUUUGAUUAUUUAAUCUGAAAAUUAUGCUCAUACUUUAAAAUUUGAGCAAUAAUUUCUCAAACUUCAGGUUGCGAAUACCAUGCAAUCAUCUAGUAUUUGUAUUAAAUUUAUUAUAUACAAAUAAUAUUUAGAUGAUCAACGUGGUGGGUGACAAGGCCCAUAUAUCACCCUAAUUAAUUUUCAGAUAUAUAGAAAAUUCAAUCCCAAUUUUAGCUAGUGGCCUUUAAUGAUCAACUGUUGAUAAUGAGAACAAAUGAUACAUAGAAAUUUAAAGAAUUAAAUAAUCUUCUUGUUCUUCAUUUUGAUUUCGCAUCAUUGUUGAUCCAGUGAUGGUCCAACUAGUCAUGCCAAUCAAACUGAACUUCUGGUUCAAUACAAGAUAUAACCCAAUUAUUUAAUUUCGAAGAAUAUGAUUAAAUAUUAUAUAAUCAUAUAAUGAUCAAUGUCCACGUGACAUAAGUCGUAUGCUUUCCUCUAGGGAUAAACAAAAAUUCAAAAUGAUAUAUUCUUCGAAAACGUGCUACUUUGAGAGCACAUUAAUUAUUGCUUCUUCAAGAGCAAUACAUAAAUAUUUUUUUUGAAAUAUUGAUAUAUACCUAGUUAUGAUUAUUUACAAGUGAUAGGAUAAUAUUCUUCAGGAAUAUUGACACAUUUAAAUUAAUCAUAACAUUUUUCUAAAAUAUUAUUAUGCAUGAAUUUGUGCUUCUUUAGGAACACAAUACUGUAUUCUUCAAGUAAACUAGUAUAUAUUAUUUUUACUUCUUUUGGAACAAUAUAUCAAUAUUUUUCUUAAAAAUAUUGAAAUUAUAACGACGUGCUUUCCAAUAGCAUAUCAUUCUUUGAGAAUAUUGAAUCACCAAAUAGUAUGCUCUUCUAGAGCGAUAAAAUUGUUUUGAAUUAUUUGUGUUUCUUCAAGAACACAACAAGAUAUAAUUCUUCAAAAUGUGUGCUACUUUAAGGGCAUGUUGUGUUUUAUUAUUACUUCUUCAAAAGCAAUAUAUCAAUAUUCUUCUGAAUUAUUGAAAGUUAUACAAUAAUUUAUUCUUCAGGAGUAAAAACACAAUUUUCUAAUGAUGCUCUUCGGGAGCAAGUAAAAUAUAACUAGAACAUUAAUAAUAAUGUGUUGAUUCAAGAGCAAAAAUAUUGUAUAGUAGACAAAUAUACGAGUAUUAAAAUCAUGUAUGAUAAGGGUAAGAACGAGAUAAUUAAUCAAACGAUAAACAAUAGUAAUUGACAUUUAGCGAUGAACCUAAUUUAAUAUAUGAUAUUUACACAAUCACAAACCGUAAUAAUUAAGUGCCCACUUUGUUUAAUAUAAACUUAAAAUUUGUCACCAAAAUUUAACUAGAUACCGUGACAUAAUUAUGCAUACAUAUACGUGUAAAAUUAAUAUUACCUUCUAUCAAAUAUGAAGAUGAAUUGCAAACUUACGUAGAUAGCAUUGCCUCAGAACCUCCAAAAAUGGUACAAGAAGGAAUUGAUGAUAAAUUUGGGUGGCUGUAACCUUGGAUAUCAAUCAUUAACCACGAAGGAGAAUUACACACGUGGUGGUCACACAUCUUGAAAAUGGUCGUGCACAUAAUUUAGAUAAAUACGUCUAUUAGUAAUAUGAUGCUCUUCUGGAGCAAUUAAUAUUCUUUUAGAAUAUUUUUAUAGCAUGGGUUGUGUUUUUUCGAGAAUAUCAACACUAUAUUCAUUUAAAAUAAAUAUAAUUUAAGUUAUACUUCUUCAAAAGCAUUGAGUCAAUAUUCUUCUGGAAUAUUGAAAUUGUAAUAUCAUACUCUUCUGGAGCAAUUAAUAUUCUUUUAGAAUAUUAAUAAUGUCGUGCUACUUCAAGAGUACCAACAAACUCUUGUUUAAAAAUAUUAACUCUAUAGGAGUAUGUUAUCAUUAUAAAAUAUUUAUCUGUAUGAAGAUCCGCUCUUCAAGAGUAAUAAGUAUAAUAUUCUUCUGAAAUAUUAAUUAUAAUGUUGUGCUACUUCAAAAACAAAAUAUUUAUAAUAAACAUAUUUAUGAUUAAUAUUCUUAUGGGAUAUUAAAAAAAAUAUUGUUCAUGUAAUGUUGUGCUACUUCAGGAGCAACAACAUGAUACUCAUCUUUGAUAUCGAUCUAAGAUAUUUCUCAAAUCAGGAAAUAAACUAAAUUUUAUAAAAUCCGCUCUUUGAGAGAGAGUAAUAUUCUACUAGAAUAUAACCAUCAUAUGAAAUUUAAUAAACAUGAAUUUUGGAUUCUUCAGGAAUAACAAAAUAUUCUUCAUGACCAAUAUGUCAAUGUUGUGCUACUUCAGGAGUAACAAUAAAAUAUUUGUAGUAGACAGAUCUACAAAUAAUAUUUUCAACAAUUAAUCCGUAUUUGUAAAGCUUUAUUAUUGUUAAUUUAUAUGAAGUACAUGAAAAUCGAACAAACAUUUAUAUAUAUAUAUAUAAAUUCCAAACAUUAUAUUUUACCAUAUAAACAUGAUAUGAAUUUAUAUGGAAAAAUUAAUUACCAAACAUGUAUUAGGAAAAAAAUCUCCAUACAUAGAAGUUAACAAAAAUGGCUAUAUCUUUUAUUAACUAAAUUUUUUACCAACAUGCAAAAAAUACUAAACAUGCACGUGAAUUUCACAUAUAUAGAAAUUAAAUGUAGAACUAAUAUGUGACAAAUUCAAAAGACAGUAUUAACACUGAAUAAUGCAUGAAAAAAAUGAUUGAGUAUGAAUCAAAAGACAUGAACUAAUAUGUGUACAUAUUACACACAUAAACAUGAAUUAAAAUUAAUAUGUAUACCAACGAAAAGUAAAGGAGAAUGAACAACCUUGUUAUGAUGUACAUGUAUAUCGAAAGAAUUCACAUGACACCAAAUUAAUUUUGGUACAUAUGAUAAAUAUUUAUACUUAUAAAAAAAUUACUGCAUUUACUAAACUUUUAAAAAUUAAGCUAUCGUGCUGAUAACAUGUUAUAAAAAGAGAGAAAAGAGAAGAGGAUAGAGAAAAGUCAAUAAACUUGUGUCUUUUAUUAAGAACCAAAGCCCUCUAUUAUUAGGGCAGAAUCAGGGGUACAACGGUAAUAAUUUCUAGGGCUGUAAGGGUAUAAUUGUCAUUCACCAAUAAACCUUAAUGAACUUUCCUUUUUACAACACAUCCGUGUGUAGUUCGAGGUAUAAUUCUAAAAUCCCUUUUUAUUAUUUUUGAAAUUUCUAUUUCAGAUCACUUUAUAUUACUAAAUAAUGAAAAUUCAUGUCUGGCAAUUUACAGUCUUAUGUUAAUUUUUAUUUUUAUUUUUUUCCUUUCUGAAAUGUAAGGCAAUACAUUGUAAGUGUUGCUAUAAUAUAACUUGUAAUGUCUUAACAUUUUUAAGUAUAUUAUUGUUACGUGUGCAAUAUAAUUCUUAUUUUUGUAUCAUAUUGUAUAUUCUAUAGCAAUUAUGGAAUGUCUAAAGGAGCGAUAUUAUGUAAUUUAUGAAAAAUGGAAUGUUGCGAAUCUUGAUAUGUUCUUAUAUGAAUCUUGAAUAAUUAGUGGUUGCAUAUAUAACAUUUUGUUACAUCCAUCAAUCAUAUUUUGUUAUGAUGUUAUGUCAAAUUAAUAAUAUAUAUGGUAGAUUGUUUACUAUAUUUUUGUCAGGUUUUGUGAAAUUGUAUUGUAUAUUAAAAUAUAUUACACUUGGUACUUUGACAACUUACAUGUAAUAUAUUUUGUCGUGUCAAUCAAGGGUAUUCUAAGACUCCUAUUUGAUUUUAUAUUUGACUAAAAAAUACUAUAAUUUUUGAAUUGUAGAGAGAACAUACAAUCUUUGAAUUGUAGAGAGAACAUACUGGAAUUGAUGCUCAAAAUUUGGAGUAAAAGGGACUGAGAUGAGAAAUCUUUGGGAUGUUUUGGAAUUUUUUGGAUUAUCAUAGCUUUGAUUUUGAACGUAUGCGGUACUAUGAUUUGAGAAAGUUUGGAUGGUUCCACAUUACUUUGGGAUUUUUAGAUGAUAAAUUUGGUGUAUUUGAUUAGGUGUGUUUAGAGGAGUGAUAUAAACUGGUUAACUAAUUGAUUGUAGGAGUGAAGUUGUUUAUGAUAUUUUACUUUUACUUACUAGAAUACAGUAUUUCUAGGAUAAAAAAAUGUGAAAAUGUAAAAUUUGAAUUAGUAAGUAAAAUGGAGUAAGACAUGCAAUUUCAACAUUCAAAUAUCUUAUGACCUUUUUUUUUUUUAAAUGGACCAAACUAUAUAUAUAUAUAUAUAUAUAGUCCUUAGCCCAAUAAUUGACUAAUUCAAAUGAAUGCAAAUGAGUUACGUUCAUUCCUAAAAUUAUAGUCAACCUCUAACGAGUUGAAAACAAUCCGACUCCAAACCCACCUCAAACUCAACCUUUCCUCCAUGAAAACUCAAGUUUGAAAACAUACAGAGUCUAGAAAGGUGAUUUUAUGGACAAAUCUGAAUUUAUUUUCAGAAAAGGAUUUUGACUAGAAUUCAGAUUUUUACGUAUUGCUCCAUAAACAUCAAGGCAGAGGUAAAAUGAAGCUCUAAUACCAAAUGUAAGACAAAAAAUCAAUCAUAAACAAUUAUAAUGUAAUGAAUUGGAUCGAAAUAUCAAAAAACCUGUGGAUCGAAUCCAUACCUCCAACAAUUGAUGUUGAUUCAACACUCUUAAUUGAUGGUGUAUAUUGUAUUUUCCAGUGCCGGAGGGGGGGGGGUGCUGAGCUUGAGUAUCAAAACCCAUCUAUAUAUAUAUAUAACCAAAAUCCCCAUCAAAUUAUGGCUUCAGUUACCAGCCUUGAUUGUCCAAUUGAUGGGCAAGUUUUUGAAAAACGUUGGACCACACUGAGUGAAGAAAUGGAACGAUUACACAAUAUUGUACCAGAUUCCUCCUAGGAACACACAAUAACUAGCGUGGACUUACGAUUAUCUAUGCAACUAGCUCACUUUGCAUUUGAGUAAGCUUCAAGCAACGAACCUAAAAUGAAGACCAAAGUUUAGUAGUAUGCUUAAGAUAUAUUAGAUUUUGUUUGUAGGCCUAACAAUACAUUCAGAGUUAAAAUAAUUACACAUCAUCAUAUCAUCAAUUAAAUCGAGACACAGUUUGAAUAGAACAUGUAAUCAAAGAUCUUGAUUGUAUAACACCCACAAUAUCUAGAUUGCUCGGAUACCAAUUAUUGAAAAGAGAACGAGAAUUACCCAAAAAUAAAAAAUAAAAAAAUCCUUAAUUUAAGAAACUGAGAUCAUACUAGAUAUUCACAUAUAUGUUAUAUUCUUGAAUAUAUAAAUUUAAAAUUUUCCUAAAUUCGAUAACCAAAUUCUUGGCCAGAUCACGAAAUGUCAUCUUUUUAUUUGAAGAACAUGAUGCUUCCAACUUUCAAAUCUUCUAUGAUAUUUGUUAUAAAAAAGUGAGAUGGGAAAAAAAAUCACUGGUAGGGAAGGAGAAAUUAACCAUAUCAAAGAUGAUUACAAAAGACGCUACCACUCCGAAUAAUAUGAUGUUAUGAAACCUUAAUAUGUAUUGUAUAGGGCAACUUACAAAAAUACCCUUAAAAUUAGAGGUGUUUUGAAAAAUCAUAUGAAAAGUUUUUAGGAAGUAAAAAAUACUGUGUAAAAUAUAAAAAGUGACACAAUGUCACUUUUUUAUAAAAAUUGUCCCUUUUUUUUUUUUUUACAAAUGCAAAAAAAGUGACAGGAACACUAAAAAAGUGAGAAACACCAAAAUAGCACCAUCCAUUUGGACAGCACCACUAAUUACAUUCUUAAUAUAAUCAGCAUAUCUACGACAAUUCACUUGAGCUUAAUGACGGUUCUUAACAUAAUCAACAUGUGGAUUGUUAAUGUCCUAAUUAUGUGAGGAAAAUAUAACAUAUUAUGUCACUUUUUUAUCUUCUUCAAAAAGUGACAAAUAUUUAAAAAAGUGACAAAAACUUAGAAGGUGACAUUAAAACUCAAAAAAAGUGACACAUUGUAACUUUUAAAAGUUUGGUGUCACUUUUUUAUUAAAAAAUGACAUACAAUCUCACUUUUAUUAAAAAAAAAAAUGAUGUUUGCCAUUGAAAAGGUGAUAAAAAUUUCAAGAAGUUGACUUAAAAAAAGUAAUGAACAAUAAAAAAAAGUGACAAAAUUUCAAAAAAAAAAAAGUGGCAAAAUUUCAAAAAUGUGACAAAUUAAAAAAGUGACGAACACUAAAAAAAGUGGUGAAUUUAAAAAAGAGAUAGAAAUCAAGAAGGUGACAAACAUUAAAAAGUGACGAAAAUUCAAAAAAAAAGUGACGAAUUCAAAAAAAUGCAACCAAGUUUACAGUAAGCUCACAAGUCACAACUAAUGAAAAUUGAUGACUAAACUAAGAUGUAAAUAUCAAAAAAUCAUAUAAACGUUCAUCACUAUUAAUCAAAUAAUAUUUUUUGCGGUCUUCAAAUCAUAACAUAUCCUACAGUUUGCAUACUGACCAAACAGUUUACCAAACUCGGACAAUAUUUUGAGUACCCGAAAAUCACUGUAAUAUGGGAAACGUUGUUCUUCUGGGGCACUGCAUCAAAAAAUCUGCAUGCUAAUUUUAUCUUCCUGCAAUCUUGGUACCCUCAGAUCAUAGCAUUCCAGGAAGCAAAACUAUUCCUUGGCAUCUGUUGAAACAAUGCAUAUCCCUGCCCCUUGCAUAACUAGAAACCAUUUCAUUCCAAGAUAUCACAUCCUUCUUUGGCAUUUCAUCGAACACACUUUGAGCUGCUAAAGUUAUGAUCUGAACAGAAAUUUAGAUUUUGCCUUUUAGCAAACUGAAAAAAGGAGUAUAUAUAUAUAUUGCAUACCAAGUUGAAUAGAUGAGAAUUUAGAAUGUGCUUCUAGACAGAGAAACGCAGAGAUGUAGAGAGAGAUGAGACGCUCCAAAGGGGAUGGUGUAUUGAUGAAACCAUUGCAUUCCAAGAUAUAACAUCCUUCUCUGGCAUUUCGUCAAACACACUCUGAGCCAUUACUAAAUCUCCCCGAUUUCACAUACCCUGCUAACAUCAAUUCCAGAAACAACGUUCUUCCAGCAGUCUGAACAAACAACAUUACAAAAACCAUAUUUGAAUACAAAAACAAUAUUACAAAAACAUAAUCAAGUUCUCGUGCAACAUAGUUUCCAAUUUCCACCCAGGACCACGUCGCAGCAGCCAUUGCAAACGAUAGUGCGGUGGUGUUUGCCUAGAAGGGUGAAACACUUCACGAGUACAAGUGGUGUAGCAAGCGGGCUCUCGAUUGGGGAUCUGGUGGUGAAACCGAUUUGAGUUGUGAAUGACUGUGGCGAUGCUCCUCCCCUCAUUCACGAAGGCUUCAGGAGUUUGGAGGUUUAAGGGAGGUUAUAACGUAUUAAUUACGUUGUUGAAUGAUUUUAUUAAUUAAAUAGGGUAUUAAUCAAAUUAGUAAUUUUUUUAGGGCAUUGGGCCUAAUUUACCCUAUUGUAUAUGCAAUAAAAUAGGUCCAUAGCCUGAGUGGAGCCCCUAAACCACCAUAGCGAUUAGUAGUGGGCUGCAGGUCAGGCCUCUCAGCCCGAUCACUCCGCUACCUUUUUCUCAUAAUUUUAUAGUUUCACCACAUAUGUUGCACAACCAGAUUUCCGUUUUGGGUCAAAUAAAAUUCAGGUCACCAUGUUUUAACAAUAUUCUUUAAAGUCAAGAGUACAAAUGAUCCUUUCAAGAUACUCCAUACGUACAAGUGUCAUCAUUAAACUAUUUAUGCAAUAAAGACAAAUCAUAAUCUCAAAUAAUAAAUUAGUCAACACGACAAGUUUCUAAUACAAGUCAGACCUUAUAUAUCAAUAUUGAACAAGUUUAUUUAUGAUCAAAAUAUAAGUAUAGUGUACUUCUUCACUGAAACACCCACUUAUAGUAUCACUACUGAUCAUUGACAUUUUUAUUCAAAUGCUCUAUAUUAAAUAAAAUGCAAUAACACUAAAUAUAUAAAAAUAAUGUGUUGUUUAAUAAAAUUUUCAUUUUACAACUCUGAAAAACUAUAUUAUAUAGACAUGCAAUCCAGUGAUUAUCCUCCUUGGGAGAAAGAACACUUCUUAGAGUUGGAAAAUUCUUCCAUAUGGAGGAAAUGACUGAUUUCAUGGACUUGAGGAUUCAAGUAAAGAAAUUGAGCUCUUGUAUUGACGUUGUCACCAUUAUCUUUCUUCUAGUCAUCAUUAGUCACUACUUCUUUCACUAGUUUGAUCUGACUGACGAUAAACGAUAGGUUUUCCAGUCUUUGGGAGAAGGGAUUCAACUUGGUCGUGUUGUUGCUUCCCAUCUUGGCGGCGCUUCCUACAAGAGGUGUCAUUUUGUUGAUCCAUGAUUUUUUUGGGCAAAUAUUGGCCAACAUAGAGUGAGUUGUAACUUGUCUAGGCAACAGAAUCUUGCUUCUUUUACUUUCUCUCCAUCUUAGACUCCACAAAAGUUAUUUUACUUAAUGCACUUAGUUCAACUUUAGCGAUCAAGUAUAUCUAAUUAAAGUCCAUAUUUUCCGUGUAAUUAUCUAUAGAUUGUGUUCCCUUUAUUUCUAAAUUUCUAAUUCUAUAUUGUAUUUCUCCGAGAGUUAUGUAUAUUUUAUUUAUUCUAUUAUUUGUAUUGAUUAUUCUAUCCUAAUCUUUCUAUAAUUUGCUAUGGUUUUUACGUUUAUUAUGAAUUUCUUCUUUUAUUCCUAAACAAUUAUUACACUAAAUUUUCAAACAAUUUUACAUUAAUUUCUAUUCUUAUGCACUAGGUAUAUUUUACAUAUUUUAUAUUUAUCCAUCAUUUAUAGACACAUUUUCAAAAAUUCUAUUUCUUCUAAACUACUAUUCUAUACUUGUCUUCAAGACUACUUAAUAUUUCUAAAUCGUCUAAUUCCUCAUUUGUAUGAAUACUAUAUACAUACAAAAUUCAUUACCUGAUAAUUUUAUAAUAUUGUACUAUAUUUCUUCAAUUAUCAUAGAUUUAUUUAAAAUUUCCCUAUUUUUAUUUUUAUUAGGGCAUUUAUUAGCAAAAGGUUUGGGUUCUCCACAAAUAUAACAUUAUAGUCUUUUCAACUUUUUGGCUUUUUAACAUGCCUUUAAUAACUGGGUCUUUUAAUUUUGUAAUAUGUCAUACUCGGUCUAAUAUUAUACUUUCUUAUUUUGGCAUUUUCUUUUGUAUUUAUGAUUUUUUUUUUUUUUAUAUAAUUUUUUUCUUUCUUUUUCUAUAAUCAUAUGCCUAUCGCGCAUAUAAAUUUGAAAAAAAAAUGAAUAAUUUAAUUUCUAUAUUUAUUUUCUAAUUAUUUCUUUUAUACAAUAAUUUUUUAAUUUAUCAGUGAUUAAUUAUAUAUUAGCACUAUAAAUUUUUCAUUUUAUUCCAGGUGCUGAUUCUACAUCAUUUUCUAAUCUUAUCAUUCCAAGGUGAUAAUAUCUUUCUAUAUAAUCUGUGAAGUAUAGAUACAUCUAAUGCUAAUCUUGCUACACUAGCUAGUCUUUCAAAGUCUAAUAAAAAUAGUUUUGUGUACUUCAUGUUGCUUAUAAUUAAUUUUUCUAAUUCUUCAAAGGCUUUGUUUUGUUCAUAUGAUUUAUCUGUUCUAGGGUUAGAUCAUAUAAUUAUUUCUCUAUUAAAGCUAGUAAUCUUUCUUGGAUUUUCUCCUUUGAUCAUUCUUAAUCUAAUUUCUUUCGACUUUAGACUUUUGGCUGUAACAUAUAUGUAUAAUGUCAUCUUUCCUAAAUAAGUUUCUAAAUAAGCCCACAUUUCAUCUAAAGUCCUUUAUGUAGAGACACUAUUAUAUGCCUUAAUAACAUAAUUUUUCCAUUUAGUUAUUGUAUUAGGUUUGUCUUGAGGUUUACAAUUAUUUAUUUCUAAAAUUAAUCAUCUAUUACUUGCUAUAGGUAAACUACAUUCUCCUUCUACUUGUCUUUUUCUUAAACUUUUAUAUUAUGUGUAAUAUCCCGAAAUUUUAGUAGAAUAGAAUUUAAUUUUUUGGUAUACUAUAUUUUAAUAUUUUGAAAGUUUAGGGACUAAAGUAUAUAUAAAGUAAAUUUCAAUUGGGUCAUAUAUUUAGAUAAAUAUGACCGAGCAAUAAUAAGUAUAUAAAUAUUGGGCUCGUUGGAUAGAUCAUAAUUAAAAAUGCAUAUUAAGCUCGAUAAAAAGUUAAUUUGGAUUAGUGGAGCCUAAGUUAUCGAAGUCGGAAGAUAUAACCUUAAAUUAUAUUUUAAAUGAGUUUAAAAAAAAAAUAAGAGAGAUAUAAGGAACCACGAGAGAGAGAGAGAUGCGCUGUUUAAAUUGAAAUUCAAAUUGUUUGAAAUGCUGCCACGAGUAGUCGAGUAUGGAAAUAUAUUGAUUUUUGGGUGAUAUGAUUGAUUGGCAAGACUUAGUUUAAUAUUUUGUUUCAAAUACGAUUUCCUCAACUUUUAUCCCAUUUAACCACUAUAUCUUACACGUUUCCCACUACAUGCCAUCUGUUGGGAGUUAGGUUAUUGUUGCCCAUGUAUAUCUAUACAAAUAUGAUAGAGAGGACAAAAAAAUAACACGGUGAUCACAGUAGAAGCAGAAAAAAGGGACGUUAUACUUAUUUUGUCUUCCAAAAAUCAAAACAAGUUCACAAGAUAGGAUAUUGAGAUCCAGUGUUUUUCUAUCCCAUUUAAAUAUUUGUUUUUCAUGUUGAUGAAUUUCAUACUCAUAAAAGUUAAAGUUAUAAUAUGAUAUGCUAUGAUAUGAAUCAUAUGACCAUUUCGGUACAAUGAUAUGAUAUGAGAUGAGCUCUUACCGAAUUUAAAGAUUUAAGACAUUAUGAUAUUUUGACACAUGCUUUAAAAUUUUUAUAAGGGAUUGCACCAUAAAUUUUUAUAUCCUACUGAGUAUUCUCAUGUACUCACCAUUUUUCCUACACCUCAUAGCUUAGAUCGGGUCGUGUCGGAGCACGGUGGUUCGAUGGUGUGGUUGUGCCUCAUUUUGCUAGAUAAAGAUGUAAUUUAGAACGUAAUUUUAUUUCUUUUAAGUUUAUUGUAAAAGACGCUUAUUUUUAAAAAAAAAAAUUUUAAAAAAUUCGUACAUGUUUAUUCGCAGAUGAAUAUAUGUAGUUUGCAUUUUAAAUAAAAUUUGAAUUAAAUAUUAUUUCUUCUACUGAUUUCAUUGUUUAAAAGUAAUUGGUUAUGUAGCCUUGUUCGUGUGAAAGAUUAAUGUUAUGUACUUUUUCGUGACCUUCCCAGACUUCAUGAAAAUUUAAGGUCAAAUCAAUGAUUCCUUACUUGUCACAUCACGGUUUCAUUGUCUCCCUUAGGUAUACUACACGACAAAUUGGAGGCUUUAAACAUGGUUGACUGGUGGACAUAUCCAUACAUUAAAUAUAUGUCUCAUUGCCUUGUGAUGUAGUGUGUGAAUUCUUUAAUAAAGUAAGACAACUUUUUGGGAGUAUUCUCUCAUUUUGGAGCGUGUCCCAAGUCUUGAAAAAAGAAAAAAGCAUAUUAACUUUGAUUGGGAAUUUCACUUAUUCUAUGUAAAUAUAUGGAAUUCAUCUCAUAUAUAUAUAAUGUCAGAUGGUAAUUGUUUCACACGUGAACAAUUAAAAGAACGGGGUUUUUUCUCUAAUCAUUAAAUUGCAAAUUUUAUGUGCUCUUUUUUUUUUUUUAAAUGUACACGUGGAAGAUAUGGUGUAGGAAAAUAUUUUUUCUUUCCUUUCUAUUGAUUAAUAUGUAUUUCUUUUUACGCAAAUUUGAGUAAAUUACCAUUUCAUAACUAUAUAUUUUAUUGUGCCACGCUAUUUAAAUUUACAUGAAAAUUUUGGUAACAAUUCAAACCUUUAAUUAAAUUUGGGUCGUUGCAUUUUAUCUUCCCAUUCAUAUAAUUUUUUAGGGUAAAAAGGGUACUUCCCUCCAAUAUCAUAUUUUUUUAUUCAUAAUCUCUUUUCCUUUUCUAGAUUUUUGGUCUGUUUUCAUUCUAAUUUCAACAUUCUUUUGAUCUUCCUCUAAUAAAGCUUUUAUUUCUACUUCUUUGUACUUUCCAAGAUUCCUAUAUUAUUCAAUAUCUAUAUAUCUAAAAAAAAUUUCAUCUUCGCUUUCGUCUUCACUUUGCACUUCUUCACUAUAUAUAUAUAUAUAUAUAUAUAUAUAUUCUUCUUUCAUUCUCAUCUUUUUUUUUUGUCUGAUAAUUAUAAUUUUCAAUAUAAUACUUAGAGUUCCAUUACUAUUUUUAUAAAUGAUAUUAUAUUUGGUAUCAAUAUUGGUUUUUUCAAAAAAUUUCUAUGUUCCAAUCUAAAUCUGCAUUUAUUUCUAAAGUGAAUUUUUUUUAGCUAGGAUGGUUUUUAUACCGUUUAGUUCUAAUAAAAUAAUUAUUUGAUUAUGUUCAAAUUUAUAAUUAGUAGUGCUAUUUUCACUAAAUCUUCUUAUAAAUCUGUACCAAUUAACAAAUUAUCUCAUCUCUUUUCCUUUUUGUUCUAGUAACAUAAUUGUUUGAUCAUUUCUAAUUUAUAAUUAGUAUUGCUAUUUUCACUGAAUCUUCCAAUCGAUCCUGUACAAAUUAACAAAUUAUCCGCAUCUCUUUUCAUUCGAUAUCCUUUAGAUUUCACUCAUAUUUUAAUGUCUAUAUAAAAAAUUUUUGUUUUAACUAAACAAUAUAGUGUAAGUGAUGUAGAUUGAAUCUACAAACACACGACAACAAUAACGAAACGGAUUGAAUUCAGAAACAAACUUUUAUUAUUUCGUGAACAACCAAGAAAACCUUAGGAGGCGUCUUGUGGCGUCUUAAAUAUGAAAGAAAAGAUAACCUACUGGGCUAGCAGUCCCAAAAUGGGCUGGGCUACAAAAUGGAAAUAACAAAUGCUGAAAAUAAAUAACACAAAAACUUAAAAUGCUGUUUUGACACACUAAACGACUUCAAAUGCCCAAAAACCCUCGUACAUCACAGCAAAGCUGUGAGUUCAAUCUGAAACGCUCGCUACCUUUCCGAAAUGGGGUUAUGGGCCCAAAACGGACACCAAAUGCAAAAGUUACAUCAAUUUCUUUGAAAGCCGACCAUCCAACUGUUCGGGUAUGCCAAUACCUGUUCCUCCACAUAAACCUCAUCAUUCUCCGGGGGAUCAAUGGGAUUCGCCCUCGAAUCAAAAUCGGUAGCACUAUCUCCCACGUUGUCUCCAUGGUAUGGCAAAAGAUGCUUUACAUUAAACACAUCAGAAGUCCGUAUAUGGGAAGGAAGUCGAAGGCGAUAGGCGUUGGGGUUGAUCUUCUCCACAAUUUCCACUGGACCAAUGGUACGAGGUGAUAACUUCGAAUGCUCAACGUCAAACUCAACAGGACGUCGAUGCCGAUCAGCCGCCUCUUUAUACUUACGGUUGGACUCUAGCAGAUUAGCUCGUUUUUCCUCGUGAACUUGUUGCAAACUACGAACAAAGUCAAUAGCUGUCCCAUGCAGCCGAGUCUUAGAGGACAGAGCCAAUAAAUCAACAGGGCUGCGGGGCAGAAUACUAUACACAACCUGGAAUGGACUGAAAUCGGUGCUUCUAUUUCUAGCAUGAUUAUACACAAACUAUGCUUGGCUAAGCCGCUAAUCCCAUGAGCGUAGAUUAUCCCCAACCAAGCACCGCAACAAGUCACCCAAAGAACGAUUAACUACCUCAGUUUGCCCAUCAGUUUGAGGGUGAUAAGCACUACUAAAAUUGAGCGACGUGUUAACUGACUUCCAUAAACUCCGCCAAAAGUGACCGAUGAACCUCGUGUCUCUGUCAGACACGAUGGAAGUGGGCAACCCAUGCAACCGAUAAAUUUCUCUGAAAAAUAGUUGAGAAACUUUGACAGCAUCAAUGGUGCGCUUGCAGGGAAUGAAGUGCACCAUUUUAGAAAAACGAUCUACCACCACAAAGAUGGAAUCAUUACCACGUUGUGUGCGCGGUAAACUCAGGACAAAAUCCAUGCUAAUAUCAGUCCACGGAGCUGAAGGCACUGGUAAGGGUCGAUAAAGACCAGCGUUUGUGGCUUUCCCCUUUGUCACGUGGCACACCCUGCAUCGUGAGACAAACUUUUCCACUUCACGACGCAUAGUAGGCCAGAAAAAUGAACCGCUAAUCAAAGCCAAAGUACGAUCUCGCCCAACAUGACCUUCACCAUGAAACUCCUCAAUCAAUUCAAACGAAGGCUGCAAUCUGGUAUACACAACUGAAUACCUCUAAACACAUACCCAUCCUCUAACAGAAAAGAGGAAUGGGGUCCCUGCAGUAAACUGUGAUAGAUGGGGCCAAAAUAAGGGUCAUCAGCAUAAAGAGAGACGAAGGUCUCAAACCCGGUGACCGCUACCUGUAGCCGCGCUAAUAACCCAUGCCGCCGACUGAGCACAUCUGCCACACGAUUAGAAGAACCAACCUGAUGUUUAAUGACAAAGUUGAACUGUUGCAAAAAGGCAACCCAUGAUGCAUGACGGGCAGAUACAGACUCCUUGCUUGACAAAUGCUUGAGGGCUUUAUGAUCACUGUAUAAGACAAAUUCUCGCUGAAACAGAUAAUGUCGCCAAUGGCGAAUGGCCUGAACAACAGCUUAAAGCUCUGCGUCGUAAGUGCUAUACCUUCCACGAGCCCCUACCAACUUCUGACUGAAAUAAGCUACUGGUUUUCCUUCCUGACUGAGGACAGCUCCAAUACCUAAUUUAGAGGCAUCACCAUGUAAUGCAAAAGAUUUUGUGAAAUCAGGCAACGCAAGUAUCGGGGCUGAAGUCAGACGCUCCUUAAUGAUCAAAAAUGCUUUCUCAGCUUCGGGUGUCCACUGAAACUUACUCUCCUUCAUGCAAUCAGUAAUGGGAGACAUAAUGGUGCUAAAAUGCUGAGUAAAUCGUCGAUAAAACGACGCUAAACCGUGGAAACUCCGCACAUCAGAAACUGACUGUGGACGCGGCCGCUGCCGAAUCGCAUCAACCUUAGCUGCAUCCACCGUUACCCCACCGGCUGACACAACAUAUCCCAAAAACAAAACACUAUUGGUAUAGAACACGCACUUCUUAGUGGCUGCAAAGAACUUCUCCUUGCGUAAAACAGUAAGGACUUCCCUUAGAUGCACACCAUGAGACUCCUCCGACCCACUGUACACCAAUAUGUUAUCGAAGUAUACAACAACUCACUUACCAAUAAACGGUCGAAGUGCUUGGUUCAUCUCCCGCAUGAACGUGCUCGGUGCAUUGGAUAGUCCAAACGGCAUAACUAGCCACUCAAAUAAUCCCUCCCGUGUCUUAAAUGCUGUCUUCCACUCAUCACCAGGACGGACUCUUAUCUGAUGGUAACCACUUUUCAAGUCCAGUUUGGUAAACACGGUUGCGCCAGCCAAUUGAUCAAGCAAGUCAUCUAGCCUCAGUAUCGAAAAGCGAUAACUAACUGUUAUUUUGUUGAUGGCCCUGCUAUCUAUACACAUCCGAUAACUUCCAUCUUUUUUUGGCACUAGGAGUGUGGGGACUGCACAUGGGCUGAGGCUCUCUCUGAUGUACCCCUUCUGCACCAACUCCUCUACUUGUCUCCUCAACUCCUCAUGUUCCACUAGGCUCAUUCGAUAAUGUGGGCGAUUAGGCAAUGACGCGCCCGGUACCAAAUCAAUGUGAUAUUGCAUAUCCCGCAAAGGCGGAAGACCCUGUAGAAGGUCAUCCGGAAACACAUCAUGAAACUCAAACACCAAGGCGGCAACUUUGGGGUGAAGACCCGUCCCCUCGGCUGCCAUAGGAACUGUCGACACUCCUAUCGCCUCAGUUCCCACUAACAACAGUACAACACUUUCUGCCAGCAUCUCACACACAAAUAAAGAUCGGGAAAGUAGAUUACUACUGUCCCCUGCCGAAGACAGACACUGCGUAUCUUUGGAGGGUAGUAGUACAAUCUUUUUACCCGAAAAGGUGAAUGUAUAUGCAUUUCGACGCCCUUCAUGUCACACAUCCCUAUCAAACUGCCAUGAACGACCCAACAACAAAUGACACGCAUCCAUCGGCACCACAUCACACCAAACACUAUCACGAUACACACUGCCAAUAGAAAAAGAUACCAACACACGGCUAGUAACACGAAUUUCAUUACCUCGUCUCAACCAUGCUAGGCUAUAGGGAGCAAGAUGAGGUUCGGUGCUUAACUGUAGCUUCUGCAUGGCCGCUUCAGAUAUCACAUUUUCGAAACUGCCCGAAUCAAUGAUGAACCUACACACCUUUCCUCCAAUGGUACACGUAGACAGAAAGAUAUUGUUCCGCUGCAGGUCCUCAGACGACCCCUUAGGCGUAAGGCACGCCCAUCGGAUCACCAAAAGAGGCCCCGUGUCACCUGUAUGCACAAUUUCAGCCUCUUCUCCUUCAUUCUCCACAUGAACAGGAUCGUUAACAUCGGCUUGUGUUGUCCUUCCAAUGAACAAACCUGGGCGUGGCUACCCAUAAGAUGGACAGUUCUUCCUCAAAUGACCAAAACCACCACAACCAAAACACUGACUUCCACGCCCUCGUCCACCAAGAGGAGCCCAACCACCCGGAUUAGCGGUUGGAGGAACCACUGGCCGAGUGUUCCGAUCAACGCCCUGACCCCCAGAUGUAAAGGAUUGGGACGGACUAGAUGUGAGAUUUGGGGCGAAUUUUCGACCCCCACCUCCAGAUGGACCACCAGAAAUGCCUACUACAGAACGACGUUGUUGUUGAUUUUCAGCCUGAAGUGCUCGCUGGUGAGCCUCAGAAACAGAUACCGGCGAGAACAUAUUUAGGACGUCUUGCAAAUUCAAUCGUAGUCCAACAAUAUAGCGCGCUACCAACUGAUCUUCUGAUUCUCCCACAUCAUUUCACGCUAUCAGUUGGUAAAACUCUGUGGAAUAAGCAUCUACAGAUCGAUUGCCUUGUCUCAAAUUCUGUAAGCGCUGAUACAAAGUCCUAGAAUAAUUAAAGGGAAGAAACACUGCCUUCAACUGUUUCUUCAUUUUUUCCCAUGACUGGACUUUCGCCUUACCCUGACGGAUCCGAUUUUGCUUCAGUUGCUGCCACCACGCAGCAGCACGACCACGCAGACGGGUCGCCACCAAAGGUACCCUUUUAUUGUCGGGCACUUCUUUAUAAUCCAAGAUCUCCUCUACUGCCGCCAGCCAAUCGAGGAAUUCAUCUGCCUCAAUUCCACCGUGAAAUUCAGGUAUAUCAACCUUGAAUCCGGAUUCCCAUCGCUGAAACGCGUCUUGCUGUUGCACACGAGGCUGUUGAACACGAUCGCCACGUGCCUUUGACAAGGUCUCCUCAUCCGACCUCUCCCCUGAUUCAGAUCCCCCUCCACCAUCACUCACUGGGGCACGACGUGGAGGAGCAGGAGGUGUUCCGUUCUGCACAACCUCUGCUGCCCACGUCAUGAAUUGAUCAAAUCGGAUUGUCAACGCCUCAACUUGAUUACGCAGAUCUGCAACCUCAUCAAUCUGGCCACCACGGCCACCACGUCCUCUCCCACACACCAUGCUCUGAUACCAAAAUGAUGUAGAUUGAAUCUACAAACACACGACAACAAUAACCAAACGGAUUGAAUUCAGAAACAAACUUUUAUUAUUUCAUGAACAACCAAGAAAACCCUAGGAGACGUCUUAUGGCGUCUUAAAUAUGAAAGAAAAGAUAACCUACUGGGCCAGCAGUCUCAAAAUGGGCUGGGCUACAAAAUGGAAAUAACAAAUGCUGAAAAUAAAUAACACAAAAACUUAAAAUGCUGUUUUGACACACUAAACGACUUCAAAUGUCCAAAAACCCUCGUACAUCACAGCAAAGCUGUGAGUUCAAUCCGAAACGCUCGCUACCUUUUUGAAAUGGGGUUAUGGGCCCAAAACGGACACCAAACGCAAAAGUUACAUCAAUCUCUUUGAAAGCCGACCAUCCAACCGUUCCAUGUAUGCCAAUGCCUGUUCCUCCACAUAAACCUCAUCAGUAAGGUAAAUUAUAACUCCUUUAUUAUUCAUAUCUAAUUUUGUUCUUCCUAAUAGUCCUUAUUCUAAAAUUGUAAAUCUGUUAUCAUAUAAACAUAUUUAUAUUUUAGCUCCUAAAUUUUCUCUAUGUAGCCUUUUUACUACUACUAUAAUUAAUCCUAAAUGAGGUCGUUGAAGAUUUUUAUUAACAAUUUCUUCAUACGAUUCUUUUUCUAUUAGUUUUGAAGAUACGAAUUGGUCUUCAUGUGUACAUGAAACAUGUCUUUCUGCAUAAUAUUGAUAUAUUAAAGACUUGUUAAAGAUAUAUUCCUUUCUUAUAAAUGUCUAAAACUUUUUCAAAUUUUUAACGUAUUUUAUCUAAAAGUUUUUAUCUGUUCCUCAACAUCUAUUAAAGAUUCUAAUCUUGUUUCCGAUUCUAUUUUUUUCUUAACUUAAUGAUCUUAUUAAAGGAUUGCUUAACAUUCUACUACAAGCCACAAUUUAUUUUCCUUUAUUCAAUACGUAUAAAUCCACUUAGUGUUCUUAAAUCUGCUAGAUUCUUUAGUUUUUCCCAAGUCUAAAUUUUCUAACUUAUUUAUUAAAAUGUCAGUCUUGUUUAUGAGUAUCUAUUGAUUUUUCUUUUUCUAAUUUUUGUGUUCUACUUUCUAAUUUGUUGAAGCUAAUCUUUUGUAAAUUAUUACAAUUUUCUUGUAAAUUUUCAAUCUGUUAUAGAGAUUUUUCUAUGGAAUUUUUAUAUAUAUUUCACUUGUGUUGCAAAACUUCAUUUUUUGUAUUUCACAAUUUUGAUUUCUAAUAUAUUCUAAAUUAUUUUCUAAGGUCUUUAUGUUUUUACUUAUUGCUCGUUGAGAUAUUUAUUUCUAAUCUUUCUUCUAGAUUUACAAUUAAAUCUACAAUAUUAUUAACUGUUUAUCUUCAAAACGUAAAAGAUGUUAAAACUUCUCUCAACAUAUGCAAUUGUAACUGGUACAUCAGUAAUAUUCUAUAAACAAAUCACACAUUUAAAAAACAACCGUUAUUUUUAUAUCGUCUAAAACUUUGUUAACCUCUUUGGUGUCUUCUAACAAAUGAUUUUUAAUCAUUUGUUGCUUAGAAAAUAAAUUUAUGUUUAUAAAUAUCAUAAUCCUUGUCAUGCUUAAUUUUUUUCAAGCUUAUUGCAUCAACACCUCAAACAAUUAUCUUCUCAGUUUGCAAAUUUUUUUAAAUCAAACAAAAAAUCAAAAGCAUUUUCAUAUUUUAAAAAUUGUUCAAAGAUUAACCUAGGAGAAGAAAGAACUUAGUCAACUAUAGAUAAUAAAUAAUAAACUCUAAAAGAUUUCUCAGCAUAAUGUUUUAUCUCACCUUUAACAUUUUGAUCAAAGUGCUUCUUUCUAUGAUAAUACAUGAAAUGUAGAUUCAACUUCAACUCAAGCAACGAUUUCUUUAAGAGUAAUCUUGUCAGAUUCAAAUUCAGUUUCUCUACAUAUUUCAAAGAAUAAAAUAUGUUCUUUUAAAGUUGAUAAUAGUAACGCCAAUAUACAUAUUCUUAUUUUGUAACAUUUUUCUUACUCUAAUAAUGGUACACAAUGUAUUACACCAAUAAUCAUGUCAAAUAAGAACUCAAAAUUCUUAUUGUCAUAAGAUAAAUUUUUAGCAUCCCCAAAUAUCUUAGCAUCAUCACAUGUUUUCCCUAAGUGUCUUAAAGCAGCUUUUAUUUCUGAUGAUUAAAUUUUAUUGCUUUGGCAUUUCCAACUUAGCGUUCUUAAUGUGUUUGUGAAAGUGCCUUAAGUCUUAGAUCUUUCACAUUAUCCCGAAGAAUUUUUCAUUGCUUUGUAGAAGAUGAAAAUAAUAUAUGUACAAUUUCAAAAAACAUUUAGCUUCGAUAAAAAAAUUUGUCAUAUCACAAAGUUCAAUAAUGUAAGACCCCUUUUUUGUGUGAAAUUUUCUUUUAUAUGUAUACACACACACACACACCCCUUGCAGCCAAAUAAGGAAACAAAGCAACAAAUGGAAACAAACGGUGUAUGGAAACUCUAUUCUUAUUCUUCUUCUCUUUGGCACUUCAUUUUAAGUUGGUGGGAAAAUAUUAAAAGAGCGUAACUUUGACAAAAUCUAUUGGACCUUGAUUGCAAGACUCAAUGGUAAAUAUACCAGCCUACUCUUGGUUGCUCCAAACAAAUGGGGUGCAUAUUACAUUAGAUUGCACAAUUUCUUAAACAAAAUGACAAUCCUCGUAAGAUGUUUAGUUCGUUCAUAUAAAGCAAUCGUAUAACUUCUUGAUUGUCACCAAACAAUUUGGGUGAAGAAAAAGUGGCAAGCCCCAAAUCUCCAUGUAGGCAAUCAAGUUACUUCACUAGUGAUUGAGGACAUAGCGUGAUUUAUGAAGCUUCUGCACUAGAGUGCUCAAUAACAUUCAAUUUAUUGCUUUUCAUCUCACUAACUUACCCCCAAAAGAUGUAUAAUAUCCAAUUGUAGAUUUGCAAUUAGAAUCAUUAUAUGCAUCAAUGUCUUUCUAGAUCCAACACAUUCUCAGAGUAGGAAUUGCGAUCCCUAGAAAUAUUUUCUCAUCCCCAGAUCCUUAUUAAACAACCUUUGUGUAAUAGUAUUUAAGUUUUGAGAUUUUAACGUCAUCUUCACAUGUAAUUACAAUGUCAUCAAUACAUACCAAUAUGAUCGUGGCACUUGUAGCUCCUUUUAAGCAACUAAUGAGAGGGUUAAGUAGAGAUCAUUUUAAAGUUAUUUUCCAGAAGAAUAGUAGCUUUAGCAUGUUGAAAGUUGAUUCAGAAAUUAUCCAAAUUUAAUUUAGUCUUUAAUAUUUAUUUUUCAUGCAGAUUCUUGCUGCUUAAUUCACUAUUUUUUAUUAAUAAAUAAGUCUGAAAGUAGUGGCAAUAAUAUAUGAUAUUAGUUGAAAUUUUUUAGCUUUUCAGUUUGCUUGUAAGCCUUUAAAUAAGCACUUUCAAUUCUGGAAUAAAUGAAGCGGCAGAUAACUUGCAUAUUCUGCAUUUUUUAGUUUUAUUUUCUCUCUGCAAUUUCCUUUUUUAAUACUCCACUACUCUAAAUUCCCAACAAGGCAUACCAAGCUAAAGGUGACUACUUGAGCUUAUACAAAGCCUUCUAUCGAAAUGUGAGUCUCGCCUAUGACACGGUGGGACAUUUAUAUAAACUUCUUCUUGCAAAAAUGCAUUUUUUUCACGUUCUUUGAAAUAAUUUUUAUCCUUGACCACGAAAAAGAUAAGUACUUUAGCCAUGUUUGGUGUAGUUAAACUUUAAAUAUUUACUAGAAUUUUAUAAAAGUUGAUGAGAUGUGUAGUUGAAAAGUUGUGAAUUUCAUAAAAUGUGUGAUUAAAAUUAAUUGUUCACUUUAACUUACAUCAGACAAAGGGUAAACAACAACAUGAACAAAAGUUUUCCUAUAGCAUUUUGCACAUGUUCAAGUAAAACCAGUUACAAACUCGUGUCAUUCAAUAAUGUCACCACUCUUGUAUUUAUUCUUGCAAGUCCAGCUACAGCUCAAUGUUUUCUUUACCCAUGGCAGCUUAACAAUUUCCUUGCUUUUGUUCUUAUCAAGAGCACUUAGUUAAUUUUCCAUAGCUUUUCUCGAAUGAUGUCUGAAUUUUCUUUGACAUAAUCUUGGUUUUUGAUGGUCAAAUAGCUAAGAAUACAUAAUAUGAUUGUGCCACAUUUUCGUAUGUCAAAUACGCUUGCAUAGGAUAGUUGACAUCUGUAUUUUAAAAUCCAUGCAUAUGUUUCGCAUAUGUUUGAUGUAUUUUCGAAACACCUUGUAUAUAGGGUAUGCACUUGAUAAUGUGGUCAACCCAUUUUGUUGAUCGUAUAUGCACACUUAAAAACGCCAAAAUGCACAUUCAUUUCUAUUAAAAAUCGUGUCAAAAUUAGUGUGGCAAAGCCAAUGCAUUUUCAUCUUAAAAAAAUGUAAAUUGAGCUCAAUAAAUAUCAAAUUAGCCCAAAUCACCCAACUUCAUGGAUUAUAUACAACAAUAUGUAAGUAUUUAUGUUUAUAAAAAAAAAAAAUCAGAAAUCAAGAAUUUUUUUUCGUAGAGUUGCAAACUAAAUACAUCGAACUCGAGCCUCCUUCUUCUUCUGUCUUCCGCUAGUUUUACUAGCAAGUGAUGCUAGUUGUGUCCAAUCUUGAAUUGUUGAUGAUUAUGAUAAUGAAGAGGAGAUUACCAUUAAUAUCUUACCAUCUACAAGAAGUAAUACAAGUUUUUCAAUUGAAAUGAGGGAACAUGAUAAAGAUGACUUUGUAUUGGAGAACGCAAAAAGAUGAUUUGGAUGAAAAAGAGGAGAAUGAAUUGGAAUCUGAUAAACAACUAGACAAGAUUUAGAAUUUUUUAAAUCGAUGUCUGUGUCUAAUCUAAUUAUAAGAAUUGAUUAUCAAGUAAUUGUAGUAUUUAUAUUUUUGAGCAAUAUAUUUUUGUUGAAAUUAUGAAAAAAAAAUAUGAAGUUCAAGAAUUGUAGUGUUUAUAAUUUUAACCGAUACAUACAUACAUAUUUAUUGAAAAUUUGAAGAACAUGUAUAAGGUUUAGAGAAUCCAUUACUUUAUUUAUUUAUUAGUUUAGAAUAUUUAAAAUAAUAUCAAAAGUUGGAAAAUAUAUAAUUGUGUAUAUGCUUCGCAUAAGCACGCAUAUGCUUGUAAUGCUUGAUGGUUAACCGAAAUGUAUUGCUAUGCAUUAGUAUUUUAGAACCUAGGUGAAAUUAUAAUACGUGAGAAGCUAUCUAUCUACUUGAUUUUCUUUGAAGCAUAGAGUCCACUAAGAGUUUGAAUUUCUUCAUUGUGAGCUACAAUUUCACUCGUAAUCUCUGAUUCUAAGAAUUUCUCAAGUUCUUUCCUUAAAAGAAAUAAAACCACCAAUUACUUGUGGGAGAGAAAGCAGAUCAUAUACAUUCCCUUCCUAAGUUGAUUGUCAAAUCUUAUUAUUUCCAUAUACGAUUUCAAUUCUCAAACUAUACAUCAGGGGUGAUGUUAAAAUUAGGGUGUGACUCGAAUUCUAUUUUGAAGAUAAUUGGAGAUUCUAAUUAAAGUCAACUUAAGAAGAAUUCUAUUUGAAAUGCUUCUUGGAAUCUUAUUCAAAGUCUAUUUGGCAAAUUCUGUUGAAAUUCUAUUUGAAAGCCCAAUUGGGAGUUAAAAUUUGUAUUGAACUUGAAGAGAACAAGAUAUGGACAAAAGGAAUGACGAAAAACAUCAUUGGAGCAAUAUUUCCCGAGAUCGGGUGCUCCAACGCCAUGUUGCGGCUCUAGAAGAAAAAAAAGAACAGUGGUUGUGAACCCUGGCACCGGUUGGAUGCCUUGGGCCAAGAGGAUGAUGGUGUCCCAGCGCCAUCUGUAUAAGAAAAAUCCUAUUUUGACGUUGAUUCUUGAAUUUUACUUCAACCAGAAUUUCACUAUAUAUACUUAGCACUUCAUUCUUUUUAGAUUAUGCUAGACAAAAUAUAAAUAUAAAAUCAUUGUAUUCUUUCUCCAUAUUUUAAUAAAUUCUCCUUUUCUCUACAAAUUAUUUUGUUCUUGAGUUUGUGAUCAAUUACUAAUUACUUAAUAUUGUGCCAUGUUUUAUUUUUUUGCCCAUUAUUACAAUAAUUAGUAUCAGAGCGAAGGUUUUAUUCAUUGGAGAUUUUAUUUUGGGAUGGCAACCAUGAAGUUAGAUAUUUUUCUUUUGGAUUGCAGCAUAAGAUUUUCAUUGUUGCAAGUAAAAAUGUGAGCAAUACUCACUCAAAUGAAUUUGGACGAUACAUUGUUGGGAUUUGACAAGAUGCCCACAACUUGGAAUAAGGAGGAGAAACAACGUAGGAAUCUAAAUAUCCUAUAACAAAUUCAUCUUCAUCUUUUUGAAUAAUAUUCUCUAUGAGGUUUUGAAAGAGAAGUCCACUACUGCGUUAUGUUUGACAUUUAGUAAUUACGCAUGACAAAGAGUCUAACUAGCAAAUUGUACUUGAAGCAACACCUUUAUUCUCAUUGUAUGACAGAAAUUGCAUCUCUUAAAUAACACCCAGUUGUUUUUAAAGAUAUCGUAGCUGAUUAGGAACCCUUGGAAGUUAUAUAUGAUGAAGAAUAUUUUGGUUUAAUAUUGUUGUGUUCAUAUAUAUAUGAUGCCCUAUAUUUAAAGGAGAAGAUGAAGCAUCUCGUUAGAACUGAGGCUCAUGGAGAUGCCCUUAUUGUUGAUGGUAGUUGUUCAAGGAGCUAAAAAGGUCUAACUUUACAAAUAAAAUUUGUAAUUAUUACAAGAAAAAGGGACACUUGGUUACCUAUUGCUAUAAUUACAAAAUAAAGAAAAAUUGGCCGCAAAUAAUAAGAAGAGAAAGCAAUUAGGUACUCUAGGUGAAGCUAGUGUUGCAAGAACGUUUCACAAUGAUGGAGAUAUUUUGAUUGUUUCUGAUGGCGUCAUGGCGACUUCAAACAUAAAGAGGAUUUGAUUUUUGAUAUGGCUUGCACUUUUCAUAUGUGUUCUAGGAUUCAUUUACAACAUAUGAAGAAGUUUCCAAAAGUGUUGUGAUGAUCGAUAAUAAUACACCUUGUCGGAUAGCUGUUAUAAGAAAGAUCAAACUUAAGUUGUUUGACAGAAAUAUCAGAACACUUGAUGCAGUCAACAUGUUCCUAAUUUAAAAAAAAAAAUCUUACCUCCUUGAGUACCCUUGACUUGAAAGGGAACAAAUUCAUUGGUGAAGGCAGAGUCUUAAAGGUUUGUAAAAGUGCUCAUAUUGUGUUGCAGGGAUAGGAAAAGACCUAAUUAUAUGUCUUGUCAAUUCCUAUAGAAUCUCUGAUCAGUCAUCACAAAUUUGUAGCUCAAAUGGAUUGUGAGUUUGGUUUAGUAUCAUCAGAGUUUUGCUUGGGGUCUACUUUGAUGAAUAUAGGAAUGUAAACAAGUCAAGUCGAACCGAGCCGAGUAAUUUAUUUGUAUAUUUCACUACAACAAAAACAGCAUUUUGUAACGUUCAAAAAAUGUUGCUUAAAACCUUUUGCAACGUUCGGCCACAUGUUGCUAAUCCCGAUGUUGCCGUAGAGUAAAAGGAUAAGGCAACAUUUUUCGAACAUUUUGCAAAAAUCUCUUUCACAAUGUUUCUCAAACGUUGCAAAAAGAACUUUCACAAUGUUUUUCGAAAGUUGCAAAAAGAACUUUCGCGACAUUUUUCGAACAUUGCCAAAAACCUUUUCGCAAUGUUUUUUUGACCUUUUUACAAUGUUUUUCGAACGUUUUUAAAAAUCUUUUUGCUGCAUUUUUCGAACGUUGCUAAAAGGCGAAGGGACGAGUUGCUGGUCGCGAAGAGUGAGGAGUAAAAUUUGUCGUUUGAGGAGUAUGAUCUUUUUGUGUUUUUUUUCUAGUCAUCCAUUAAUAGUCCAAAACUUUAAAAAAAAUGAUAAUAAAAGUUAUUUUGAUUAGGCCCAAAUAUCAUUUCAAAUUUUUGCAACGUUUUAUAAACAUUGCGAAAGAAAAAACUUUUGGCAACAUUUCAUAAACGUUGCGAAGAAAACUUUUUAUAACAUUUCAUAAGUGUUGCGAAAGAUAAAGUUUUUUGCAACGUGUCAUAAACGUUGCGAAAGACAAAUCUUUUUGCAACGUUAAAUAAACGUUGCAAAAAGGCAAUAUUGGCAACAAUUCACUUAAAAAAUGUUGCUAAAGCUCAAUUAUGCUGAGCAAUGGCAACAUUCAUGUAUUGGAAUGUUGCGAUAGUCCUCUUUAGCGACAUUUACUUGACAAAUGUUGCCUUUUGCAUGUUGCAAAAAGCCAUUUUCGUUGUAGUGUUUAAUUUUGAACGUGUCUCUUAACAUGUAGAUCGUAUACAUUUUUCUAUUAAAAACUUCAGACUAAUUUUUUUGGUCAAUGAUUAUCAUCCUGAAUCUUUGUUAGAGUCUAAUUUGACUAUGUGAGAUUAAUCAUUUUCGAUAAAAAGCCAAGAAUUUGUUGGUUUUCUUCUCUCAUAUAUGGUCCAAUAUUCUUCGGAAUUCAAACCUUGUUGAGAGUUCCAUUAAAGAUCAAAAAUUGCCGAAACAAUAACUUGAAGAUCCUUAGCUUGAUAUGAUGGUAUAAUCAAUUUUACAGGCUGACACCAUCUUCAAGGAUUAGAAGGAAGCAUUAUCUUGCAGUCAUCUUUGACACAGGAAAUUAAAGGCAAUUGUAAAUGCCUUUUUCAUUUAAAAAACAUGGGCCAAAAAUGGCCGGUAUUGGUAUGCCUAAUAGAGGCUGGCUCGGGCUCGGGGGCCAAUACUCAAAAAUGAGGCUCGACCCAAAGCCGAACCUGAGGAGAGUCUCAACAGGCCGUCGCCUCAGGGCCCAACAAUUAAAGGGGCCCAAAAAGAACUUUUGUUUACAUUUUUUUGUUGAAAACCCAGCACACGAGCCAGAUUCUCUGCUGGAGGGAAAAAAAUUGUAAUUGAAGAAAUGCACAAAUUUUGGGUUUUAGAACUCAGAUCUGUGUGAAGAUACACCGCCGAGUUACCGACGUACUAGAAGUUUAUAUUCUUCUGCCCUUCACCGCCAUACUUUACUCAAGGAGGCAGGAGUCGCAAUUGACUUCAAUCACCGCCACAAUGGAAAAUCUAGAGAGCUUUAGUCGACGAGUUUAACAUCUGUAUAUAUGCUGAUUGCUGUGUGUAUAAACAGGACAAUGAGAGAUAGAAAGUGGUGUGUGAGAGAAGAGUGAGUGAGAGAGAGAGAGUGUGUGUGUGUGUGUGUGUGUGUGUGAUAAUUACAAUCUAUAUCAUUAUGUGUGUGUGAGAGUAGAGUGUCAGAGAAAAAGAAUGAGGGUAGAGAGAGUGCAUAUUCACAUUGCGAAGGAAGUAGAGGUUUUACUUUUUUGACGUUUAUACUUUUUUUAGUGUUAGAAAUGGGAAAUUUGUACAAGUAAAGAAAAAAUAACAAAUGUAUUUUCUCAUUUGAAAAUUUGUUUUGAAAAUGCUUUUCAUACUUUUAAAAUUCUAAAAUUUUGAACUAUACAAUGGACUGUUAUAAACUUUUUUCAUAGUAGUCAAACCUUGAAAAUUUUCUUAUUUUUGUGAGAACGGAAAAAAAACUUUCUUUAAUUUCAAUAGCAUGUUUUACAUAACUCAGAAGUUAAUUGAAACAAGAAAUUAUUCUUAUCUUCUGUUGGUUUAUAAGCUCAAAGUAUUGAUUUUGAUCUUACCAAACAGGUAGGUUGAAACAAGGAAAUUGUGAACAACGUUAUGUUGAGAAUAAUGAUUUUUUUUUGUGUAAAUGAUAGAAAGGAUUGUUGAAUUUGGUUCAAUGAUGAAAGAACACAUUCAACGUGCUCAAACACUUGAGAUUCAUCAUAUAUAUCUUGGUCCUAUAAUUCAAAAUGCAAUGAUGCAAAAGUUGGCAAGCGAGGUUAGUAGUGCAAUUAUCCCAAAUCUGAACUAUGCAAAAUAUUUUUAUGUCAUACUUGAUUGCACUCCAAAUUUCAUUUUAUUUGUUAUUUUAUUAUUGAUUUUAAAUUAACAAAGUUAGUUCGCAAAACUCUUAUAAACGAAAAAAAAAAAUUUACUCGCUAGAUACAAUUUAGGAGCCCAAAUUCAGAAGUUCGCCUCAAGCCCCGUGAAACACAGGUACGACCCUGGCUCGACCCAAGUCGAGGCUUGAUUCCAAUGAGCCGCGAGAUGAGCCAGCACGGAUUUUUCCCGGGCCGAGCCUUGAGCCGCUCGAGCCGAAUUGACAUCCCUAAAUGAAUACAUUUAAGUCAAGUUUGAAAGUUAUAGAUAAUUUCGCUACCACCAUUACCAGUGGUUUUUUUCAAUCACUUGCUAGAAACAAAAUCGUUUGUGAUAUUUUGCCUUUACGUAGGUAUAAGAUGUAGAUUUAGUUGCAUACAUUUUGAAUGUGGUUGAAGGUAUUGAUUCUAGCCAAGAUUUUUUGUUGAAGCAUUUUGUGGUGAUUCUAUUAUAGGUUAUUCGUGAUUUGAGCAACUUUGGUGUCUAAGGUAGUUCUUAGAAUUUUGUUACUCAGUUUUUGGAGUUUGAACCUAUUUUAGGUUUUGUGGUAGAGGUAAAGGUAGAUGAUAUUUUAAAGUUGGAAAUUUUGAUAGAAAAUUUCUUUUGUGUUUUUGACACAAAGUUGAAGUUUAAUCCUCAUAGUAGAAUUUGUCUUUAGGUGGAGAUUCUUUGAACUUUAUUCAUGGCAGUGAAUUUGUGUGAAGGCAGAGUUUGUAGAAUUAGGAUGUCAUCUAAUUUCUAUUUUAAACAUAAUUGAAAAUUCUAAUUAAAGUUGACUUAAGAAGAAUUCUAUUUAGAAUGCAUUUUGGAAUUUUAUCCGAAAUCAAUUUGAUAAAUUCUAGUUGAAGUUAUAUUCGAAAGCCCAAUUGAGAGUAAAAAUUUGUAUUGGACUUGAAGAGGAUAAGGUACGAACAAAGGAAUAAAGGAAAAUAUCAAUGGAGCAAUAUUUUGCAAGAUUGGGCGCCCCAGUGCCUUGUCUCUGCGCCUAGAGAGAAAAAGGAAAUAGCGGUUGAGCGCCUCAAUGCUAGGAGAGCUAAUUCUUGCAUUCUACUUCAAUUGGAACUCCAAAAUUGGACUUCUAUAUAUAUUUGGCUCUAUACCUUAUUUUAGAAUAAAUUAGACACAGCAUAAAAAAAUUACUGUAUUCUUUCUCCAUAUUGUAAUGAAAUUUUCUUUCCUCCGCAAAUUAUUUUGUUCUUGAGUUUGUGAUCAAUUAGUUCAUAUUGUGUCAUAUUUUCUUUCCUUGCCUAUUAUUACAACAGGUAACAAAACUUGCGAUAGCCACAUUUCAAUAAAUAUACAUAUUUCUUUGUACAAGAACAUGAAGAGAAGAUACACUUCAAUGCCCCAGCAUCAAACUUAAGGUGCACAACUUAUACAAUCAAAUACUCUCAAGUGAAAAAUAUUUGGACUAAAGCCCGACCUAAUUUAAGAAUAUGUUGUAUUUUUCUUCUUCGUCUCAACAUUUUAUUGUGGGGUCAAGUGCAACUAUAAGAUGUAUAAUUCCAUGUCUAUGGAGAUUGUAGCGGAAAUCCCUCGAUAAAUUUUGACUCCGGACUCAGAAAACAAUCAAACAAACACCGAUUUACCUUGGUUCGACCCAAGACUUUUGCAUUCACUUUGGAUUGCCCAACUCUCUCAAACCCUUCAAAAGGAGAAGGGAUGGUGGUGGUAAUAGGAAGGAGAGGAAGAGGCAACAAUGAUGUGAAUCACUCCAACAAACCCUCCAAGUCGACCGCCCCUCAACCUUCUUGGCCCCCUCCCUCUCACGGCCCUCUCUUUCACACACACCCAUUCACCAUCAUCGAGAAAACGGCUGAGAAUAAAUGGAUAUAUAUAUAUAUAUAUAGUCUAGGUUAGACACACAACUUGGGGCAAAAACUUGUGCAAAAGGGCUUCUUAAAACCUAAACUAAUGGGCUACCAAUUACUCCAACCUCCAAUCUACUAAUUCAACAAAUACCCCAAAGCCCAACACUAACCAAGACUUGCGUCAUCCAAAAGUGUAGUUCGUCUCUGAGUCGAGUCAAGUCCAUGGUAUCGAUAAAUAAUCGACAACUAUUUUAAAUCAUUGGGUAUCAAAAAACCCAACAGAGAUGUUCAUGAAAAUAGUUAACCUUUUAUCUAGUGUCAUUGUAAAAUCUAAAAAAAUUAACCCUGGCAUGGAAUUAAUUAAUUAAUUAACAAAAUUAUGUUAAGGACGUUAAUAAAUAAAAUUCUUGCAAUUUCUAACUAUUUGAAUGGGUAAAAGAUAUUAUCCAAUAUCGUGUUAAAGUUAAUAUGGUUCAAAUUCAAGUGAAAAUUGGGCACAAGAGAAUAAAUAAUCCGGCAUGUAUGCUUUACUACAAGAACCAUGAAAAUAACACGAUAGAGAAUUUUUGAAUUUCUUUAUUAUAAAGUGGAAAAACCUAUAGAUCGUUAUUUGGGGUGUAUAUUUUUGUACAGAAAUUACAAUUUGUAUGAAAAUAACAUGAAUGAAUAUUUUCAUUUGUAUAGAAAUUUUUCUCAUAGAAUUCUACCAGAAUACUCUCGUGUGUAGGCCCCAUAUUUUGAUAAAAAAAAAAUGCCAAAAAAUUCUCUCACCUCUCCUCUGUGAGUCAAUCCUAUCAUUUCUGUGUGCUUCCAUCCGUACAUGUUGAAGUGCUCCUAUAGAAUAUGAAUAAAUGAUUUCUUUUCUUUCUUGAUAGUUUAAGCGCCUGUCCAGCACCAAUUUCUCCCAGAUUUUCAUUAAUUUUUCUCACCGUUGGAGCAGGUUCCAAGUGUGAGAAGCAAGUCAACAAAGCUGUCUACUUUGCCUAGAAGUUGACCGAAGUGUACAGUGACCUACCAGUUGAAUUUUCUUAGUAUUCUGUAUAGGUUGAAUCAACAAAACCGGCAAAGCAUUUACGCUUAGACGGGAAAUUCGGGAAUCUGUCGACAUAACACACCUAUAGCAAAGUUGUAUACUCAAAGUGCAGCUUUGGCCCAUUUGAACGCCAUUAAUUUUCAUUCUAUUAAAUUUUAUUUUUCUCUUUCUUAUUUUCAAUCAUAUAAUUUUAUAUAAAAUAAUAUUACACAUAAAUCGAAAUUUUUUUUUUCUUUUUUAACUACUCAUUUUUCAAAAAGAUACUGCCCUUGUUUGAACCCCAUUCUUUUGAAGAAAUUCAUUUUUCAACAAUGUUUUGAUAUCAUUUCAACCACAAAAUUUUCAAUAAAAUAAUAUUACACGCAAAUCCAAAAAUUGUCCUUAUUUUUUAACCACACAUUUUCCAUUAAUACACUAUUCAAAAAUUUAUUCUUCCCAAAAAAAUGGGGCUCAAACAAGGGUACUAUUUUAUGCAUUUUCAUUUCUACAAAAUGGGGGCAUCACUUUAUUUCCAAAAGCCUAGGACCAUUUGAUAUGGCCCCACUUGGCCCCUAUCAAAUAUCAUUUUUUUCUCUUCUAUUUUCAACCAUACAAUUUUUCAUAAAAUAAUAUUAUACGUAAUUCGAAAAAAUUUUACCAUUCCACCCAUUUUCAUUUUAAAAAAUGGGGGCCAUGAUGUUAUAAUCAAAAUAUUUUGGCAAAAAAAGUGCACCCAAACAAGGCUAAGUUUGUACGUAGGGAUGGCAAUCGGGCUCGCCGGCUCGGGCCGCCUGUGGCUCGGCUCGGGAAAAGCCCGAGCCGGCUCGGCUCGGCUCGGGGCUCGGUAGACCCGAGCCUAAGCUCGGGCCGAGCUCCAUUUUGGGGACACGGGCUUUGCCCGAGCCGGCCCGUGAGCUCGCGAGCUUUUUAAUAAAAAAAAAAAAAAAAAAAAAAAAAAAAAAAAAAAUUUUAAAAAAAAAAAAAAAAAAAAAAAAAAAAAAAAAAAAAAAAAAAAAAAAAAAAAAAAAAAAAAAAAAAAAUUNNNNNNNNNNNNNNNNNNNNNNNNNNNNNNNNNNNNNNNNNNNNNNNNNNNNNNNNNNNNNNNNNNNNNNNNNNNNNNNNNNNNNNNNNNNNNNNNNNNNNNNNNNNNNNNNNNNNNNNNNNNNNNNNNNNNNNNNNNNNNNNNNNNNNNNNNNNNNNNNNNNNNNNNNNNNNNNNNNNNNNNNNNNNNNNNNNNNNNNNNNNNNNNNNNNNNNNNNNNNNNNNNNNNNNNNNNNNNNNNNNNNNNNNNNNNNNNNNNNNNNNNNNNNNNNNNNNNNNNNNNNNNNNNNNNNNNNNNNNNNNNNNNNNNNNNNNNNNNNNNNNNNNNNNNNNNNNNNNNNNNNNNNNNNNNNNNNNNNNNNNNNNNNNNNNNNNNNNNNNNNNNNNNNNNNNNNNNNNNNNNNNNNNNNNNNNNNNNNNNNNNNNNNNNNNNNNNNNNNNNNNNNNNNNNNNNNNNNNNNNNNNNNNNNNNNNNNNNNNNNNNNNNNNNNNNNNNNNNNNNNNNNNNNNNNNNNNNNNNNNNNNNNNNNNNNNNNNNNNNNNNNNNNNNNNNNNNNNNNNNNNNNNNNNNNNNNNNNNNNNNNNNNNNNNNNNNNNNNNNNNNNNNNNNNNNNNNNNNNNNNNNNNNNNNNNNNNNNNNNNNNNNNNNNNNNNNNNNNNNNNNNNNNNNNNNNNNNNNNNNNNNNNNNNNNNNNNNNNNNNNNNNNNNNNNNNNNNNNNNNNNNNNNNNNNNNNNNNNNNNNNNNNNNNNNNNNNNNNNNNNNNNNNNNNNNNNNNNNNNNNNNNNNNNNNNNNNNNNNNNNNNNNNNNNNNNNNNNNNNNNNNNNNNNNNNNNNNNNNNNNNNNNNNNNNNNNNNNNNNNNNNNNNNNNNNNNNNNNNNNNNNNNNNNNNNNNNNNNNNNNNNNNNNNNNNNNNNNNNNNNNNNNNNNNNNNNNNNNNNNNNNNNNNNNNNNNNNNNNNNNNNNNNNNNNNNNNNNNNNNNNNNNNNNNNNNNNNNNNNNNNNNNNNNNNNNNNNNNNNNNNNNNNNNNNNNNNGGGCCGGGCCCGGAGCCGAAAUUUUAGGCUCGCGAGCCGGCUCGGCCCGGCUCGUUUACAUCCCUAUUUGUACGUAGUCGUAUCAAAGCGUCUAAAUGACAUAGAUAGAAAAAAUGAAUCUAACGUGUAUAUGAAAAAAUGUAAAAGAAAUAAAUAAUUGUAUCGUAAUUUAAACUCUUAAAUUUGAUAUGAACAUGUAAGAAUAUCCUCAAGUACACAUAUUGAGUUUUUAUUAAAUGCAAGUGUAUUGAGCAUAAUACUAAUGCAAUGCAAAGUGCAUACUUGGCCCAUUGAAUUGAGCGGACUUUGAGAGAGAGAGAGAGAGAGCUCUAUGUGUGAAAAUUUUGUGACUUGUUUUCACUUUCUAGCACAUUUCCUGGACCUAGCCGAUUUAAUACAUCUAUUUACAACAUAUUUGAUAAGGUGAAAUUGAGAUAUUAAGCACUAUUAAUGAGAAAAAGAUCGUCCAAUCUUAUAAAAGAUUGUCGAAAAUUGAAAAUUGUUGCAUAUCAAACAAACCCAAAGAACUAACGAUUGAAAUUUUUGACAAGACAACUUUAUGAUAUUCUAAAUGUACUGUAGUCACUGAUCCAAUAUGUUGAGAAAAAUGUAGGGAAAUCUGAAACUUAAUGAACUCCAAGGCACAAAAAACGUUAUCUUUUAAGAGACGUUUCUCCCCUAUCCAACGAAGUCACAACUGGGAUAUGAUAGAAAAUCUCUCUCACGAUACAAUGGAGGUGUUUGAUUUAAAUUGUGACUAUUUAAUCAAAUCAAGAAGACACUCGAGAAGAACUGAUAAUGUCAAGAGAAAUAGAGAAGAAUAAUUUUUUAAUAUGUUUUGCAAACGAGAAUUCGCUCAGAAUUUAUAGAAAUUGAGGCAACCGUUUGAAUAGAUGUGUCCCUUGAAAUGAAAAACACAUCUGUUGGAAGUGACUGUUAAAAACGAACAGAUGCACCUAGUCGGGACGGCAAAUCAUUCGCAAAACAAAAAAUAAAUACAUGCAAAAUGAUAAAAAAUAUCUAACACAAUAUGAUGCAAUACUGAAUUAAGUGAAAAAUAGAAUCCAUUAGUCGACUCUAAAUUCAUUAUAAAUAAGAUUUCAUUCGUUGUUAUUUAUUAUUGGCCAUUGCAUAUUAAUUUAUAUAAGUAUAUUCUAAAUAACUUGGCUGCAUUUUAUUGUCAAUUUUUGCUUUCUUCCCCUUAUCCGGCAGCCUAAUUAUUUGCACCAUAAAAUAUUAAUAAUUAGUUGCGUUUGAAAAGGGGAAUGUUUUUGUCAUCUAGAAAACAAAGCUAUCAUGUUGAAAGCGUUACUCGAUGAUUUAUAAACUGAUCCAAAAUAUCAGGAAUCUACUUUACAAAGCCAAAUUAGUGGGUUGACUGACUUAUGAUUACGACGAUUCCUAUAAAUAUCAAAAGGAAAUGUUCAAAGAAUAUUAAAUUGUAGACAAAUACAAAUAAUAAUGACAAGAAUAUGAAGUUAAUUUUUUAUUUUUCUUUUUUUUUCAUAAAAACGUAUUAUUAUGCUAAUAAAAGUUCCAAGUUAAAGUCUCAUAAAUUGAAAAAUGUGCAAGUGACAUCCAAAGAAAAAUUGAAUACAAUCUACAUACAAUGGACUGUGUUGAAAAUUUAAAUAAUUUAGCACAUGUUUGACAAAGGUUUUUGAGAUUAUAAGUCGGUGGAUCCGAUGAAUAUCAAAUGUAUUGUUGAAAAUGCAAGUUAACCUCUUUUUUUAGAUAGAUGUUUCUAAUAUUAAACUAUUUAAUAUGCCUCCUGGCUCCUAUUCUCCACGUUUUACGAGUUAUGACUUGUCAAUAAUUUAUUGGAUAAAUAGUCAUUUAGACAGCAAAUCUCAACUUCUACACUAAUAAUUUCUCUCCCUCCCCCCCUCCCCCCCUCCUCUUCAACUAUUUAAUAUGCCUACGGCUUCCACGUUUUACACAUAAUUUCUCGUUCUCUCCUUCUCCUUUCUAGAUCUAUUUCAUACUUCCACGAUGAAGUUGGAAGAGAAAGGCACUGAUUACACACAGGACGGGACUGUUGAUCUAAAAGGUAGACCUAUCCUGAGAUCAAACACUGGCAAAUGGAAAACUUGUUAUUUCUUUGUUGGUAAGUGAAAAAAACUGGUAGGGUCUACCUAAUUUUCGAUUCUAAACAUGCCAUGAUAUCAUUUUAUCAAGGUUUGCUUUAGAAUUUUCUACAAACUGAGAACGAUUAGAUUUGAACGAAGAAGUUUUGCUUCAGAAUUUCGUGUGCUAAUAGAAACAUAACUCUUUUAGUUAAAUCUUUUGCUUUGAGUAUGAAAAUUUAGAAUAGAAUUUAUGGAUCCUCAUUGUGAUAUUACAGGGUAUGAAAUUUUUGAGAGGAUGGCAUAUCAUGGUAUUGCAUCAAACUUAGUAAUUUAUUUGACACGGAAGCUCCAUGAAGGCACUGUGACAUCUUCAAACAAUGUCACCAACUGGGUUGGUACUGUAUGGUUGACACCCCUUCUGGGUGCUUAUAUUGCUGACACUUUUCUUGGUCGAUACUGGACUUUCAUCGUUGCAUCAGCCAUUUACCUUGUGGUACUUCCUUUGAUUUCAUUUGAUCUCGAUUCUCAUGGUGUAACUUUAUCGUGCAAGCUAAACAGAACAAGACAGUAUAAAUAACAAUAUUUUCUUAAUCUAUCGGAUCAUGCUUUUAAGACAACAUAAAAAUACGCAACAUUAAACAUGAACGGACAGUAAAGUGGACAUGUUUUUACUUUCUUUUUCUUGUUUCGCAUUCUCUAGUAUUAUAUAUUACGGCUUGCACCAUUAUUAUAAUCAUUUAAACACGAUCACGAAAUCCUUAUAAGAUCAGGGAAAACAAUUCUUGGUCAUAUAUUCGUUCCUUGUAACAGGGAAUGUGCUUAUUGACGCUAGCAGUUUCAUUGCCCGGACUGAGGCCUCCGUCUUGUGGGCACCAAGUAAAGGAGGUAGAUUGCGAUAGACAUGCCUCAACAUUUCAAGUCGGCAUCUUCUACUGUGCAUUAUACAUAAUUGCAGUUGGAACAGGCGGAACAAAGCCUAAUAUCUCUACAAUGGGAGCAGAUCAAUUUGAUGAUUUUGAGCAUAAAGAAAGGUUACAAAAGCUCUCAUUCUUCAACUGGUGGAUGUUUAGUGUCUUCAUUGGCAUCCUUUUCUCCAACACUUUCCUUAUUUACAUUCAAGACAAUGUGGGGUGGGAACUUGGCUAUGGCCUCCCUACACUUGGGCUCACAGUAUCGAUACUUUUCUUCAUUGUGGGUACACGUUAUUAUAGACACAAACCCCCAUCAGAUAGCCCGUUGAAUCGAAUGGCUAGGGUGCUUGUAGCCACCGUAAGAAAGUGGAAGGUAGUCAUCCCUGACGAACCAAAGGAACUUUAUGAGCUGAGCUUGGAAGAGUACUCCAAACCUGGCAUGUUUAGAAUUGACCACACCAAUUCUCUCAGGUGCAUAUUUUUCUCCCGAAUAAAGAUACUUGGACAAGGCCAUGUAGGCCCUGCCUGUGGGAGUGCCUUGGAUGUCCGUCCAGCAUAACCCUUUGCUCCCAUUCUAAGUCUUUUUAGCAUGUGUAACAACUAAUAGAAAUCCCACGUCACUCGUGGAAGGUCUGUCUUAUGGGUUUAUAAGCACAUUAGUACCCUCCUCUUUCAAAGUCGAUUUUAAACGUAACCCACUCUCAUUUCACUUCUGCAGCCUCCUGGACAAAGCAGCAGUCGAAAUCGGACAAAAUUCGCCAUGGAUGUUAUGUCCGGUGACACAAGUUGAACAAACCAAACAAAUGAUAAAAAUGAUUCCAAUCUUGCUUGCAACUUUCGUUCCCGCUACUAUGUUCGCACAGACAAACACUCUCUUUAUCAAGCAAGGCACAACUUUGGAAAAAAGCAUUGGUCCCCAUUUCAAAAUUCCUCCAGGAUGUCUCUCGGCAUUUGUGACUAUUUUCAUGUUGACUAGCCUCGUACUAUAUGACCGGUUCUUCGUUCCCUUUGUACGAAGAUACACGAAGAAUCCUAGAGGGAUCACCUUGUUGCAGAGGUUUGGGAUCGGCCUCGUGUUGCAUAUCAUAGUCAUGGGAACUGCUUGUUUAGCAGAAAGAAGGCGUCUAAGGGUUGCUAAAGAGAACGAAAUCUUUGAGAAAAAUCAAAUCGUUCCUCUUUCGAUCUUCAUUCUUCUACCACAGUUUGCUCUAAUGGGGGUAGCUGAUACCUUCGUAGAAGUUGCGAAAAUCGAGUUCUUCUAUGAUCAAGCACCUGAAGGCAUGAAAAGCCUCGGAACUGCCUAUUUUACGACUAGUUUUGGAGUUGGAUACUUCAUAAGUAGUUUUCUGUUGAAAACUGUGGCUGACAUUACCGAGAAACGUGGCAAAGGAUGGAUUUUGGACAACCUAAACGUCUCUCGUUUGGACCAUUAUUAUGCAUUUUUGGCUGUGCUGUGCUUUCUCAACUUACUUUACUUUCUGCUAGUUGCAAAGCUCUUUGUUUACAACACAGAACUGAAGGAUACCGAAACGGAGUUGCAUGAAGCAAUCGCGGCUCGACCGAACAAGUCUACACGAUCGGAGGAAAAAACGUUGGAUGAUAAAGCAAGCUCAUAGAAAUAUCAAAAUAUCCCAUGAAAUUUUCCAAGUCUUUUUUCUUAAGCAUGUUUUAUCGUUCCUUUUCUACUCUUUUUUCAUUGUAUCUAAAUGUAUUUCCACAAUAUAACAAUUUAGAUCACAUUGUAAUAUAAGAAUAAGAUACAAAAAUCUUGUAUAUCAUAUGAAAGUGUCUUAUCUAACACUAUGAUUAAAAAUUCAUGGCUUCUUUAUUCUACCAUCUGUAUCGUGUUCUCAAUGGUACCUCCACAAACUAUAAUUAAGGCCUGUUCGAUAAUGAUUAUAAAAAUCGAUUUUUUGAUUGUUAGAGAAAAAAAUUGGUCCCAUUUGUGUGAAAAAAACAAAAAUGGCGACUGAAAUAGUGAAAUAAGAUCAAAAAUUUGAUUUUUUGGGGUGAAAAUUGUUAACGAGCCUCCGUUUGGCCCCCAUUCUCCUUUUCAUUCUUUCCCUCUCUCUCUCUUAUUUUCAACAAUAUAAUCUUCCAUAAAAUAAUAUUAUAGGUAAAUUAAAAACUUUUCAUUCUUUUUCCAUCACAUAUUUUUCAAAAAAUGACUAUUUCAACCAUUAAAUUUUGAAAAGAAUUGGGGACAAAUGGGGGCUAAAUCUAAGAGGUCACUCUCGUAGGCCGGCACAAAAUCCAUGCUAAAUAAUGACAUACAUGACUAAACGUAUUGUACUUAUUGUAGCAAUUGAAAAAAGGAAAUUAAGAGCUGACUAUUUUACACCCCAACAAUCUCUUUUUGAAUAUCAAACUUUCAUUUUGGUCCCAACCUAAUUACGAUGAAUUAUGGGAUAAUGACAUAGAUAUACCAAAAAUUGGGACCGUUUUGAAAAGUCAGCAUAAAACUUAGGCUAGCUAGAAAUUACUUCAAACUAUAUAAUAUUCACUGUUAAAGCACAAUUAACCCUAACCCCAUCGUUUAAAAAUUUCUUUCAAUGAAAUUGAAAGUUAGCUAAACAUGAUUUUUUUGUGACUCGAAUUCAUGAUUCUGGCUCUGAUAACAUCUGUCAAGAUUGAAUUUCAACUAUCUCAAAAAGCUAAUUGGUGAUUGUUGCUACCAAAAAUCGUACUUGAGUAAUUCCGAGCUGGACGACUGAUGACGAGGACGAACGUGAUCUUCCGAUACCUAAAACAAAGGCGUCGAGAUGUGUCCUCGUCGUCCCUCCGAUGCUUAAGUCAAAGAGAGAAUUUGUGUGUAAGGCUAUGAACUGAUAAUUAUGUAAAAUGUACCUGAAUAAUGAUGAAGGGCUUCGUAUUUAUAGAGGUAGGUGGUGUGUUCAUAAUACGAUUCCGUAGUGCACUUGUAAUAGGACAGCUUGAUUUUGCAAUCUUAUACGAAUGAGUCCUACGCGAGAUAGGAGUUUGAAUUGCGGUAUAACUGGGAUACCAAUUAUUUAAUAGAGUUCUUCUGGACAUAGGAGACAUAGGUUGAGGAGUUUUAGUCAGAAUAAAUUUCUCAUUGGAUAAGGCGUUGACGUCGAGGACAUGCCGAUGUCAUAAUCCCUAGGACACGUCGAAUGACGUUCCACGAACUCUUGGGUCAAGAGCUCGGGGCAUGCGAAAGACAUCCCAAGCACAUAUAUCUCGAGCAUACUGAUACACAAAUCGAUGAAAUAGAGUCCUCGAGUUUAUAUACGUCGGGAAUAAUAUUUGGUAAUAUCAGUGAACACUAAUGGAUUGAGGUAUUCUUAAUUAAGCUAUUAAUGAUGUAAAAGGUAAGAUUAUUACGGUUUAGAGGUGAAUGACAAUUAUACCCCUACAGUUUUAGAAAUAAUUACUGUUGUAUCCCUGAUUCUACCCUAUAAAUACAGUGCUUUGGUUUUUAAUAAAAUACACACAAAUUUAUUGACUUUUCUCUGUUCUCUUCUCUUUUCACAAUACGUUAUCACAUAGUAAUUUUUGAGAGGGUAGUAAUUUUUUUUAUCAAGUAUAUCAAAAUUAAUUUGAUAAUAUGUGAUUUUUUUUUUAUCUAUUCAUGCAUCCAACUCACGUUUGUAAUUGGGUAAAAAUCAUGUCUAAUUAUUCAUGCAUCAUAGCCGCCGUCAAUUAGUGCCUACCAAUUCGCUACCAUCAAUUUGUAGCUUUUGCCUUUAAAGAUAUAAAAUAUUGCUUGUACAAUGCCUUUUUCGUUUGCUUCUUUAAUUGUCGUCAAACGUGUAAUGAUGAAAAUUUAGCCUGCAUCAUGUCUACCAAAUUAAUUGUGUAAUGGUUUACACGUAAUCCUAUGUUCCUGCCUUCAAUUUACUUCGAAUUGCCAAAUUAAUUGUUCAUGGUUUACACGUGAAUUUUGUUCAUCAAUUCUGCUGCCUAACAUAUGAUAUCGUCUAAACUAUUUUUAUAGCUUUUGCCAUCAAUCUUUAUUUAUGAUUUGAUUUGAUUUGAUCAAUGCAAGCGUCAUCCUCAUUAAUUAUUGCCAUCAUUAAUAAUUUUUAGUUGUAUUUACGUUUCUUCGUGUGUAAAUUUGGUGAGAAAAUUUAAUUAUUCAGUAAUUUUAAUUAUCGUUCAAUUAAUCAUCGAAUUUUUGUUAUAAAAUUUUGUUGCUCUUGAAAUAACACAAUAUUAUAAUUAAUAUUCUUGAAGAAUAUUAUUCGCUCCUGAAGAGCAUGAAUUAUAUAUAUUUUUUUUUCAAUAUUUCAGAAGAAUAUAUUGACGUAUUGAUCUUGAAAAAAUAAUAAUAAAAUACAACGUACUCCUGAAGUAGCAUAUAUUUCGAAAAAAAUAUUAUUUUUGUGUUUAUCCCUAAAGGUAAAUACAUAACUUAUAUCAUGUUGAUAUUAUUACUUGAUUACUUAUUAUAUAAUGUUUAAUCAUAUUUUUCGAAACUAAUUGUAUUUUCUUUUACUUUAUUGUGUAGUUAAUCAAAUAGAAAAUAUCAAGAAACUCAAGUUUGUUGUACUUGAUAUAUCUGGCAAAAAUUAGUUAUCAUGGGUAUUUGAUGCUGAUAUCCAUCUUGUUUCAAAAGGUUUGGGAGAGACAAUAAAAGAAAGAAACAAAGAAUUCCUGUAGGAUCAUGCAAAAGCAUUCAUCUUCCUUCGUCAUCAUCUUCACGAUAGACUAAAAAUUGAAUAUCUCACUAAGAAAGAUUCACAUGUUAUUUGGAAAAAAUUAACUGAAAGAUUUGAUCAUUAGAGGACUAUAGUCCUCCCCAAAGUUUGCUAUGAGUGAAUGCACCUUCGUUUGCAAGACUUUAAAACUGUUAGGGAGUAUAAUUCUGAAUUGUUCAAAUAUGUUCAAAAUUGACAUUGUAUGGAGAAAAAUCACUGAUGAAGAUAUGUUGAAGAAAUUUUUUUCCACCUUUCACGCCUCGAAUGUGCUCCUAUAGUAACAAUAUCGUGAGCGUAGUUUCAAAAAGUACUUAGAACUUAUAUCUUGCCUACUUGUUGUUGAACAGAAUAAUGAACUGCUGAUAAAAAAGCAUGGGUUACGUCCAACUAAUUCUGUACCAUUGCCUGAAGCAAAUGCAAUAUUACGACAAGGACGUGACAUAGAUGUGGACACAAAUUUGGACGUGGACGCGGACGUAUACGCUGAAUAAACCAUGAACGAAAUAUUCAACAAAAUUUUCAACAAUAAGGCAACAUUUUUAAAAGGCACAAAGCAAAUGAAAGUAGCACAUAGAAAAAGGUACAUGAAGAAAGUUGCUUUAGAUGUGGAAUGAAAGGGCAUUGGGCACGUACCUUUCGUAUGGCAAAACACAAUGUAUAUCUCUCAUAAAAAUCAAUCUAGGGAAAGGGGAAAGUGGAGACAAAUUUUGCUGACUAUAACGGUCCAAUUGAUGUGACUCAUUUGGAUAUCUUCGAUUUCUUUGUCGAUCCAAAUAGGAAUAUUGACCAUUUGAUUAGAGAUGAUGUGAUAGAAAAUAUAAAUUACCUUUUUUUUUGUUUAUAGUAUUUCCUUUUAUUUUAGAAAUUUAGUUUGAAAUAUGUUUUUACUUUUCGUAAAAAUUUUGAACUUUAUUAUGCAUCAUUAAUUUCACAGUAUUAUUAUGCUUAUCAUUUUGAAUUUAAAUUCAAGCUUUUUUUUUUUUAUAUAUUGAUAGAUCAUGAUGGAUUGUAAAAUACCUGCUUGAUUGAUAGUGCAAUUAAACAUACUAUUUUUAAAAGACAAAAAAUAUUUUUUGAACCUAACUUUAAAAGAAAAUAAUGUCAAUACAAUAUCAGGUGUAUCGAAUAUCAUUGAAAGCUACUAAAGAGUUUGUAUUAUUUUACCAAAUAAUACAAAAUUGUAUAUUGACGAUGCACUUUAUUCUAACAAAUUUAAAAGAAAUUUGCUUAGUUUUAAAGAUAUCCACUGCAAUGGAUAUCAUAUCUAGACAAUACAAGAAAAUAAUAUUGAAUAUUUUUGCAUAAUAUUUUCGUAUCUAAUCAGAAGCAGAGAAAAGAAAAAUUUUAUGCAUUCCCAUCUGGCAUGUAUUAUACAUUUAUAAAAAUAAUUGAAUCAAAUAAUGUCACGAAUUAGAAGUUCGUUGACCCAAAAAGUUUUAUACUUGGGCAUGAUCAACUUGGAUAUCUAGGAGCUAUAAUGAUGCGUCGAAUAAUAAACAAUUCACAUGGACACCCUUUAAAGAACCAAAAGAUUCUUUUACCAAAUAAUUAUCUAUGUGUAGCUUGUUUGCAAGACAAGUUAGUCACUAAACCUUCGAUUACAAAGGUCAAUAUUGAAUCUCCAACUUUUUUCAAAAAAAAUCAUGGAGAUAUAUGUGGGCCAAUACACCAACCAUGUGGACCAUUUCAUUAUUUUAUUGUAUUAAUUAAUUUUUCUACUAGAUGGUUACAUGUUGCCUACUUUCCACUAAGAAUGUAGUCUUUGCUAGAUUACUUGCUCAAAUUAUAAAAUUAUGAGCAUAAUUUUUCGAUUACUCAAUUAAAACUAUUCGCCUUCACAAUGCUGAUGAAUUUAGAUCACAAGCAUUCGAUGAUUAUUGUAUGUCAAUCGGAAUUGAAAUUGAAAAUUUAAUUGCGCAUGUCCAUACACAAAAUAGUUUGGCAGAGUCCUUUCUUAAAUGUCUACAACUUAUUGCUAGACCAUUUUUUAUGAAAACAAAACUCCCAACUUCUAUUUGGGGUCAUGCCAUACUACAUGCUGCAUUAUUGGUUCGUAUUAGACCAACUGUCUAUAAUCAAUAUUCACCUUUGCAAUUGGCAUUUGGUUAUAAACCUGAUAUUUCUCACCUACGAGUUUUUGGUUGUGCAGUCCAAGUCCCUAUUUCAUCCUCACAACGUACUAAAAUGGGUCCCUAAUAAAGAUUUGAGGUUUAUGUGGGUUUUGAUUCACCAUCAAUUAUUAGGUAUCUUGAACCUUUAACCGAUGAUUUAUUUACUGCACGUAUUGCAUAUUGUCAUUUUGAUGAUAUGACUUUCCCAACUUUGGAAGGGGAAAAACUACAUCCUGAAAAAUAAGGUAAAAUUUUUUGAAAUGAAAUAACUCUAUCUUACUUUAAUCCCCGCAUCAAUCAAUGUGAACAAGAGGUUAAAAAAAUCAUUCAUUUGCAAAAAGUUGCAAAUCAAUUACUUAGUGUAUUUGUUGAUACAAGAAAAGUGACAAAAUCAUAUAUUCCAGCAAAAAUUGAUGUCUCUACAGGACAAUCUGCUGAGACAAAUGAAUCUCAAAUACGCAGGAAGCGUAAUCGACUAGUUGGUUCAAAAGAUUAUGUACCUCAAAAAAGAAAGGUACAAGAGAAAAAUCAACCAAAAACUUUCGAAGAAGUAACAUUCGAAAAGAUUGAUCAAUCAAAUAUUGAAAAUAUGGUUCCCGAACAACCACAGGUUCCUGAAAAUAAUGAGAUUUCAAUAAAUUAUAUGUUAUCUCAUAAAUUAUGGGAACGAAAUAAUGUUGUUAUAGACAAUAUUUUCGCCUUCAAUGUGGCUCUUGAUAUUAUGCAAAAUGAUGAUCCUGAACCAAGUCAGUUAAAGACUGUUAAAAUAGAAAUGAUUGGCCAAAAUGGAAAGAAGCCAUACAGACGGAAUUGAAUUCCUUAGAGAAACGAAAAGUGUUUGGACAUGUAGUUCGAACAUGUGAAAAUGUAAUCCAUAUUUGAUACAAAUGGGUUUUUAUGCGAAAGAGAAAUGAAAAUAAUGAAAUUACAAGAUACAAAACCAGAUUAGUAACUCAAGCUUUCUCACAAAGACCAAAAAUUGAUUAUGAAAAAAUAUAUUCUCUCUUAAUGAACAUCAUCAUUUUUAGAUUCUUAAUUAGUUUGACUGUUUCACAAAAACUUGAUAUGCGCAUUAUGGAUGUAGUAACCGCAUAUUUGUAUGGUUCACUAUAUAUGAAAGUCCCUGAAGGACUUAAGGUACUAGGAACAAACGAUACAUGUCCGAAAACUAUGUUCUCAAUUAAAUUGUAAAAAUCAUUAUAUUGAUUAAAACAAACCGGACGCAUGUAGUAUAAUCGCCUUAGCAAAUAUUUGUUGAAUGAAUGUUAUAAAAAUUGACGAUGUCUAUCCACGUGUUCUCAUAAAGAAAACAGAUAGUGGAUUUGCAAUUGUGGCAGUUUAUGGUGAUGAUUUAAAUUUAAUUGAAACUCUUGAAGAGGUAUUAAGUUUCUAAUUUCUAACUGCCAUUAAUUUAGGCUUUAUAAGUUUGACAAGAGAUUAAUAAUCCAAUUAUUAUAGAUUAUCUGGGUUUACAUUAUGAUUGCAUAGUCGUUCAUUAUUUGUUUUAAUUUUUCUGUCAAAUUACACAACCAGUAUUAUGGGUUAGAUCUAGCAGUAGCUAUGCAGAGUGUGAAUUCUUCCACAGUAAAAUUUGAAGUAUUUUCAUAAUUAAUAAAAACAAUUGUGCUUCGGUUAAUACAAUGUGACAACUAUUCUUAUUAUAUUUUAGAUAUCUAUAACAUUAUCCAAAUCAAGCUUAUUAUUUUUCUUUGAAUUAUGGCAUACUUGUAUACUGUUACAUAGAAUUUUUUUGGUGAUACUUGAUACUUUCUGGCUUAAUUAGAGAAAGUCUCGAAUAAUUAUAUAGCUUCUUCAAAAUAAGUAAUUCCAUCUUACUCAUUUUCAAGAGGUUCUCUUGAGUCCACUGUAUUACACAGGCUUUCACUAUUUCUAGACAUUAAUUUGCAAUGAUAAAAAUGUAUAAGAUAUAAUUAGAAUAAUUUCUUUAAGGUGAUUCUUAUUGGUCCCAAGAAUCUUGCCAUGGUGUGCGGCAACUCAUUAGCGUAUUCCUCUAGAAUAUAACAGUCCAGCUACCAAAAUGCUCUCUCAGGUUUAUACUUUUUUUUUAGAGAUCCCAUAAAAAUGUUUUUAUGCAGCGUUAUGUGUAAUAAUAGUAAGAGAAAUUUAUGCCAGAAAAGGUCAUGGUAGUAUCCAUCUCCACAAAUUCCUCAUCCACUAACGUUUUAUGCAAGUGCUCAAGAGCAUAUAUCUAUGUCAGUAAUCGUUAUGUAAAUUGCCAAAAUUAACUAUUCUAUUAUCUUACAAUUAGCAGGAUAGUAUUAUAUACGUAAUUCCUUGUUAUCGUGAUAGCAUUAAUGUAAUACAUAUAGAAAAAAAGAAAAAAAGUCAAACAUUAAAAAAUAAUAAUAAUAAAUAAAUAAUAAAAUAAAUUAACCUGAGGUGGUGGAUCAAUCCAAUUGUAUUCCUUAAUUUAUAAAUACUUUAAAAAUAUUUAUAUUUUUUCACUUACAGAACUAUGUACACCAAAAUUAACUCGGAUGGUACGCUGUCCCAGAUGUCAGUAUCGUCGCCUGAAAUAUAAUAUAAUAUAAUAUAACUUUUAAAUCAAGAAUUAACUAUUUUAAGUAAAUUCAAUAAUUAAAAAUACGAUAUCUAAACUUAAUCAUUUUACGUUUAGGCGAUUUCUAAAGUAUCUCUAAUCACUAAAACUAAUUUUUCUUUCAUUUUACUCAAUUUCGUAGUUUAUCAUACUUAACCCUUUCAAUAAAAUUGUGAUUUCUGUCACCACGACAUGUGAUCAUAUCCAUUGAACAUGCAUGAACCAUAAAAUUUUUCAAAACCAUGCUCUGAUACCGCUUUGACACGACCCGUCCCAAAUCACCCUAGUGGACCUGAAACAUGAUGUACGCCGAUGAUAGAUGUUGAUUAGAUGUCAAAUCUAUCACCAAGGCUGACUAUAAGUUAUUUCACAAGAAAUGCAACAAAAUCAAAUGUUUAUGUAAAACAUAAUGUGAUGGGCCCAAAAUAUUUAUUUCGUGCCUCAUCAAUAUAAGUUAUAGUAUUCAAAAUCAUUAGACCAUUCCAGCUAAAAGGAAUCAAUUGCUACCUGUAGAAAAUUUUGUGAAAAAAUAUAUGAGUUGGUAGCUCAAUGAGUGGAGAAUUUCGAAAAUAAUUAUACUUUUUCAAUUUUACAUUUUUAUCGAAAAUCGAGUUCAUAUCAUUGAUUAAUUUGCAAUAUAACAUCAUAUAAUUACAGCAAAACGUGAGAUAUUCACAUAACGUGGUAAAAUAUAAUCUCAAAUCGUGAUAUGAACAUAAGUUGGUAAUCAUACUCUAAUCUCAUCACAUCAAAUGUACUGGAAAAAUCCACCAAAAAUGUACAUUCAGACUGAAAUCUGUAAUCCACUAAGCAUGAAACCACAGUGAGUUAAACCACUGAUGAUAUUUGUUUGUGCAAAUACUACAAUAACAAUGGUCCUAACUAACGUUAGACAAUUUGUUAUCUCAAAUAAAUUGAAAGUCCCACUAAGCAUCAAACCACAGUGAGUUAAACCAAGAGAAUUUCAUCAUGAUUGGGUCAAGCACAAAUAGUAAAGCUAGCACUUUUAUUAUAUUCAUAUCCCUAUUCUCUUGUCCAUCUCAGUCUGCAUUUUUAAUCAGAAACAGUAAUAUAUUUAUCAUUAAUAAAAAGAAUUAGAUCUAUCAUGAGGGUAAAGCAUCCUCUAACAAUAUAAAGAGAAAAAAACAAGCACUAAUUGCUCUUUUUGUUUCAAAAAUUGCGAUUUCUUUCCAACCAAAUACUCAAUUACACAUGCUGGAAAACCCAAUCUCAACGAGCUUCAUGAAGAAGCCUGCACAAUAACAUUUUGCAGCAUUGCAGUGUUAAAACAAAUUAUGCAUUCUGAUAGUACAGAAUAGCAGGCCCAAUAAAAGGUUAGGAAUAUGAAAACCUGAAUAUAGUGAGCAUAAAAUUACAGAUAUUAUUAGUUCACAAAUUGCAAUCAAGGAAAUUAGAAGUUCUUCAAAUGAUGAUAAUGCUUACUUUGCAAGAAUGAUGUCUUCAGCAUUAUACAAACCAGAGAACAGCUAAACGGCUCCUUUAGCCUGCAAAUGAGAUAAGCAUGGAUUAAGAAAACAUUUUAUAUUCUUACUGAAAUUAUUAGUUAAUAACAAUUAAGUAUACCAAAUCACGGAGGAAAAUGUCGAAGUUCCAUCUGACUGUAUGCCCUCGAACCACUAUUCUUGCAGUUUCACAACUUUAAAGAACACGCAGAAACCCAAUUGGAACCAAACUUCCCAAGAACAUUUGCAGAUAUCAAAUUAUUUCAUGCACAUCCUUGUAAAAUUCAAUUCAGUUCCAUUGAAAUGCUUAUUCUUACGCUCAAUUUUCAGGCUCUAAUAAAUAAAAAAGUUAAUCUUUAUUAUUCCAAUUGCAAAUCUCAGUUACAUCUAACCAAAAUUUCAAAAAUAAAUAAAUAAAAAUAAAAAUUGGGUAAAAACAGUGAAUUAUUCAGAAUUUAAACAGAGAUAGGAACAAUUACCAGGCUAUAAAAACGACAUUGGCAGUUCAGGUGGAUCGUAGGAGAAGAAGAGGGACUUUCAGAUUGGCCUGGUGAAAUUGCCAUUGGCAAACAAGCCUACUUAGUCCAUGUUUGAAUGUUGGGGAGAGAAACAGAAUUUUCUAUAAAAUAAUAUUAUAGGUAGAUGGAAAAGUUUCUCUCUAAGAACUUUCGCCACGGGCCUUUCGCCCCCUCCGUGAACGAAAGUUGAUUUCAAAAACCUCUCAUAAUCAAUUCUAGAACACGGUCAAGGCCCCUUUAUGAACUAUAUGUACACGAUCAAGACCAAUGUCAUGUCAAAACCCUCAGUGUAGGAUAGAAUACGACCAAAUCCCCUCUGUGAACAGAAGAAGAAUAUAAUCAUGGGUACUUUUCUGACCGAUCUCAAUAUUACAUGUCUCACAUACCAAUAUCACAUGUCUCAUAUACCAAAUCACAAACAUACUAUAAAUAAUCCUUGAAAUUCCCUAUGAAUCAUACUAAAAGAAAUUUUCAUUGUAGUCACAUAACCGAGCAAAUAAUUCACAUAAUUACGCAUACUUUUAUAAUAUACUUAAUUUAUAAAUACUUUAAAAAUAUUUAUAUUUUUUCACUCACAGAACUAUGUACACUAAAAUUAACUCAGAUGGUACGAUGUCCUAGAUGUCCAUAUCGUCGCCUUUAAAAAUUGAGGAAUUCAAGCAUAAUAGUGUACACCACUUAUUUUCUAACAAUAAUGGCGAAAUUUUUCUAUUUUUUUCCUUUCUUCUUCCUCUUUUUUUUCCCUUCCUAUUUUCCCUUCAUUUUUCUCCCUGCUCUCGUUUUCUCUCAGUGUGUGUUGUGUGUGUGUUUGUGGGACAAAUGGAUAGAUUUUGAACUUGGGUGGAUUGAUAUAGAUCAAUCCACCGCCUCCCUCUUUUUUUUUUAAUUCCUUUUUUUUGUACUUUAGACUUUUCUUUUAAUUAUAAACUAAUGUAUUACAAAACUCAUCCCCUUAAAAGAAUUUCAUCCUCGAAAUUCAAUUAAUUAAAUGCGAAAAAAUCGUGGAUACUGAGAACGCAUCUGCUCUUCACUCUCCCAUGUCGCUUCUUCUACAACAUGAUUUCUCCAACGAACUUUUAGUCCCAAAAUUUAGUCUUUCGUAUCAUAUUUUAAUAACUUCCUAAGCGAAUAUAUAAUAUUCUCAUAUGUUCUCUCUCUCUCCAAAACCUUGGGAAAACUCAAUUAUUUUUCCAAUUUGAAGUUUAAAAGACUACUAUUCAUGUUCUCCAAAUCUUCACCUUACGUCCUAAUUUAAACCAUUCUCUAAUCACAUUUUUUUUCUAUAACCAUGGUUACAUAUUAAGAUCGAACAACAUUCUUUCGCCCAUUUCGUUAUACGUCCUUGGAAUAUUUUAAUAUUAUAUAUAACCUCAAUUAUCGUCACUUGUGUCUAGUUUUUAUAUGUCAAUUCCGUGGAAAAUAAAUAAUUAUCCCAGUCUCCUUUAAUUAACCAACCAUAGUUGAUAGCCUAUCUUUUAAACUUGUCUUCUUAGUGUCUGACAUUCUAUCAAAAGAAGAUGCACAAUGUAAUUUAAAUUUUAUAACUUCUUACAACUAACCAAAGAUAAAUAUACAAUUCCAUCAUGUAAUUAACAAUAUUGUCUGAAUAUAAUUUUAUAAGUCUAUCCUAUGAACUGAUUAUAUCAUUUAAAAAGAAUCUUGUAACCUUUAUCAAUCUAUCCACAAGGAUUUAGAUAAUAUUUUGUCUCCAUUCCGUGUAUUUGGAAUCUCCAAAAAUGUACUUUAAGGGUAACUACCUCCAUUGUAAAUUGACAAUAUCUCCAAAAAUUUAAUUGUUCAUGAUUUUCUAAAAUUCCAGUUAUCCCCAGCAAAAUAAUUGAGAUAGCUCAAUAUGAUGUUCUUUUUCUUUUAAUUCUAUAUCACCCAAUGAUAAUAUAUACACAAUUUUCAUUUCCACUAUUUCGAAUAAAAUAUAUCUUAAUCUCUGAUGAUUGAUAAUUAUUGAUAUUUCUCGCAAUGUCACGACACAAUCCCAAUAUAACCAACUCUAAAUCAUGUUUUAAUCAUGCCUCUUCAACAAUCUAUAAUAUAAUUCAUAAUUCAUUAUUUUACUUCAGAACACAUUCUAAACCUUAACAUGAUCCAUUAUCAUAAAUCAAAUCCUCAUCAACUUUUGAUACAAGAGUAAAUGUUUCCUCAUAAUUAAUCGAUAACAACACUUUUUCCAUCUUUAAAUCCACACAAUUUUGGUACUCUUUCUUUCUAUGAAGAGACAAUUAUAACAAUUAAUCCAUAAUAAUUCUAUACUCUUAUUUUAUAAAGAGGUCAUCAGCCUAUUACCAAUGCAUAAGCUUUCUUGUAUAUCACACAAGACCUUCAAUAAAGAGUAUAACCUAAAGAUAUCGUUCUACAAUUGGAAUAAAUUUACAUGAUGAUCGUAUUAGACUUUAAGCUAUCGAACAUAUCAUCCAUAUGUUCCGUAACGUGCAGAUUUCUAGAAGAAUGGAAUACUUUAUUCAUGAAAUCUAAAAAUACAAUAAAAAAUAACUCAAAAUUUACAUCACUAAAACUUCAUUAAAUUCACUUUAACUUCAAAAUUGCUCAAAGCUUUCCAAAUUGUAUAUAAGACAACAUAAUAAUCCAACAGAUGGUCUUGGCAAAACCAAUUAACUUAAUAACCCAAAUACAUCAUCUCAUUAUUUUGCUAUAGGACAACCAUAACAUUCAUUUACUUAUUAUUCACUAUAUCAUGUUAGGAUCAUAUAAUCAUGUCAUUUAUUGUCAUAUCGUAAGAUCUAAAACAUUUAAUUAUGUCAAUUUUCUUUAAUAUCACAAGAUAAUAGCCUUCAUAUUUAUCACAUGAACAUUUCACACAUCAAUAUACCGCAUGUUAAUUUCCCAAUCUCAAUAAAUUUCAACUCUACCAUUUUCUAAUUUUUUUAAUAUUUUUUUCACAUAAACGUACCUAAAUGUGCAUAUCCAUUUAAUUCUAUUCCUAAAGCAACAAAUCACCCCAUAAUAAAUAAUCAUUAUGAAGUUCAUCCCUAUUAUUCUCACAUUCCUUAUAAUCAAACAACUCAUAAAUAAUCCAAAUAAUUGGAAUUAUCGUUAAUUUCCUCGAUGCCUAAAGUACACAAUAACACAUUGUCAUCUAUCAAUCAACAAAUCAUCAUUUUGUUUUCCACAAUUUCUUAUCAUAUAGCAUGAAUAUAUACCAUCAUAAUUUCUAUUAUCAUCCCAUAAAAGUGGCUACAAAUCACCACAAAAUUUUUAUAAUAAUAAUGACCAUUUGGCUUCAAAAUAAUUAAAAUUCCACGUUGGUUGUAAAAUCUAUAACUUCGAAUACCCCGCAAAAUCAUCAAAAUGUGUUCAAAUCUUAAUAGGUUACAUACACCAUAGUUCCAAUCCAAUAACUAAUAACAUUUCAUAUCAUCAGAUCAUUGCAACUACCAUACUUACAUACUAGUCGUUUCUAAAUCUAUUAAAAAAAAUAUUCUUCUAUCAUUUUUGGUUCCAUACAUUCAAGCUAGCGAGAUUGUGAUUUUCGCCACCACGACAUGCGAUCAUAUCCAUUGAACAUGCAUGAACCAUAAAAAUUUUCAAAAUCAUGCUUUGAUACCAUUUUGACACGACCCAUCCAAACCUGAAUCACCCUAAUGGACCAGAAACGUGACGUGCGCUGAUGAUAGAUGCUGACUACCCCGCCCCGUGUAACACUACUGGAUCCGGACGCGGCAUGCACUGAUGAUAAAUACCAACAAAAAGUCGGACCCACCAUCAAGGCUACUACAAGUACAAUAUAUCAUUUUUUUUAUACAUCAUUUUUCUAACAGAAUUUCGACAUUAUCUCCCUUGUAAACAGGAUUAACCAACCUGUGGUCAAUUUCACACAAAUCUCAAACUAUAAGACAACACAAUAAAGAUAAGCCGAAACCUCAACAUUUAUCAAGAAGUAAAAUGAAAUAUGCAUAUGGAUACAAAAUACAUAGUGAGCCCCAUGGCUAUCUACAAGUGAUGCAAAAUCACAUCUCGACAUGAACAUGCGUCCCAAAAUACUGACUACAUGUUCUAUGAAGUGAGUCAUACUAAUAAACUAUGUCGUGUGGCUCUGACUCCAAAAUCAAGGCUCAACUCCAAAAGAUGCCUAGAUUCUCAACUGCUGCUUGAUAAGGAAGAACGUGGAAAAAUAUAUGAGUUGAUAGCUUAGUGAGUGGAGAAGUUCAAAAAUAAUUAUACUUUUUCAUUUAUACAUUCUUAUUGAAAAUUAAAUUCAUAUCAUUUCAUAAUUCACAAGCUACCAUCCUAUAAUUAUAGCCAAAAAGUGAAAUAUUUACAUAAGGUCAUAAAAUAUCAUCUUAAAAUCAUGAUAUGAAUAUCAACUGAUAACCAUGCUAUAUCUCAUCAAAUUAAAUGUGCUGAAAAAUCUACCAAAAAUAUACCCUCUGAUUGAAAUAUAUAUCCGUCCCUCGGGCUAAGAACUUUCGUCACGAGCUUUUAGUCCCCUCCGUGAACGAAAGACGGUUUCAAAGACCUCUCAUAAUUAAUUCUAGAACAUGGUCAAGACCCCUCUGUGAACUAUAUGUACAUGAUCAAGAUCAAUUUCAGGUAAAGACCCUUCGUGUAGGAUAAAACACGGCCAAGGUCACUCUGUAAAUUAGAAGAAGUACAUAAUCACGGGUACUUUUCUGGUCGAUCUCAAUAUCACGUCUCACAUACCAAACAAAUCUCAAUAUCGUAUGUCUCAUAUACCAAGUCACAAAUGUACAAUAAAUAAUCCUUGAAAUUCCUCAUGGAUUAUAAUAAAAGAAAUUUCUAUAAUAAUCAUAUAAUCGAACACAUAAUUUCACGUACUUUGAUAAUAUACUUAACUUAUAAAUACUUUAAAAAUGUUAAUAUUUUUCCACUCACAGAACUAUAUACGCCAAAAUCAAUUCGGUCGGUAAACUGUCCCGAUAUUUGUAUCGCCGCCUGAAAUAUAAUAUAAUUUUUAAAUCAACAAUUAACUAUUUUAAGUAAUUUCAAUAGUUAAAUACGCAAUACCAAAACUUAAUUAUUUACGUUUAGGCGAUUUCUAAAGUCUCUUUAAUUACUAAAAUUAAUUUUUCUUUCAUUUUACUCAAUUUCAUAGUUUAUUAUACUUAACCCCUUCAAUAAAAUUGAAUUUAAUCUAACAAUCUAACAACUAUAAAAUCAAACACAACCUUUCAAUAAGUAACUUUUUACUUACUUUUCAAAAUUGAGGAAUUCAAGCCUAAUAGUAUAACCCACUUAAUUCCUUACACGUUGGUGAAUUUUCCUUUUUUUUUUUCCUUCCUCUUUUUCUUUCUCUUUUCUCUCUUCUUCUCUCUCUCUCUGGUCCGUUUUCUUUGUGUCUGUGUUGUGUGUGUUUUUAAAUUGGUUUUGGGUGGAAUUGGAUUGAUAUCAAUACAAUUCCACCGCCUCAGGUUAUUUUAUUUAUUUAUUUUUUUUAAUGUUUGACUUUUCUUCUUCUUUUUUUUAACGUAUUACAAAACUCACCUCCUUAAAAGAAUUUCAUCCUCGAAAUUCAAUUGAUCAAGUAUGAAAAAGUCGUGGAUACUGAGAACGUAUAUGCUUCUUCUACGGCAUGCUUUCUUCACAAAACUUUAACCAAGGGAAUAGUCUUACUAUGCAAGACAUAUUCCUUUCUGUCUAAUAUCUGAACUGGUUGUUCUUCAUAUGCAAGAUUUUCUUUCAACUCUAUUGGUUGUGAUUCCAAAACAUGAGAUGGAUCUGGAAUAUACUUACGAAGUAUGGAAACGUGGAAUACAUCAUGAAUUCUGGACAAUUCUGUUGGCAAAGCCAAUCGAUGCACAUUUGGACCGAUGCGUUCAACAAUCUCAUAUGGGCCAACAUACCUCGAACUCAAUUUACCUCGUUUACUAAAUCUAAUAACAACUUUCCAUGCCGACAAUCGCAGGAAAACUCUAUCCCUAACAUCAAAUUCAAGGUUUCUUUUGUGUCUAUCUGCACAGUUCUUCUGUCUAUCUUGGGCUAUCUUUAACUUUUCUCUAAUUAUCUUUAGUUUUUCAUCAGUAAUCUGUAUAUAUUCAAGACCCAAUAACUUUUUUUCGCCAACUUCAUCCCAACAUACUGGAGAUCUGCAAAUCUUACCAUACAGUGCUUCAAAAUGAGCUAUUUCUAUACUCGAAUGAUAAUUGUUAUUAUAAGCAAACUCCAUCAAAGGAAGAUGAGUAUCCCAAUUUUCCUUUGAACUGUAGUACACAAGCUCGUAACAUGUAUUCCAAAGUCUAAAUAGUUCUUUCUGACCGACCAUCUAUUUGUGGAUGAAAAACUGUACUGAAAUGAAUUUUAGUACCCAUAGCUUUCUGCAAAUUGGGCCAAAAUCUGGAAGUGAAACGAGAAUCUCUAUCUGAAACAAUAGAUACUAGUGUCCCAUACAAACUGAUUAUCUCAUCAAUAUAUUUUUUUGCCAAUUUAUCUAUCGAGUAAGUGACUUUAAUAGGCAAAAAUCUAGCAGUCUUCGUUAACCUGUCUACAAUGAUCCAUAUGCCAUCAUGUCUACUCUGAGUCCAUGGAAGUCCAAAUAGAAAAUCCAUAGUAAUGUGUUCCCAUUUUCACUCAGGAAUAGGCAACGUUUGUAAGAACCCUGUUGUUUUCUGACAAUCUGGUUUUACUUGCUGGCAAAUAAGAUAUCUGGAUACAAACUCAGCUAUUUCUCUCUUCAUUCCAUGCCACUAAUAGUGUUCUUUAAGUACACGAUACAUAUUUGUACUACCUAGAUGCAUCGCGUAAGCUGAACUAUGUGCCUCUUCUAGAAUUUCUUCCUUUAAUUUCGAAUCAUCUGGAACACAUAAUAUGUUUCCCAUAACUAAAGUUUCGUCAUCUCGAAUGGUAUAAUAUGUAUGCUUACCUUUACAAACUUCUUCCUUUAAUUUGCUUAACACUGGAUCUUGAGUUUGAGUUUCUCUAACUGUGUCAAUCAAAGUAGGCCUCACUUGGAAGUUGGCAAACAAUGCUCCUACAUUGGUAACUGAUAAUUGGGCAUGAGAAGCUCUGAAUCCACCAAACAAAUAUGAACAUACUGCAUUAGUCUGGGUCAUAGGACUCGAUAUAUUCCAACUAAGAGCAUCAGCAACUACAUUAGCCUUCUUUGGAUGAUUAUCAAUCUUGCAAUCGUAAUCUUUUAUCAGCUCUAACCAUCUUCUUUACCUCAAGUUUAACUCUUUCUGAUCGAAAAUAUACUUUAAACAUUUUUGAUCUAUAUAUAUCUAGCAUCUCUCACCAUACUAGUAAUGUCUCCAAAUUUUUAAGGCUAGGACAACUGCAGCUAGCUCUAAGUCAUGUGUAAGAUAACUCAGUUCAUGUUUCUUCAAUUGCCUAGAAGCAUACGUUAUAACUUUCCCAUUCUGCAUCAAAACACAACCCAGACCUUGAAUUGAAGCAUCACUAUAUGUCACAAACUCUUCACCAGGCGAUGGAAGGGUAAGAACUGGAGCUGACACUGAUCUAUUCUUCAAUUCGAGGAAACUUCUUUCGCAAUUUUCAUUCCAAACAAAUUUAGCAUUCUUUUUAGUCAAACUGGUCAAAGGAAGAGCAAUUUUAGAAAAUUUCUCUACAAAACGACGGUAAUAACCCUCUAAGCCAAGAAAAUUUCGAAUUUCUGUCACAUUAGUAGGCCUUUCCCAUUUUACCAAUGCCUCUGUUUUCUGCGGGUCAACAUAAAUUCCUUCUACUGAUAUGACAUGUCCCAAAAAUACAACUUUAUCAAGCCAGAAUUCACAUUUACUAAAUUUAGCAUGCAACUGCUCAUCACGUAGAGUCUACAAGAUGAUUCUGAGAUGCUCUGUGUGCUCAUCGUGAUUAUGAGAAUAUACUAAAAUAUCAUCAAUGAAUACAAUCACAAAUCUAUCUAAAUAUGGGCGAAACGUUCUAUUCACCAUAUCCAUAAAUGUUGGUGCGUUGGUCAACCCAAAUGGCAUCACAAGAAAUUCAAAAUGACCAUAUAAAAUCUAGACACAACUGACGAUAAUUGAGGUUAUAUAUAAUAUUGAAAUAUUCCAAGGACGUAUAACGAAAUAGGCGAAAAAAUGUUGUUCGAUCUUAAUAUGUAACCAUGGUUAUAGAAAAAGAAUGUGAUUAGAGAAUGGUUUAAAUUAGGACGUAAGGUGAAGAUUUGGAGAACAUGAAAAGUAGUAUUUUAAACUUCAAAUUGGAAAAAUAAUUGAGUUUUCCUAAGGUUUUGAAGAGAGAGAGAGAGAGAGAGAACAGAUGAGAAUAUUAUAUAUUCACUUAGGAAGUUAUUAAAAUAUGAUACGAAAGAUUAAAUUUUAGGACUACAAGUUUGUUGGAGAAAUCAUGUUGUAGAAGAAGCGACAUGGGAGAGUAAAGAGCAGAUGCGUUCUCAGUAUCCGCGACUUUUUCGCAUUUAAUUAAUUGAAUUUUGAGGAUGAAAUUCUUUUAAGGGGGUAAGUUUUGUAAUGCAUUAGUUUAAUUAAAAGAGAAGUCAAAAGUAAAAAAAAAAAAAUAAGGAAUUAAAAACAGAAAAAAGGGAGGCGGUGGAUUGAUUUAUAUCAAUCCACACAAGUUCAAAAUCUAUCCAUUUGUCCCACAAACACACACACACUGAGAGGAAACGAGAGCAAGGAGAAAAAUGAAGGAAAAAGAGGAAGGAGAAAAAAGAAGAAGAGGAAGUAUAAAGAAAAAAAAUAGAAAAAUUUCGCCAAUGUUGUUAGAAAAUAAGUGGUCUACACUAUUAGACUUGAAUUCCUCAAUUUUGAAAAGUAAGUAAAAAGUUACUUAUUGUCAAGUUAUGUUUGAUUAAUUGUUAGAUUUUUAGAUUAAAUUCAAUUUUAUUGAAGGAGCUAAGUAUGAUAAACUAUGAAAUUGAAUAAAAUGAAAGAAAAAUAGUUUUAGUGAUUAGAGAUACUUUAGAAAUCGCCUAAACGUAAAAUGAUUAAGUUUAGGUAUCGCCUAUUUAAUUAUUGAAUUUACUUAAAAUAGUUAAAUCUUGAUUUAAAAGUUAUUAUAUUAUAUUUCAGAAGAUGAUACGGACAUCUGGGAUAGCGCACCAUCCGAGUUAAUUUUGGUGUACAUAAUUCUGUGAGUGGAAAAAUAUAAAUAUUUUUAAAGUAUUUAUAAAUUAAGUAUAUUAUAAAAGUAUGUGCAAUUAUGAGAAUUAUUUGCUCGAUUAUGUGAUUACGAUGAAAAUUUCUUUUAGUAUGAUCCAUAAGGAAUUUCAAGGAUUAUUUAUAAUAUGUUUGUAAUUUGGUAUAUGAGACGUGUGAUAUUAAUAUUUGUUUGGUAUGGGAGACAUGUAAUAUUGAGAUUGACCAGAAAAGUACCCAUGAUUAUAUACUUCUUCUAGUUCACAGAGGGCCCUUGGUCGCAUUCUAUCCUACACAAAGGGUCUUGACAUGACAUUGGUUUUAAUCGUGUACAUAUAGUUCAUAGAGGGGCCUUGACCGUGUUCUAGAAUUAAUUAUGAGAGGUCUUUGAGACCCGCUUUCAUUCACGGAGGGGACCAAAGGCCCGUGACAAAAUUUCUUAGCCUGAGGGACAUAUUACAGAUUUCAAUCAGAGGAUACAUUUUUGGUGGAUUUUUCCAGUACAUUUGAUGUGAUAAGAUUAUAGCAUGAUUACCAACUUAUGUUCAUAUCACGAUUUGACAUGAUAUUUUACCACGUUAUGUGAAUAUCUCAUGUUUUGCUAUAAUUAUAUGAUGUUACCUUACGAAUUAUUCAAUGAUAUGAACUCGACUUUCGAUAAAAAUGUAAAAUUGAAAAAGUAUAAUUAUUUUUGAAAUUCUCCACUCAUUGAGCUAUCAACUCAUAUAUUUUUUCACAAAAUUUCCUACAAGUAGCAAUUGAUUCCUUUUAGCUGGAAGAGUCUGAUGAUUUCGAAAUGAAAGCCACACGACAUGUUGAAUACUAUAACUCAUAUUGAUGAGGCACGAAAUAAAUAUUUUGGGCCCAUCACAUUAUAUUUUACAUAAACAUUUGAUUUUGUUGCAUUUUUGUAAAAUAACUAUAGUCAGCCUUGGUGAUAGAUUUGACAUCUAGUCAGCAUCUAUUAUCGGCGCACGUUACGUUUCGAGUCCACUAGGGUGAUUCGGGACGGGUCGUGUCAAUUAACUAAUUGGAUGUAGCACACAAUAUAUGCAUUUUUCUUGCAUUAAAUAUUAACAUUGAUAUUAGUAUUUUUUCGAAAUUUUCCAAUAUUAAUUGAUGGAAUGGUACAGAGAGGAGAGCCAUUUACAGAAACUUGGAUGCUACUUUCAAUGCAACUAUUUCCCCGCUCUUUUCUUCUGGUAAUAACGCCGACAAUCCUUACAAAGAAUGGUUUCUAGAAUUCUUGAUUAUAUUUGACCUCUCUAAUUUUGUGUAACUCUUGGAUCACCCUAGAUGCUGGAAAAUCGAGACAUUCCCCAGUUUCAGUCUUAACUUCUGACAUAAAUUUGAGAAGGAAACCCAACGAAGCUGGACAUCGAGAGGGAAAUAAGAAGUCCAAUGCUUCAUUUAUCAACUGUGUUCUUAAUGGAACUGAUUCAUCUUAGAGAACUAACAAAAGUGUGGAAUGAAGUGAUGGUAGGAAUCGAGAAUUUGAGAAGCAAGGUGGAUGUGACAUGCUUUUCAAAGUUGGCAAUCAGGUAUCUCCAUUGCAGUCUUCUGAUUGGAAUGACAAAAUGACUAGUGUUGAAAAACUAGAUAUGAAUCAGGUUUUGAAAUUUUCACCUGGUGGCUCUCCUUCCUUUGGUGAUGUCAAAGAUGUAGAUGUUUGCACUGAUGAUAUAGGUAGUAGAAAUGGGGUAAGAUUCAAACCCUCAUUUCGUCUGAGUAUAAUUGGAAGUACAAAAUUUCCUUCGAUUACUCAACUUGAUGCAUCAUUCCUUUAUCAAUUGAAUUCAAGGUAACGCAAGUUGGGUUCAUCUGUUAACCAUAAUAUUGAUCGCUGGGUGAAUUGUUAAAAAUCUCAAUAGGAAAUAACUAUGAACAUUUUUCCUACUCUCGUAAUUGAACUUACUACCCAUCAAUAGAAUUUAUACACCAUGAAAACAAACUCAAUUGUUGUAAGAUGAUCGACUUGUCAGGACUUUGAUCAUGAGAUUGUUCUUUCCAAUUGAAUAUUGAUCAUAUUGAAAUAGCUCUCCAAUUGUUUUAGAAAAUCGAUAUGAGCUAACUUCAAUAUCCCUUGGAAUUGUGGAGUACUCUUUUCCUCUUUCCUUAGUCUAAAGCCCUACAUGACAUUUCUAUCCACUGAAGUCUUGGCCUUGUUAUGCGGAUCAAUGGAACCACGUAUACCAACAAAAAUUUUAGACUUUAUGAUCAUCAUGCUGAGGCGAUUAGAUCACUCCUAUUUUUCAUAAAAGACGAUGUUCACUGAAGUGCUGGUAUCAGUGAUUUCAAGUGGUUCAUCUUUCCUAAUAGCAUAAUCAAUAUCCAUCCACCCUAAAUGGAGAAGAAUUCUCUCAUUCUAUACUUUAUAGUUGUCAUCGUUUAAUCUAGGAAUAUCACAACGACUAUCAGAGAAAUUAGAAGGUUGUGAAGUUGUAUAACAUUAAAAUUUGCUUAUGUUAACUUAAGGCUUAAUAGAUUGCAUGUUUUACCAAUGUAAAUGUGCUAAAAUUGAAUACAAUGACAUAAAAAUUGCCUAUAUGAUGAAUUUUUAGUUCAAAUAUAUUCAAUUAUUUUUUAGAUAAAAUUAUCAAAUUAGAUACUCAAUUCAUAAUUUGUUCAUUAUGAAAACAAUUAGAUAUUCUAUCCUCAAAAAAUUUUGUAAUAAAACUAUCAAAUUAUAUAUUUAUUCAUAAUUCCUGUGGGAAAAUUAUGAGAUAAUUUUAUAUUUUAUUCUAAUUAAUUAUAUAAAUAUAACAAAAAUUCUCGUGGGAUAAAAUUCAUUAUAUUGAGUACAAUUAAUUACAAUCUAAUGUCAUUAAUCAUUAUGUGAUCCCCAUCUUAAUAUAUAAUUUUAUUUAAUUAAAGAUGAUGUGGCUAAUAAUUGAAUAAAUAAAAUUAUACGCAUCACUAGAUAUUAUCAUGUUGUGCAUAAACGAUUAACUUAAUAUGAGAAUAGGUCUAAUUGCGCAAUAUUAACUAACAUGUUAUGAUUAUGCACAAAAUAUUCUUAUAAACAUUCUAAAUUGCAUAAAAUAAUUUAAACAUAAUCAAUUUAUGCAAACUUAAUAUGAGCAUAAUUCAUAAUUUAAUACAUCCUAAAAUUGCAUGUAUUAUUCUAAACAUAAAUAAUUAACAUAUGCAAAAAUUAGGCAAAGAUAAAAGAUAUGCCCAUAUAUCAGAUAAAUAUUUCCAUGAAUUAAUUGGCCCAAUGGACAUAUAUGUGCCAAAGAAUUAAUUCUCUAAAAAGCGGUCCAUUAAAAGUGUAGGUUAUAGCCCAACUAUUAAUUGCAUAAAGAAAACAGGCUUCAUGAAAAUAACAGGCCCAAUGAGAAUUGAUCCAAUUAAAAAUGGAAAUUUUCACAUAUAACCCAAUAUAGAAAGAUAAUUCCAAAAUCACUAACACAUUUUUUUUAUUCCUAAAAUACUAUAUCUUGCAACAUAAAAUUUCAAAAUUACUAAAUAACCCAAUUAACAUAAAUAAAGGUGACUGAUUGCAAUCAAGAUACAUAUUUAUUACCAAGUCAUUAAGUAGCUCUUAUAAUGUAAGGAUUUAUUAUAGAAACAAUUGGAUUAUUAAAUAACAUCCGUGAGUAGUUGGAGAAAUCCCUUUUUAUUAUUUUUAAAAUUUCUAUUUCGGAUCACUUAAUAUUAUUAAAUAAUGAAAAUUCAUAAAUUCAUGUCUGGCCAUUUAUAGUCUUAUGUUAAUUUUUUUUAUUUUAUUAUUUUUUUUUCUCUUUCCGAAAUGUAAGGCAAUACAUUGUAAGAUGUUGUGUUGCUAUAAUAUAACUUGUAAUGUCUUAACAUUUUUAAAUAUAUUAUUGUUACGUCCACAAUAUAAUUCUUAUUUUUGUAUCAUAUUGUAUAUUCUAUAGCAAUUAUGGAAUGUCUAAAGGAGUGAUAUGAUGUAAUUUAUGAAAAAUGGAAUGUUGCGAAUCACGAUAUGUUCUCAUAUGAAUCUUGAAUAAUUAGUGAUUGCAUAUAUAACAAUUUGUUACAUCGAUCAAUCAUAUUUUGUUAAAAUGUUAUGUCAAAUUAAUAAUAUAUAUGUUAGAAUAUAUACUAUAUUUUUGUCACGUUUUGUGAAAUUGUAUUGUAUAUUAAAAUAUGUUACACUUGGUACUUCGACAACUUAUAUGCAAUAUAUUUUGUCAUGUUAAUCAAGGGUAUUCUAAGACUCCUAUUGGAUUUUAUAUUUGACUAAAAAAUACUAUAAUCUUUGAAUUGUAGAGAGAAAAUACUGGAAUUGAUGCACAAAAUUUGGAGUAAAAGGGAUUGAGAUGAGAAGAUGAGAAAUCUUUGGGAUGUUUUGAAAUUUUUUGAAUUAUCAUAGCUUUGAUUUUGAACGUAUGAGGUACUAUGAUUUGAGAAAGUUUGGAUGGUUCCACAUUAAUUUGAGAACUUUAGAUUAUAAAUUUGGUGUAUUUGAUUAGGCAUGUUUAGAGGAGCGAUAUAAACUGGUUAACUAAUUGAUUGUAGGAGUGAAGUUGUUUAUGAUAUUUUACUUUUACUUACUAGAAUACAACAUUUAUACGAUAAAAAAUGUGAAAAUAUAAAAUUUGAAUUAGUAAAUAAAAUGGAGUAAGACAUGCAAUUUCCACAUUCAAAUAUCAUAUGAUUUUUUAAUUUUUUUUAAUGGACCAAACAAUUAUAUAUAUAUAAUUUUAAACCCAAUUAAGGAAAAAUUUACCAAAAAUAGUCCUGAGCCCAAUAAUUGACUAAUUCAAAUGAAUGCAAAUGAGUUACGUUCAUUUCUAAAAUUAUAGUCAUCUUCAACCUCUAACGAGUUGAAAACAAUCAGACUCCAAACCCACCUCAAACUCAACCUCACCUCAAACUCAACCUUUCCUCCAUCUAAACUCAAGUUUGAAAACAUACACAGUCUAGAAAGGUGAUUUUAUGGACAAAUCUGAAUUUAUUUUCAGAAAAGGAUUUCGACUAGAAUUUAGAUUUUUGUAGAUUACUCCAUAAACAUCAAGGCAGUGGUAAAAUGAAGCUCUAAUACCAAAUGUAAGACAAAAAAUCGAUCCUAAACAAUUAUAAAGUAAUGAAUUGGAUCGAAAUAUCGAAAAACAUGUGGAUCAAAUUCAUACCUCCAACAAUUGAUGUUGAUUCAGAAGCUCUCCUUUCUUCAGGUAAUGGAACUUCAAAGCUCUCAACACUCUUAAUUGAUGGUGUAUAUUGUAUUUUCGAGGGGUUGACUUGAGGACCAAAACCCAUCUAUAUAUAUAUAACCAAAAUCCCCAUCAAAUUAUGACUUCAGUUAACAGCCUUGAUUGUCCGAUUGAUGGGCAAGUUUCUAGAAAACGUUGGACCACACUGAGUGAAGAAAUGGAACGAUUACACAAUAUUGUACCCGUUUCCUCCUAGGAACACACAAUAACUAGCGGUGGACUUACGAUUAUCUAUACAACUAGCUCACUCUGCAUCUGAGUAUUCUUCUGAGUCAAGGAAGCAACGAACCUAAAAUGAAGACCAAAGUGCAGUAGCAUGCUUAAGAUAUAUGAGUUUUUGUUUGUAGGUCUACCAAUCCAUUCAGAGUUAAAAUAAUUACACGUCAUCAUAUCAUCAAUUAAUUCGGGACACAGUUUGACUAGAACAUGUAAUCAAAGAUCCUGAUGGUAUAACACCCACAGUAUCUAGAUUGCUCGAAUACCAAUUAUUGGAAAGAGAACGAGAAUUACCCAAAACAAUCUUUAAUUUAAGAAACUGAGAUCAUACCAGAUAUUCACAUAUAUGUUAUAUUCAGGAUAUAUAAAUUUAGAAUUUUCCUAAAUUCGAUAACCAAAUUCUUGGCCAGAUCAUGAACGGUCAUCUUUUUAUUUCAAGAACAUGAUGCUUCCAACUUUCAAAUUUUCUAUGAUAUUUGUUAUAAAAAAGUGAGAUGGGAAAAAAAAUCACGGGUAGAGAACGAGAAAUUAACUAUAUCAAAGAUGAUUACAAGAUACGCUAUCACUCCAAAUAAUAUGAUGUUAUGAAAUCUUAAUAUAUAUUAUAUAUAGUGGAAAUUACAUAAUUCCAGAUUUUUAAAGAUUACAGUUCAAAAAUCAGGAACCAAAUUUCAUUGUUCAAAAAUCAGGUUUUGAUAUAAUAAUUAAAUAUUAAAUAUUCAAAUUUAAUUCCCCAACCCUAAUAUUUUCAUCAUUCUUCAUUCUCUCACUAAUCUCUUCUCUCUCUCUCUCUCUCUCUCUCUCUCUCUAACUCCAUGGCCUCCGAUCGAAAUUCAUUGCCGGUCGCCACAGCAACCAGUAAAACCUCCUCUCCAGUGCGGUCGCCUUCUUCUCUUGGACCCGCGAAUGUGAGUGCCAUGGUAAUUCUUCCAUCGCUGUGAGUGCCGCCGCGAUUUUCAACAGUGGCGAUGUUGGAUAUGGUGGGUUGGGGCUCUGUGGCGGUGGCGCCUGCUGCUAAUUCAGGGACUGCUGAUAGGGCGACCGGUGCGAAUGAUGGCAAAUGGUGAUUGGUGCCGACGCGGGGAGUGGAUUUGGGGUUUUUGGGUGUUAAUAUGUUAUCUCUUUCUCUUUUUCGAUCUGCAGUUAAUUAUUUGCCGUAUUGGUGGCUGCUUGUUGGUUUUUGGGUGAUGAUGGUUGUGAUGUUGGUUGGCGAUGGUAAGGUAGUGGUGAUGGUCAUGGAAGUGGCGACUGUGGUUGUGGAUGGAUUGGUGUGAGAUAUGGUGGUGUUGGUUUGACUGUUUGGUGGUGGCGGUGAUUUUGUGACUGUGGAGGUGGUGGCGCUCAUGGUGGUGGCUAUUAUGGUGGUUUUUGGGGGCGGUGGAGGUGGAUCUGCAGUGGUGGUUGUGGUAUGGUGUUGGGGUAGUGGUGAUACUGAUUGUUGUGUUUUUUUGGUUGGAGUCGUGGUGGUGGUGGUCUUGUUUUGGUUGUGUCGAGGGAAUUGGAUGAUUCUUGUUGGUAGUGAAACUGAUGAUGGUGGUAGAUUGUUAGUGUCGACGGCGAGAUGGUGGCCGACGACAGGGAUGGCGUGAGUGUGGUGGAAAGUGGUAGUGGUGGUAUAAAAUAUGACCUAAUAUUUGAUCUGUGACCAACUAUUUGAUCACCUGUGACCAAUUCAAACUUAAAAUUUGAUAACUGUGACCAAAAUAAUUUGUGACCAAUAAACUGUGACAUGUGACUUGUAAUUCGAAUGAUCUGUGGCCUCGAAAUAAUAUGUGACUGACAAAAUUUUUGAUUUGUGACUACGAAAUAAUCAUUUAAUCAAUUAAUUUGUCGAUAUGUGACCAGUAAAUAAAUCUGUGACCUAUAAUUAUGAAUAUGUGACUAUUAAUCGUGUAACUGUGACUUUAUUGUCUAUAUUUAAUAAAUUUUUUUAAUUAAUUAAAUAUGAACCUGAUUUUUGAAUUUUAAAAGUAUUUACUUGAUUUUUGAAUUGAGGCAAACUUAAAGCCUGAAAUGUGAACUCUUCCCUUAUAUAUAUAAUAAAACAGGUCCAUAUCUCGAGUGGAACCCCUGCACCUUGGUAGGGAUUAGUGGUGGGCUACAAGUCGGGCCUCUCAGCCCAAUCACUGUGCUACCUUUUUCUUAUAAUUUUAUAGUUUUACCACAUAUGUUGCACCACCAGAUUUUCGUUUUGGGUCAACUAAAAUUCAGGUCACCAUAUUUUAACAAUAUUCUUUAAGGUCAAGAGUACAAAUGAUCCUUUCAAUAUACUCCACAUGUACAAGGGUCAUCAUUAAACUAUUUAUGCAAUAAAGACAAAUCAUAAUCUCAAAUAAUAAAUUAGUCAAGAACAAGUUUAUUUAUGAUCAAAAUAUAAGUAUAGUGUACUUCUUCACUCAAACACCCACUUAUACUAUCAACAGUGAUCAUUGACAUUUUUAUUCAAAUGCUCUCUAUUAAAUAAAACGCAAUAACACUAAGAGUGCGUUUGAUUGACAUGAAAAAUAUCACUUAGAAAAGAAAAUAUUUUUCAUCUUUUGUGGAAAAUAAAAACCACCUCUACUCAAGGAAAAUAUUUUCCUUAAAAACAAGGAAAAUUAGGCAUAUUUUCAAAAGUUGGAAAAUAUUUUCCAUGGAAAAAAAUAGCAAUCAAACACUCCAAGUAGAAAUUUGGAUGGAAAAAUGAUAUUUUCCAUGGAAAAUAAAUGUAAUCAAACAUAUCCUAAAUAUAGAAAAAUAAUGUGUUGUUUUAAUAAAAUUUUCAUUUUACAACUCUGAAAAACUAUGUUAUAUAGAAACGCAACCCAGUAAUUACCCUCCUUGGGAGAAAGAACACUUCUUGGAGUUGGAAAAUUCUUCCAUAUGGAGGAAAUGACUGAUUUCAUGGGCUUGAGGAUUCAAGUAGAGAAAUUGAGCUCUUGUAUUGACGUUGUCGCCGUUAUCUUUCUUCUAGUCAUCAUUAGUCACUACUUCUUUCACUAGUUUGAUCUGAUUGGCGAUAAACGAUAGUUUUUCCAGUCUUUGGGAGAAGGGAUUCAACUUGGUCGUGUUGUUGCUUCCCAUCUUGGCGGCGCUUUCCACAAGAGGUGUCUUUUUGUUGAUCCAUGAAUUUUUUUGGCAAAUCUAGGCCAACAUAGAGUGAGUUGGAUCUUGUCCAGGCAACAGAAUCUUGCUUCUUCUACUUUCUCUCCAUCCUAGACUCCACAAAAGUUAUUUUACUUAAUGCACUUAGUUCAACUAGCGAUCAAGUAUAUCUAAUUAAAGUCAAUAUUUUCCUUGUAAUUAUCUAUAGAUUGUUUUCCCUUUAUUUCUAAAUUUCGAAUUCGAUAUGUAUUUCUCCGAGAGUUAUGCAUAUUUUAUUUAUUCUAUUAUUUGUAUUGGUUAUUCUAUCCCCUAAUCUUUCUAUAAUUCGCUAUGGUUUUUACGUUUAUUAUGAAUUUCUUCUUUUACUCCUAAACAAUUAUUACAAUAAAUUUUCAAACAAUUUUUACAUUAAUUUCUAUUCUUAUUCACUAGGUAUAUUUUACAUCUAUCCAUCAUUAAUGGACACAUUUUUAAAAAUUCUAUUUCUUCUGAACUACUAUUACUUGUCUUCAGGACUGCUUAAUAUUUCUAAAUUGUCUAAUUCCUCAUUUGUAUGAAUAUUAUAUACAUACAAAAUUCAUUACCUGAUAAUUUUAUAAUAUUGUACUAUAUUUCUUCAAUUAUCAUAGAUUUAUUUAAAAUUUCUCUAUUUUUAUUUUUAUUAGGGCAUUUAUUAGCAAAAUGUUUGGGAUCUCCACAAAUAUAACAUUACAGUCUUUUCAGCUUUUUAACAUGCCUAUAAUAACCAGGUCUUUUAAUUUUAUAAUAUGUCAUACUUGGUCUAAUAUUAUACUUUCUUAUUUUGGUAUUUUCUUUUGUAUUUAUAAUUUUUUUAUACAAUGUUUUCUUUCUUCUUCUAUAAUCAUAUGCCUAUCGUGUAUAUAAAUUUGAAAAAAAAUGAAUAAUUUAAUUUCUUAAUUUAUUUUCUAAUUAUUACUUCAGUGAUUAAUUUUAUAUUAGCACUAUUAAUUUUUUAUUUUAUUCCAGGUGCUGAUUCUACAUCAUUUUCUAAUCUUGUCAUUCCAAGGUGAUAAUAUCUUUCUAUAUAAUAUGUGAAGUAUAGAUACAUCUAAUGCUAAUCUUGCUGCACUAACUAGUCUUUCAAAGUCUAAUAAAAAUAGUUGUGUACUUCAUAUUGCUUCUAUUUAAUUUUUCUAAUUCUUCUAAGGCUUUGUUUUGUUCAUAGGAAUUAUCUCUUCUAGGGUUAGAUCAUAUAAUUAUUUCUCUAAUAAAGCUAGUAAUCUUUCUUGGAUUUUCUCCUUUGAUCAUUCUUAAUCUAAUUUCUUUUGACUUUAGUCUUUUGGCUGUAAUUUCCUAAAUAAGUUUCUAAAUAAGCCAACAUUUAUUCUAAAAUCAUUUAUAUUGGUACACUAUUAUUUGCUUUAAUAACAGAAUUUUUCCAUUUAGUUAUUGUAUUAGAUUUGUCUUGAGGUUCACAAUUAUUUAUUUCUAAAAUUAAUCAUCUAUCACUUGCGAUAGGUAAACUACAUUUUCCUUCUACCUGUCUUUUUCUUAAACUUUUAUAUUUUGUGUAAUAUCCCAAAAUUUUAGUAGAAUGGAAUUUAAUUUUUAGGUAUGCUAUAUUUUAAUGUUUUGAAAGUUUAGGGAUUAAAGUAUAUAUAAAGUAAAUUUCAAUUGGGUCAUAUAUUUAGAUAUUGACCGAGAAAUAAUAAGUAUAUGAAUAUUGGACAUGUUGGAUUGAUCAUAAUUAAAGAUGCAUAUUAGGCUCGAGAAAAAGUUAAGUUGGAUUAGUGGAGACUAAGUUAUCGAAGUCAAAAGAUAUAACCUUAAAUUAUAUUUUAAAUCAGUUUAAAAUAAAAAAGAAAAAGAAAAAGAGAAGAGAGAGAUAAGGAACCACGUGAGUGAGAGAGAGAGAGAGAGAGAGAGAGAGGAGCAGUUUAAAUUGAAAUUCAAAUUUUUGAGAUACCGCCACGAGUAUGGAAAUGUAUUAAUUUUUGGGUGAUAUGGUUGAUUGGCAAGACUUGGUCUAAUAUUUUGUUUCAAAUACGGUUUUCUAUCCCAUUUAACCACCAUAUCUUACACGUUUCCCACUAUAUGCCAUCUAUUGAGAGUUAGGUUAUUAUUGCCCAUAUAUAGAUACAUGAUAUGAUAGAGAGGACAAAAAAAUAUAUACUUACACGGUAAUCACAGCAGAAGCAGAAAAAAGGGACGUGAUUCUUAUUUUGUCUUCCAAAAUUCAAAGAAAGUUCACAAGGCAGGAUAUUGAGAUGCAGUGUUUUUUUUAGCUAGAUAAAGAUCUAAUUUAGCUCGUAAUUUUACUUCUUUUAAGUUUAUUGCAAAAGAUAUUUAUUUAAAAAAAAUAAAAUUUCGUACAUGUUUAUUCGCAGAUGAAUAUAUGUAGUUUGCAUUUUAAAUAAAAUUUGUAUUACUGAUUUCACUGUUUGAAAGUAGUCGGUUAUGUAGCUUUGUUCGUGUGAAAGAUUAAUGUUAUGUACUUUUUCGUGACCUUUCCAGAAUUCAUGAAAAUUUAUGGUCAAAUCGAUGAUUCCUUACUUGUCACAUCACACUUCAUUGUCUCCCUUGGGUAUCCUACAUGGCAAAUUGGAGAUUUUAAACAUGGUUGACUGAUGGACAUAUCCAUACAUUAAAUAUAUGUCUCAUAGCCUUGUGAUGUAGUGUGUGAAUUCUUUAAUAAAGUAAGGCAACUUUUGGUAGUAUUCUCUCGUUUUGGAGCCGUGUCCCACGUCUUGAAGAAAGAGAAAAGGAUAUUAAUUUUGAUUUGGAAUUUUGCUUAUUCUAAAUAAAUAAAUAAAUAUAUAUAUAUAUAUAUAUAUAUAUAAUGUCAUAUGGUAAUUGUUUCACACGUGAACAGUUAAAAAAAGAUGGGUUUUGUCUCUAAUCAAUAAAUUGCAGAUUACUUUUAUGUCCUUUUUUUUUUUUAAUGUACACGUGAAAGAUAUGACGUAGGAAAAUAUUCUUUCUUUCCUUUCUAUUAAUUAAUAUGUGUUUCUUUUUAUGCAAAUUUGAGCAAAUUACCAUUUAAUAAUUAUAUAUUUUAUUGUGCCACGCUAUUUAAAUUUACAUGAAAUUUUUGGUAAUGAUUCAAACCUUUAAUUAAAUUUGGGUCGUUACAUUUUGUCUUCCCAUUCAUAUAAUUUUGUAGGGUAAAAAGGGUACUUCCCUCCAAUAUCAUUUUUUUUAUAUUCAUAAUCCCUUUUCUUUUUCUAGAUUUUUGGUCUGUUUUCAUUUUAAUUUCAAUAUUCUUUUGAUCUUCCUCUAAUAAAGCUUUUAUUUCUGCCAAGAUUCCUAUAUUAUUCAAUAUCCCUAUAUCUAAAUUCUUUUUCAUCAUCUUUGCUUUCGUCUUCACUUUCCACUUCUUCACUAUCUUCAUUAAAUGCAUUAAUUUCUUCGUCACUCUUUCAUAUAUAUAUAUAUAUAUAUAUAUAUAUAUAUAUAUAUCUGAUAAUUAUAAUUUUCAAUCUAAUACUUAGAAUUCCAUUACUAUUUUGUACAUGAUGUUACGCCCCUAUCUGAACCGUCUCGAAAUGCCCACCACCAUACAUUCCGACUUGAUAGACACCCAUCCGAAGUGUUUUCGAAGUGAUCUCACCAAUGUCAACGACCUGAUAGCAUACUGCUAGACAUAGGCGAUCCUGUUGAAUUGACCGAAGCGCCCUCGCCCCUGAGGCCGAGGCGAAGUGGACCUCUGUCAGAAGAUCCGCGGCCAAUUUUAGAAAGAGAUUUUUGUCAAGAUCCUCUCUGCACCUAAGAUUUAAAUUAAUUUGACGUCUCCAUGAGGCUAGUUGAUGUGACUUAUCAACUUUAUGUCAAUUCAACUCGGGAGAACCAAACUGCCCGCCCACUCUACAAACGCGGCUGAUUGACGCCUAUGAGCGGACACCUCAUACCGUCAGAUGUAUACACGUGUCCCACAUCCAACGGUUCAUCCCACCUAUAAAUACCCAAGAUUUGGCAAGAGGCAAAGGUAAUGAAACUCUUACUACAUAGCACUCCACAGCAAGUUUAUAUAUUUUCUCCUCCCCCUUAAUGUUCUUGACACAACCUCUGGGUACUGUUCCGACCACCAGAACCUGACUUGACCGUCGGAGUGUAUACGGCCGCCGCCAUCCCCGCUGGUCUCGGCCGUGUGUGUCUGACCGUGCGUUGAUUGUGCGUAGGGAGGAAUACGUGGAGUAGCUAUAGGUUAGCCACGUGGAAGGUCCAGUUUUCGAGGUCAACAGAUUGACGCCGUCUGUGAGAAGCACUUCCCAUUCAAAGUUCUGCAUUCUUCACUGAAGAAGUUACCGGAAAACUAGCGACUAACCCUGAAAAGGGCACGUUUUUGAAAAAGAACAAAGUCGAGUUAUAAUCCAAGUUCUCACCGCCCUUGAAAAAGGAGAUAGGAUGAGCUAUAACCAUGAAGACGACAACCCUAUGAGAGAGCCCUUUGAAGAAGAGGUGUUCCAUAACAAUGUUACUCAUCAGAGACCCCAUCACCAACGUCGCAGAGGUGGAAGAACAGCCAUGCUCACUGAAGAAAUGGCUCAAAUAGCUACGGGAAUGAGAGACAUCGUAGCUUAGAAUAUGGCAAUGCAUGAACUCCUCAUGCAAGCCGAGGUCACCCGAGCUCUCAAAUGCCCCAAGGAUCUUACCCAGUGCAGGAAGCCCCAAUAGCUCGUUCCCGAGGCCACACCAGUCAGCACAAAGAACGCCUCCUUGAAAGAGAAGUGGGCACCAAGACCACAUCUUAUAUGCAAGGGAGCCAGCCAUCAGAACCCCACUUGGGGAUAACUUCCCUCAAGAAUAUGAAGAACAGAGAUCCGUAAGCAUCUUCGACAGGAUAGGAGAGGAUCCUAGCAAUAGGGUCUGCCCAAUGAGAAGAUCAGUUCGGCCGGAUCAGGAACAAGAACAGGCCUCUCCCCCUCCUAGAAAUAGGAGGGACAAGAGGAACCUAGUUGAUUGGAGGAGUCGAGGAGGGGCACCUCCACCUCCCCAGAACAUUCAAGAUGAUGAAGGAUCAGAUGGGCCCUGGCGAUCUUAUGAAAUUGGCGAUGAUGAUGAUAACCUCCCUUUCUCAAGGGAGAUCCGAAACUUCCCAAUGCCAGCAAACUUCAUGCCCUGUAAGAUCCCCAAGUAUGAAGGAAAGGGGGACCCAGAAAAGUACCUCACCAAGUACAUGACACAGAUGAGCCUAAGGGAAGCCUCGCCCGUUUUGAAAUGCAGAGCCUUCCAUUAAACACUCGGCGGAGCCGCCGAAGUGUGGUACAAUAGGCUUCCUCCCCUAAGCAUCAGAAGUUGGCCAGAUUUGAAGAAAACAUUCUUGAACCAAUACCUCUCAUGCAGAAAAGGAGAGGCACCAGUGCAACGUCUGCAAGAUAUGAGGCAGGCCCCUAGGGAGACGCUGAAAAGCUAUCUCACCAGGUUUACAGACGAAAUCACAUACUGUGAACAGGUCACUGACAGAGAAUCCUUUUUAGCCUUGAAAGGCGGGCUCAACAUGAAUACUUUGUUCUGGAGAGACGUGCGCAGCAAGAAUCCCUCCACCUAUGACAAACUGGUGGAAAUGAUGAGAGUGAAAAUUGUGAGUGAAAAAAUGAUUGAUCACCGAAACCGUGCCGCGCAGGGACUCCCUCCGCCUUAGAGACAAGUAGGUCAAGGACCCACAGAACAUCUUGUUACUCAGCAAUGGACUCAGGCAGGUCACACAAUAGCUCCCACCUCCGGACAGGAACUGGCUUCUGCCAAACUAAAUCCAGUGCCGGUAUUGACAUAUGAAAAUGCUCCUGGGGAAGCAGGGCCAUUUGGAAGAACCGAUCGCAAGAAAAAGAAGAAGAAACGAUCAAACAGGCCCUUGGAAGGAGCAAGGUUUUGCACUUUCCAUCAACUGUAUGGGCAUGACACCAAUGAAUGCAGAGAUGCUCCUCGACGCUCAAACCGGAUCGACCCACAUCUCUCCAGGAGGAAUGACUAUCCUUGCAGAUUUGUCUCCCCGAACAAGGGAGAUCGAAGGCACAGAGAGCAGUCACCCCAGAGAAAAGAAUCUCGGGACCAAGGAGAGUCCAGACAGAGAUAUCAGGCCCCAUUUGCUGGGGGCCAAGUCAUCAGGGAAAUCGACCCUAUAAUUGGGGACCUCAUGUCGGCGGCAACACAAAGAAUGCCCAAAGGAAUUAUACAAGGGAAGACAAAGACCCACCAAUGAUCACUUACAUUGUGAACGAGUCCCAAGAGGCCAAAAUGAUGGCCCCAAUUACAUUCUCCCAGGAAGAUGCGCAGGGAGUUCACCAUCCCCAUUGCGACGCACUAGUUGUGAGAGCCGUAGUGGCCGGAAACAGGCUCAAAUGCAUGCUCGUCGACAGUGGAAGUUCCGUAAACAUAUUGUUUGGCUCCACCUUUGACAAAAUACAGAUUGAACAUAGGUUGAUCCCUAUGACCGACCCAUUAUUUGGAUUCACUGGAGACGGUAUCUUUCCACGAUGGUGGAUCACUCUACCCGUCGAGAUGGGUUCAGCACCCCUAGUGGCCCAACAUUUCAUGGAAUUCUUAGUGGUGGACUACAGAUCGGCCUAUCAUGGGGUAUUGGGCAGACCCGCAUUGAAAGAUCUUUGGGUCGUCACAUCCAUCCAUUAUUUGUGCAUGAAAUUCCUAACUGAACAUGGGAUUGUGACGGUUCGAGGCGACCAGAUGGGCUCCAGGGCAUGCUACUUGAACUCACUACAAAAGUCAGAGCCCCAAAUUGUUAAUGUAAUCAUAACUGAAGUUCCCACUGAAGCUAGUACAGACGUGGAAAUGCUCGACGCCCCUGAACAAAGGCAUACCUAUGAGCAAGAGGAAGACGUCGGCAUGGAAGAGGCCCCUGAACAAGGGCACCCUCUUGAUGAGUUAGAUCCCAGAAUAAUGCGACCCCAAUGGAAGAAUUGCAGACGUUCUCUGCCAAACCAGAAGACCCCAGUCAGGUCUUGCGUAUAGGGAAGGCAUUGUCCCCUGAAGCAAAAGUAGAGAUGAUAAGCUUCCUAAAAAGGAACUUGGAUGUCUUCCCAUGGAAGUAUGAAGAUAUGGUGGGAAUAGAUCCGAGGAUCAGUUGCCAUCACCUUAACAUCAACUCCUCUUGUGCCCCCCAUAGACAGAAGAGACGUGCCCUCAAUCCGGAAAGGUACGAGGCACUGAAAGACGAAGUGAGCAAGCUUAGCCGAAGUGGUUUCAUAAGGAAAGCCAUCUACCCGAAGUGGAUAUCCAACCCGAUUCUGGUGAAAAAGCCUAGCAAGAAGUGAAGGGUGUGCAUAGACUUCACAAACCUGGAUAAGGCGUGCCCUAAAGACAGCUUCCCACUUUCAAGAAUAGACCAACUUGUGGAUUCCACUGCUGGACAUGAACUACUGAGUUUCAUGGAUGCAUACUUAGGGUAUAACUAGAUACCCAUGUUCCAACCUGAUGAGGAAGUUACAUCGUUCAUUACGGACAGAGGUUUGUAUUGCUACAAAGUCAUGCCCUUCCAAUUGAAGAAUGCCGGAACUACAUAUCAGAGAUUGGUCAACAUGAUGUUUGCCGAACUCAUUGGCAAAACCAUGGAAGUCUACGUAAGUCACGUCGUCCAAACUUUUCAUAUACUUUGAAAGUAUAAUAUGAAAUUGAAUCCCAUCAAGUGCACCUUUGGAGUGGUAUCAGGUCAGUUCUUGGGGUAUAUUGUCAAUCAAAGAGGAAUUGAAGCAAAUCCAGUGAAAAUAAUGGCCUUGCUAGAGAUGAGGUCACCUCAGAAACCAAAGGAGGUCCAAAGCCUUAAUGGUCGGAUAGCUACACUCAGUCACUUCAUCUCCAGGGCCACAAAUAAAAGCUUGCCUUUCUUCAAUGUGUUGAAACAACGUAAGAAAUUUCAAUGGACUUCGAAAUGUGAGGAAGCCUUUCAGGCGCUGAAAAAACACCUCGAAGAGGUGCCCCUCUUGUCAAAACCUCAACCAGAUGAGUCACUACUACAGUACUUAGCAGUUUCGGACGUGGCGGUCAGCGUCGUCCUAGUCAGAGAAGAAAGUGAGCUCCAGUUGCCAGUGUACUACGUCAGCAAAGCACUUCUCCCAGCUGAAACAGCUACCCAGACAUGGAGAAACUGUCACUCCCCCUUAUCACAGCCUUAAGAAAACUGAGGCCUUACUUCCAGGCCCACUUAAUUCAAGUUCUCACCCACUUCCCACUGAAGCAGGUAAUUCAGAAAACAGACGCAUCAGGAUGCCUGCUAAAAUGGGCAAUCGACCUCAGUGGGUUCGAUCUAACGUUCCGACCUCAACACGUCAUCAAGGGCCAGGCCCUUGCUGAUUUUAUGGUUGAGUUUGCAAAAGCCCCAGAAAUGGAGGCGAUAAUGGAACUAGUCAAGCCCCCUACAUGGAAACUGUUCGUAGAUGGGUCCUCAGGAGAGACUGGCUCUGGGGCAGGGAUCGUAUUGGAAAGCCCGAAAGGCCACAAGCUAAAUUGUGCAGUAAGGUUCGGCUUCAAAGCCUCAAGCAACGCUGCUGAAUACGAUGCCCUUCUGGCAGGUCUUAGACUUGCUAAGGAAAUGUGGGUCAGAAGGCUUCUGGCGAGUAGUGACUCUCAACUUAUAGUGAACCAGGUCAAUGGAAACUUUGCAGCCAAAGAUGGUAGCAUGAUUACGUACUUGAAGUUAGUUCUGGACCUAGUUCCUCAUCUUGAAAGGUUCGAACUGACUCAAGUCCCCCGCCUAGAGAAUGCACAUGCAGAUGCCCUUUCAAAAUUGACCAGCAACAAGGAUUCAGAGCUACUAAAGGUCGUCCCUAUUGAGCACUUAUCGAAGCCCUCCAUUUCUGGAGGUGAAGAGGUACUAUGGAUAGAAGGCACGCCAUUAUGGAUGCAGCCUAUCAUUGCCUACCUGAAGGAUCAAACACUGCCUGCUUCUAGAAGCAAGGCGAGGAGGUUAAGAAGAAGGGUGGCACACUUCGUCCUGCAAGAAGAUACUCUUUACAAGAGAGGCUUCGCUUCACCACUUCUUCGAUGCGUGGGAGGCGAAGAUGCCACAUACAUACUCAGGGAAAUCCAUGAGGGAAUAUGCGAAAAUCACUCCGGAGGAACGGCUCUGGCACACAAGGUUCUCCAUUAAGGCUACUUCUGACCGACCCUGAAAAGGGAUGCUUGCCAGUUUGUCCAGAAAUGUGAUAAGUGCUAGCGCUUCUCAAACAUACAAAGAUAGCCUGCUCAGAGCCUCUUUGUAGUAACCAGCCCUUAGCCAUUCGCCAAGUAGGGCAUUGACUUCAUUGGUCCACUCUCAAAAGGAAGAGGAAGUGUAACUUUCACCAUUGUCGCCAUUGACUACUUCACUAAGUGGGUCGAGGCUGAACCCCUUGCCAGGAUCAUCGAGGUGAAUACUACCAAAUUCGUCUGGAAGAACAUCAUUUGUAGGUUCGGCAUUCCCUACUCCUUAGUGUCUGAUAGUUCGACAACAGGAAUAUGCGAGACUUAUACGACGAACUAGGCAUAAAGAAGGACUUCUCAACACCUCAUCACCCCCAAGAAAAUGGGCAAGUUGAAGCAGUGAACAAGACUAUCAAGCACACCUUGAAAAGGAAGCUUGACACCUCAAAGGGGGCCUCGGUUGAUAAACUCCCCCACGUCCUCUGGGCUAUCAGAACUUCUAGCAGAACUGCAACAGGCGAAACACCAUUUUCCAUGACCUACGGAGCCGAGGCCAUGAGCCCGGUCGAGGUCGGGGUCCGAUCACACCAUCGGAUACACUUCAAUGAGAUCAGUAAAGACGAAGCUCGAAUAAACGAACUACACCUCCUUGAGGAAAGGAGGGAUGCCUCCCAAGUGAACUUGGCAAAGUAUUAUCGAAAGAUAACCCGCUAUUAUAACUCCAAGGUUAGAAACAGAACUCUUCGCCUGGGCGACCUCAUCCUCAGAAGGGUCUUCCAAUCUUCAAAACCGACCAGGUUAGGAGUGUUUGGACCAAACUGGGAGGGCCCUUACCUCAUCCGUAGGGAAUCCCAACUUGGUACUAUCCAAAUUGAAGACAUGGCAAGAAAGGCACUGCCUCAUCAAUAGAACAUCGAACACUUGAGGAAGUACUAUCAAUGAUGAGCCUUUGUUCCGAUCCGAUCUCAAUAUUGUCUAAUGAAUCGAUUGUUCUGAUCUGAUCUCAGUUGUAAAUUUCCUAACUUACUAAGUGCUGGAAUUGCCUUGGUAAAGUGUGGUGUAAUUUAUCUCAAGUAAUGAAACUUCGGUUCUGUGCCUCAUCGGUUAGUAAAUAGUUUUCUCAGUCAUUCAAUAUGUUUACUUAAGUGAUUUGAUCUUUAAUUAUUAACUGAUUAACGUUAAGAGGCUCUUCAUGUUCGCUUAAGUGAUUCAACUUAUAUUAACUUGAGUGGUCCGAUCCUCAAUUAUUAACUGGUUAUUGUUACGAGGCGCUUAGUCUGAUGUUUGUCAUUCAUACAAGUAUAAACAGAUUCAAAAGGUAAGAAAGCAUAAGCAUAAAUACUUAGCAAAAAAAAAUUUCAUUUCAUUUAAUGAGAAUUGAAGUACAAGAAGGCCGAAGCCAUUACAAAAGAUGGCCCUAUUCUAGUGGAAGGACCUCUGCCUUGACCGCUUCUAUAUCGAUCGCCUCCGGGGCCUCCGGAGCUUCCUCAGCAAGCCUAUCAGGCCGACCUCCAGUUGGUCCCCGAACUCUGCCUUCAAAGAGGAGAUGUCCAGAGUGGGGUGGACCUCUUUCAGUCGACCCAAUAAGCCUUGGGCACUCCAAGAAGCCCAAAAAUUGGCGAAGUCGUCAUACAGGGAAUGGUCUUCAAAAUGGUCGAUGAAGUUCUGAACUGCCACCGCCCCUGCAGACUUCGACUCCUCCUUCAAGGAGGUAAUCUCCUCAGACUGAGCCUCUGCCUUCUGCCUUAGCUCCGCCUUCUCUUUGUUUGAGGCCUCCAGAACUUUGGUGGCCAGCUUGUGGUGAUCUUUGCCGUGGUCAACUCGCCGAGUCAUAGCAGUUACUUGGCACUCCACCUCGUAUAACUCCUUCAGCCGCUCCACUUCUGCUUUAGCGGCAGUUAGCUGGGCCUCGGCCUCCUUCUUGCAUGGCCUUGGCCUGGGCUUCCCACACGGCAUCCCCAUAUUGCAUCGCCUCCUCGAGGCGCUUGGCAAGGUCCUCCCUCUUGGAGUUCAGAUCCUUCACUAGGCCCUCGAGUUGGAUGCUUGUACUCAGGGCCCGAGCCACGCAGGCGCUAUUGGUAGCUAUCAAGUCUUCAGCUGUGCAGGAGGCAAUGUGGUCCCUCCACUCCUCGGUCCAGUAUUUGUUGUGGACCACCGCCACUGCAGCUGUUUCUGGAGGAAGGGCCUUCAACACUUCUCUCACCGGCUUCUCCGAAUUUGUGCCCAGAAAGUCUACCUCCUUAGAGGGACGGGCCCUCUUUCUCUUCUGCUGUCCCGGUACUUGAGUGAUUGGCAUGACAACAAGUGGUGUUGUGGCCGGGACAGUGGCAGCCUCAGAUGGCGCAAGCUUCUUCUCCGGAAUGGCCAUUCCGAUUGGAAUUGUGGUUUGCUUCAGAACGGAGGAUGGCCUCGCCACAGUUGGGCGUUUUGGAGGGGCAGCACUCUUCUUGCCCUUCUUCCGUAGAUCAGCCUUCGGGUCCUCCGGUAUCUCCUCAUCCAUCAAAGGCUGAAGCCUCUUACUGGCAUCCACCAGUUCCUCCAUUUGCUUCUUGUAGGAGGAGGAAGAGGAGGUUUUCAGUGCCCGUGCCUUUGCCAUCAUCCUCUAGAUGGUCUUAAAGUCGGGGCGCACGGGCAUCUUCUUAUUAAAAUUGUCUGCUAGGAACGAAUCACGAAUUAGUACAAGUGUUAAAAGUUCAGAAUAAAGGGUAAAGACUUCAGUCCAGUUACCUUGGGAUGCCAUCAAGUCGUGUGUAACGAAGUGAAUGUUCUUUCGAAUCAACCGAUGGUAUGACCUCUUCUUUUGAGGCAGCUGAUAGAUGAUGCAGAUGGUGUCGAAACCUUCGGAAGACAGUUCACACCGAGGAAGAGUACCUACAAAAGAAAUGUAAAUAUUAGUCACAGUUCGAACCGAAGAGAAAUAUAAAGAAAAAUAACUACUAUACUCACUAAGUGUUGAGUACUUCGUCGGGACCAUAAGAGGCACCAGGGGGUACCCCUCCAUCAUGUCCCAUCGUCCAGCGACCCAACACCACGAGCUCUUCCAUUCUUUUAUGGAGCUCGACAGAUUGAGUAAGAAUAGAGUGUAGGAGCCCAUGAAGUAAAGUAGUACCACCUCGGGGUCUUAUCCCCCCUGGCAGUUACCUUAGGUAUGUAAAGGGUCUGGAAGACGGAGAAGGGCAUCUCCACCCCUAGUGACACCUCUUUCCACAACAUCUAGGAGCCCACCAUUUGGUUCCAGGAGUUCGGAUUGAGUUGGGUCAAGGCUAGCCCAUAGGAUCUAAGCACCAUCCUAAAGAAUGGGUGAAUUGACAGCCUAAGUUCGGCCCUAAGGAUCGCCUCACUAAUGGCCACACAACCCGGCUUAGGGUAGCAGGCCCUCUCUUUGGGCCUGGGGAGGAUCAGAUCUAUGCUAUCUGAGAUCCUAUACUCUACCCUAUGUCUCUCCAGGUCGGCCUCUCUUAGUUUAGAUGAGUAGUUCGACGCACCCGAGUGCACAGAAGUAUCUGCUGGGCUAUCCGAUCGCUUCCAUAUAUUUUUCCCCUAUUGUUGCCUUAGCUAUUUCUGAAGAGGUCGUUACAAUGGGCUCGUCCAUCCUCACUAGUUCUAAUCCCCUCCUCGAACCAGAACUCCCCUCAGAAGCCAUUUUUCAGAAGUUAAAAAUCCUAAAAGGUACUGAAACUUACGAGUUUGAAGGUUUUCCUAGCCGAAAAUGGUGUAAGGUCACCGGAUGUUGGUAUUUCUCACCGGAAGUUCAAGUUUCUCGCCGGAAUUGCUUAGAAAAUGUCGAAAAUCGCAAAUGGCUUGAGAGCAAAGUGUAUUGUCUGUUUUUGCAAGGAUAGAAAGCUUGAGAAAAGCUCAGAGUCCGCCUUUUAUAGAUAGACCCAUCCGAUCUUCACCGUGGAAUUCAAAUGCGAUCAAUCUAAGCCGUUCGUUGCAUCUUCAUUUUAGGCCGUUGAAAUGAAACGCCAUAUUUGAUCUAUGCCCAAGAUGUCGCAGUGACCUUCACGCUUGCUUAAAACGCGUCACCUCGGUCACCACCAGCCGUCAAUAAUAAUUAGCCGCAGCAACCUUUUAGGAGAAUGGGCAUGGCACCCAACUGUCACCUUGGAAAUACGCAAUAGUUGUCAAAUCAUUUGACGUCUGAAUCGCCUCGGAUCGAGCUCCUAACUCAACUUUACAAUAUUUAGACGCACCUGACGUGAAGUCUCCUAUUGGUCAUCACCUCGACCACUACGUUCCUUCCUAAGUUUUACAAAGUUUUAGCCAUCUCCCAAAUGCGUCGUCCCCUGUGGGUCAGCGCACCGAUGGCAGAUGAGCUCCUCACUCAACUUUACAAAGUUUAGACGCACCUGACGCGGAGUCCCCUGUGGGUCAUCGCCUCGGCCGCUGCGUUCCCUCCUAAGCUUUACAAAGUUUUAGCCAUCUCCCAACGCGUCGUCCCCUGUGGGUCAGUACACAGGUGGCAGAUGAGCUCCUCACUCAACUUUACAAAGUUUAGACGCACCUGACGCGGAGUCCCCUGUGGGUCAUCACCUCGGUCGCUGUGUUCCCUCCUAAGCUUUACAAAGUUUUAGCCAUCUCCCAAUGCGUCGUCCCCCAUGGGUCAGCGCACCAUUGGCAGAUGAGCUCCUCACUCAAUUUUACAAAGCUUAGACGUACUUGACGCGAAGUCCCCUGUGGGUCAUUGCCUCGAUCGCUGCGUUCCCUCCUAAGCUUUACAAAGUUUUAGCCAUCUCCCAACGCAUCAUCACCCGUAGGUUAGCGCACCAGUGGCAGAUGAGCUCCUCACUCAAUUUUACAAAGUUUAGGCACGCCUGACGCGAGUCCCCUAUGGGUCAUCGCCUCGAUCAUCGCAUUGACCUUUUUUCGUAUUAAUCUUCCAGUCUUGCAAUGCUUCGACCUCACGUCGGUUAUUGUUUCCCUUACGCAGUAACGAAGCUUUAGCGCAUCUGUCUAAGAUCAUGGCUUCGGUUACUGCAGAAGAUCGACCCACAAGCUCCCAUGAGUCGCGGUCCCCAGUACCAAGGCAUGCACAUCCGAUCAGGAAAGCAAGUCCACCCAUGAUAUAAAUAUUCAUACCUGGACUUGGGGGACCACUGUUACGCCCUUGUCUGAACCUCCUUGGAAUGCCCACCACCACACAUUUCGACCUAAUAGACACCCAUUCGAAGUGUUUUCGAAGUGAUCUCACCAAUGUCAACGACCUGAUAGCACACUGCGAGAUAUAGGCGAUCCUGCUGUACUGAUCGAAGCGCCAUUGUCCCUGAGGUCGAGGCGAAGUGGACCUUUGUCGGAAGGUCCGCCGUCAAUUUCAGAAAGAGAUUUUUGUCAAGAUCCUCUCUGCACCUAAGGUUUAAAUUGAUUUGACGUCUCCAUGAGGCUAGUUGAUGUGACUUAUCAACUUUAUGUCAACUCAAUUCGGGAGAAACAAACUUUUCUCCCACUCUACAAGCGUGGCUGAUUGACGCUUAUGAGCGGACGCCUCAUACCGUCAGAUGUAUACAUGUGUCCCACAUCCAACGGUUCAUCCCACCUAUAAAUACCCAAGGUUUGGUAAGAGGCAAAGGUAAUGAAACUCUCACUACAUAGCACUCCAUAGCAAGUCUAUAUAUUUUCUCCUCCCCCUUAGUGUUUUUGACACAACCUCUGAGUACUGUUCCGACCACCCGAACCUGAUUUGAUCGUCGGAGUGUAUACGGUCGCCACCACCCCCGCUAGUCUCGGUCAUGUGCUUCUGACCGUGCGUUGAUUGUGCUCAAGGAGGAAUAAGUAGAGUAGCUAUCGGUUGGUCACGUAGAAGGUCCAAUUUUCGAGGUCAACACAUAAUAUUAUUUUCUGGUAUCAAUAUUGGUUUUUUUUCAAAAAUUUCCUAAGUUCCAAUCUAAACAUGCAUUUAUUUCUAAAGAUAAUUUUUUAGAUAGGAUGGAUUUUAUACCUUUUAGUUCUAAUAAAAUAAUUAUUUGAUUAUUUUCUAAUUUAUUUUCAUUAAAUCUUCUUAUAAAUAUGUACAAAUUAACAAAUUACCUCAUUUCUUUUCCUUUUUGUUCUAGUAAAAUAAUUAUUUGAUCAUUUCUAAUUUAUAAUUAGUAUUACUAUUUUCACUGAAUCUUCCUAUCAAUCCUGUACAAAUUAACAAAUUAUCCGCAUCUCUUUUCAUUUGACAUCCUUUAGAUUUCACUCCUAUUUUAAUGUAUAUAUAAAAACUUUUUGUUUUAACUAAACAAUAUGGUGUAAGGUAAAAUAUACCUCCUUUAUUAUUCAUAUCUAAUUUUAUUCUUCCUAAUAGUCCUUAUUCUAAAUUUGUAAAUCUGCUAUCAUACAAACAUAUUUACAUUUUAGCUCCUAAAUUUUCUCUGUGUAGUCUCUUUACUACUACUAUAAUUAAUCCUAAAUGAGGUCAUUGAAGAUUUUUAUUAACAAUUUCUUUAUACGAUUAUUUUUCUAUUAGUUUUGAAGAUACGAAUUGGUCUUCAUGUGUACAUGAAACAUAUCUUUCUACAUAACAUGAUAUAUUACAGAUUUGUUAAAGAUAUUUCCUUUCUUAUAAAUGUCUAAAACUUUCUCAAUUUUUUAACGUAUUUUGUCUAAAAAUUUUAUCCAUUCCUCAACAUCUAUUAAAGAUUAUAAUCUUGUUUCUGAUUCCAUUUUUUUCUUAACUUAAUGAUCUUAUUAAAGGAUUGCCUAAUAUUCUACUACUAGCCACAAUUUGUUUUCCUUUAUUCAAUACGUAUAAAUCCACUUAGUGUUCUUAAAUUUGCUAGAUUCUUUAGUUUUCCCAAGUCUAAAUUUUCUAACUUAUUUAUUAAAAUGUCAGUCUUGUUUAUAGUAUCUAUAGAUUUUUCUUUUUCUAAUUUUUGUAUUCUACUUUCUAAUUUGUUGAAGCCAAUCUUUUGCAAAUUAUUACAGUUUUCUUGUAAAUUUUCAAUCUGUUAUAGAGAUUUUUCUAUAUAUAUAUAUAUAUAUAUUUGUUGAAGCUAAUCUUUUGUAAAUUAUUACAAUUUUCUUGUAAAUUUUCAAUCUGUUAUAGAGAUUUUUCUAUGGAAUAUAUAUAUAUAUUUCACUUGUGUUGCAAAACUUCAUUUUUUGUAUUUCACAAUUUUGAUUUCUAAUAUAUUCUAAAUUAUUUUCUAAGGUCUUUAUUUUUUUACUAAUUGCUCGUUAAGAUUUUUAUUUCUAAACUUUCUCCUAGAUUUACAAUUAAAUCUACAAUGUUAUUAACUGUUUAUCUUCAAAAUAUAAAAGAUGUUAAAACUUCUCUCAACAUAUGCAACUGUAACUGAUAUAUUAGUAAUAUUCUAUAAACAAACCACACAUUUAAAAAAAACAACCAUUAUUUUUAUGUAGUCUAAAACUUCGUUCACCUUUUUGGUGCCUUUUGACAAACGAUUUUUAAUCAUUUGUUGCUUAGAAAAUAAAUUUAUGUUUAUAAAUAUCAUAAUCCUUAUCAUGCUUAAUUUUUUUUUUCUAGCUUAUGACAUCAACGCCUCAAACAAUUAUCUUCUCAGUUUACAAGUCUUAUUUUUUUUUUUUUUUAAAUCAAACAAAAAAUCAAAAGCAUUUUCAUAUUUUAAACAUUGUUCAAAGAUUAACCUAGGAGAAGAAAGAACUUAAUCAACUAUAGAAAAUAAAUAAUGAACUCUAAAAAAUUUCUCAGGUUUUAUCUCACCUUUAACAUUUUGAUCAAAGUGCUUCUUUCUAUGAUAAUACAUGAAAUGUAGAUUCAACCUCAACUCAAGCAACGAUUUCUUUAAGAGUAAUCUUGUCAGAUUCAAAUUCAGUUUCUCUACAUAUUUCAAAGAAUAAAAUAAGUUCUUUUAAGUUAAUAAUAGUAACACCAAUAUACAUAUUCUUAUUUUGGAACAUUUUUCUUACUCUAAUAAUAGUACACAGUGUAUUAUACCAAUAAUCAUGUCAAACAAGAACUCAAAAUUAUUAUUAUCAUAAGAUAAAUUUUUAGCAUCCCCAAAUAUCUUAGCAUCAUCACAUGUUUUUCCUAAGUGUCUUAAAGCAGUUUUUAUUUCUGACGAUUAAAUUUUAUUGCUUUAACAUUUUCAACUUAGCGUUCUUAAUGUGUUUGUGAAUGUUUCUUAAGUCUUAGAUCUUUCACAUUAUACUGAAGAAUUUUUCAUAUACAUAUACAUAUAUAUAUAUAUAUAAGUCAUUGACCUGAACGAAGUUUUGAGUUGGUCCCAUGAGUCAUUGUCGAUAUUAAACUUUAGCUAAAAUACAUUCUUUUCAAAAUAAAAUACGUGUAAUAUAUAUAUAUAUAUAUAUAUAUAUAUAUAUGGAAACAAAUGGUGUAUGGAAACUCUAUUCUCAUUCUUCUUCUCUUUAGCAUUUCAUUUUAAGUUGGUGGGAAAAUAUUAAAAGAGCGUAACUUUGACAAAAUCUAUUAGACCUUGAUUGCAAGACUCAAUGGUAAAUAUACCAGCCUACUCUUGGUUGCUCCAAACAAAUGGGUGCAUAUUACAUUAGAUUGCACAAUUUCUUAAACAAAAUGACAAUCGUCAGAUGUUUAGUUCGCUCAUAUAUAGGAUAUGAAGCAAUUGUAUAGCUUCUUGAUUGUCACCAAACAAUUUGGGUGAAGAAAAAGUGGGAAGCCCAAAUCUCGAAGUAAUGUAGGCAACCAAGUUACUUCACUAGUGAUUGAGGACAUAGCGUGAUUUAUGAAGCUUCUGCACUAGAGUGCUCAAUAACAUUCAAUUUAUUGCUUUUCAUCUCACUAACUUACCCCCAAAAAUGAAUAAUAUCCAAUUGUAGAUUCGCAAUUAGAAUCAUUAAAUGCAUCAAUGUCUUUCCUAUCUCUUACAGUAGAUCCAACACAUUCUCAGAGUAGCAAUUGCUAUCCCUAGAAAUAUUUUCUCAUUCCCAGAUCCUUAUUAAAUAACGUUUGUGUAAUAGUAUUUAAGUUUUGAGAUUUUAACGUCAUCAAUAUAUACCAAUAUGAUCGUGGCACAUUAAGUAGAGAUCAUUUUAAAGUUAUUUCCCAGUAGAAUAGUAGCUUUAGCAUGUUGAAAGUUGAUUCAGAAAUUAUCCAAAUUUAAUUUAGUCUUUAAUAUCUAUUUUUCAUGCAGAUUCUUGCUCCUUAAUUCACUAUUUUUGGUUAAAAAGUAAAUCUGAAAGUAGUGGCAAUAAUAUCUUAUACCAAUUAAGGUUUUUUAACUUUUCAAUUUACUUGUAAGUCAAAAUUCAUGUAGGCACCUUCAAUUAUGGAAUAAAUGAAGCAUCAAAUAACUUGCAUAUUCUGCAUUCUUGAGUGUUAUUUUCUCUUUGCAAUUCCUUUUUCAAUACUUGGCUACUCUAAAAUUCUAACAUUUGUGGUAUCAGAGCAUGGUUCAGACUCAACUGAGCUUAGUGAGGUAAAAUAAUUGAGAGAAAGAGAGAAACACCAUGGCUUCAAAUGGAAUUCACUGAGAAUUUCACAACUCGCCAUCCCUAUUUUCAAAGGAGAGAGUUAUGAAUUUUGAAGCAUCAAAAUGAAGACUCUAUUUAAGUCUCAAGACCUAUGGGACUUAGUAGAGAAUGGGUUUACUGAGCUAGAUGAAGAAAAUAUAUUGAGGAAAAACAUAAAGAGAGACUCAAAAGCAUUGUUCUUCAUCCAACAAGUAGUUCAUGAUACUAUUUUCUCAAGAAUUGCAGCAGCUACUACUUCAAGGGAAGCAUGGACAGUUUUGCAAACUGAGUUUCAAAGCUCAUCAAAAGUAGUAGCCAUAGAACUCCAAAAUCUUCCACGUGAGUUUGAAACUUCACUCAUGAAAAUUAAUGAAUCAAUGCAAGAUUUUUUGUCUAGAGUGGUGGCAAUUAUUAGUAAAAUGAGGUCAUAUGGAGAUAAAAUAACUAAUCAAACUCUAAUUGAAAAAGUGUUAAUGAGUUAAACUCCUAAGUUUGAUCAUAUUGUAGCUACAAUUGAGGAGUCGAAAGACGUGGAAUAUUUCAUUUGAUAAAUUGAUGGGUUUUUUGCAAGCUCAUGAGGAAAUGAUAAACAGGCUAGUUGAAAAACAUGAAGAGAAAACAUUUCAAGUGAAUGUGGAGGCACUCAAUUCAAGAGAAUUUGAUAAGACAAUGGGAAGAGCUGCAUUUCGUGGAAAAAGUCAUGGCCAAGGUAGAGGUGAUGAGCAAAGGCACUCCACCAAUGAGCAAAACGGCUACAAAAGUAACAUCUAAUGUCAUCAUUGCAAGAAGUUCGAGCAUGUAACAGCAGAUUGCUAGUAUAAAGAGAAACAAGUAAAUUAUGCAGAAGAAAUUGAGGAAGAAAAUAAGUUAUUCAUGGCCCAUUAUGACACUAACUAAGUUCCAUGUGAUGUAUGGUUUAUAGAUAGUGGCUGCUCCAAUCCUACGUUAGGGAUGAAGGCAUUAUUCAAAGAGCUUGAUGAGACUCAAAAAAGAAUGCCAAGCUUGAUGACAAUAAAGAAAUUCAGGUUCAAGGAAAAGGCAGAGUAGCAAUCAAAACCAGCCAUGGUAAAUUAAAGCUUUGCAUAAUGUUCAAUGUGUUCCUAGUUUGGCGCAUAAUUUAUUAAGUGUUGGGCAAUUAAUGGCUAGUGAUAAACAAUCUAGACAAACAAUGGUUAAUGUUCACAUGACCAAAAAUAAAAUAUUUCCACUUGAAGCUUCAAAUGUGGAAAAUUUUGCUUGCUAUUAUUAGUGAACAAAAUGACUUGAGAUUGUUGCACUUGUGAUAUGGGCAUCUUAAUGUCAAGGGACUAAAAUUGUUGGGUCAUAAAGGUAUGUGAGGGAAGCAUUUAUGGGAAAACAAACUAGAAAAUCAUUUCCAAUUGGAAAGGUUCGGAGUUCUUCUACUUGUCUUGAAUUAAUUCAUGUUGAUUUGUGUGGGCCUAUAAACACCGAAUCAAUUGGAGGGAGUCUCUAUUUUCUACUUUUUUAUUGAUGAUUUCAAUCGCAUGAGCUGGGUGUAUUUUUUGAGGUAUAAAUCAGAAACUUUUGAUAAUUUCCAAAAAUUCAAGACUGGUAGAGAAGCAAAGUAGGUCCUACAUAAAGAUCUUUGUACAAAUAGAGGAGGUCCUACAUAAAGAUCUUUGUACAAAUAGAGGUGUUGAGUUAAUUUCUAAUGAAUUUAACCACUUUUGUGAAGAAAAUGGGAUUCACAUGGAAUAAACAGCACCUUACGCUGGAGCAAAAUGGGGUGACUGAAUGCAAGAAUCGCAGCAUUGUUGAAAUAGCAAGAAAUUUACUAAAAAGCAUGGUACUUCCAAAUCAGUAUUCGGCAGAAACAAUGACCACUUCAUUGUAUCUGCCGAAUAUUUCUCCUAUCUUGAAUUAAACAUCGUAUGAAACUUGGAGAGGUACAAAGCCUUUUGUAAGCCACUUAAGAAUUUGGUGAAUUCUUGAACUCACCAAAAAACUAGAUCAAAAAUCUGAAAAUUGCAUUUCAUCGAUUAUUGUCUUGAAUCCAAAGCAUAUAGGUUAUAUAACCCUCUUUGUCGCAAAGUGAUUGUUAGCAUAAAUGUAAUCUUUAGUGAAGAAGCAAGCUGGAAUUGGAAUAACAGCAACGAGGGAACUUAACUUGAAACCUUACUGAAUAAAAUAAUAGACCCAAUAACUGCAAACUCAACAAAUUUCUCUCCCUCAACGUCAAGUAAUAGUAGCCUAGUAAAUUCACCGGUUCAUCUACUACAAAUUCAACAGACAACAACUCAUCUUCCUUAAAUGAGUUAUUCAAUGAGACGCCUCUAAGGAAAUUCCAAUCUCUAAAAGAGAUCUAUGAAUUUGGUGUAUUUACUUUACUUGCUACGAAUCCUACAACUUAUGAAGAAGCGGCAAAAUGCAAUGAAGGAAGAACUCAUAGCAAUACAAAGAAAUGAAACUUGGGAGUGGAUAGACUCACCUAACGGAAAAUAUGCUAUUGGCUUGAAAUGGAUAUUCAAAAUAAAGUACCAUGUAGAUGGAAGUAUACAGAGGCAAAAGGCUUGACUAGUGGCAAAGGGAUACUCAUGACAACAUGGUAUUGAUUAUGAAGAUACAUUUUCUCCUGUUGCUCGAUUUGAAACUUUCAUAACAAUUUCAGACUUGGCUGCACAACUACAAUGGGCUAUUUAUAAAUUUGAUAUAAAGUCUGCAUUUUUGAAUGGUUAAUUCAAAGAGGAGUUUUAUGUUACUCAACCUGAAGGUUUCGUAGUCAAUGGCAAAGAAAAAAAGGUGUACAAGCUAAGAAAGGCACUCUACGGGUUAAAACAGACUCCAUGAGGAUGGUAUAACAAGAUUAAUUCUUAUUUUCUGCAAAACGGGUUUGAAAGAGAGAAAAUGACCCACACUUUACUUGAAGAAGCAAGGUAACAAUGAUAUUCUUAUAGUAUGCCUCUAUGUUGAUGAUAUAAUUUAAGUGAGCUGAAACCAAAUCUAGUAUAAAAAGUAAGUUUGAAAUGUCAGAUUUAGAUUUGCUACAUUAUUUCCUUGGACUAGGAGUGAAGCAAGGAAAAGAUGUAAUGUUUAUUUCACAAAGAAAAUAGCAAUAGACCUGCUCAAAAGAUUUAAUAUGGUAAAUUGCUAUAUUGUAGCAAUACCCAUGAAUGAGAAUGAAAAAUUGCAGCUUCAAAAUGGUACUGAAAAAGCUAAUGCAAGAAGUUUAGUUGGAUGUUUGAUUUAUUUGGCUCAUAAUCGGCCAAAUAUUUCAUUCUCUAUUGGUGAUAUUUUAAGGAUUAUGAAUAAUCCAUCAAAGUAUCAUUUUUGAGCUGCAAAAAGGAUCUUACGUUAUGCUACUAGAACAUUGGCUUAUAGAAUUUGGUAUACCCAUGUUUGAGAUUUUAGAUUAUUUGGUUUUAUUGAUAGCGAUUAGGUAGGCUCUUUAGAUGAUAGAAGGAGCAUUUCAAGCAAUGUUUUUAGUCUUGGAUUAGAUGCAAUUAUAUGGUGUUCAAGGAAACAAACUACAACUCAUUAUCAUCUUCAUUGGCAGAGCGUGUCGCAACUACUACUUUAGCCUGUAUAUACGGCUUAGGAGACUUCUUGCAGAUAUUCAUCAAAGGCAAGAAAGUGAAUUGAAAUCUUUUGUGACAACAAGGCCACAAUUGCAAUGACAAAAAAUCUUGUAUUCCAUGGAAGAACAAAAGCACAUAGAUAUUUGUUUCCAUUUUAUUUGUGACCUGGUGGCAAAAGAAGUGAUUAUAUUGAAAUUUGUAACAUAGAUGAACGAGUGGCAGAUGUAUUUACGAAGGUUCUAUCAUGUCAAAAGCAUGCCUACUUCAAAUCACUACUUGGUAUGUGCAAUUUUGAAUCAAGGGAAAGUAUUGAAAGUUGACUUAGAAAUUAUCCAAAUUUGACUUAGUUUUUCAUUUUUAUUUUUCUUGCAGAUUCUUGCUGCUUAAUUCACUAUUUUUGAUUAGUAAAUAAGUCUGAAAGUAGUGGCAAUAAUAUAUGAUAUUAGUUGAAUUUUUUUAGCUUUUUAGUUUGCUUGUAAGCCUAUAAAUAAGCACUUUCAAUUUUGGAAUAAACGAAGCAGCAGAUAACUUGCAUAUUCUGCAUUUUUGAGUGUUAUUUUCUCUCUGCAAUUUCCUUUUUUAAUACUCCGCUACUCUAAAUUCCCAAUAUAGCAUACCAAGCUAAAGGUAACUACUUGAGCUUAUACAAAGCCUUCUAUCGAAAUGUGAUUCUUGCGUAUGACACGGUGGGACAUAAAUAUAAACUUCUUCUUGCAAAAAUGCAUUUUUUUCACAUUCUUUGAAAUAUUUUUUAUCCUUGACCGUGAAAGAGAUAAGUUCUUUAGCCAUGUUUGUUGUAGUUAAAAUUUAAAUAUUUGCUACAAUUUUAUAAAAGUCGAUGAGAUGUGUAGUUGAAAAGUUGUGAAUUUCAUAAAAUGUAUGAUUAUAAUUAAUUGUUCACUCUAACUUACAUCGGACAAAGGCUAAACAGCAACAUGAACAAAAGUUUUCUUCUAGCAUUUUGCACAUGUUCAAGUAAAACCAGUUACAAACUCAUGUCAUUCAAUAAUGUCACCACUCUUGUAUUUAUUCUUGCAAGUCCAGCUACAGCUCAAUGUUUUCUUUACCCAUGGCAGCUUAACAAUUUCCUAGGUUUCGUUCUUAUCAAGAGCACUUAGUUAUUUUUCCAUAGCUUUUCUCGAAUGAUGUCUGAAUUUUCUUUGACAUAAUCUUGGUUUUAGAUGGUCAAAUAGCUAAGAAUACAUAAUAUGAUUGUGCCACAUUGUCGUAUGUCAAAUAUGCUUGCAUAGGAUAGUUGACAUCAGUAUUUUAAGAUGCACGCAUAUGUUUCGUAGUGAUGGCAAUGGGUAGAGCUGGCUCGACCCUUUAACCCACGAGUUUGGCUCGGGCUCGUGGCUUGUGAAAGACGAGUCGAGCUCGAGCUCGGCUCGUUGCUCAGGGGCGAGCUUAGCUCGUGAGCUCACGAGCUUCAUGGAUCAAGCUGAGCCAAGUAGAGCCCACAAGCUACUCGCGGGCUCGAUGAGUCGAGUAGGUUUGACUAGUAGGAUUGAGCCCCCUGCCCGGCUCAGCUCGGCUCGGCUCGAGCUCAUCACGAGCAGAGUUUUAACGAGCCGAGGGGCCGAGUCGACGAGCCACUCGGCUCGUUUGACAUCCCUAAUGUUUCGCAUAUGUCAGCAUAUUAUCGAUGCAUUUUCAAAACGCCUUGUAUAUGGGAUAUGCACGUGAUAAUGCAGUCAACCGAUUUUGUUGAUCGCAUAUGCACACUUAAAAUGCCAAAAUGCACAUGCAUUUCUAUUAAAAAUCAUGUCAAAAUUAGUGUGGCAAAACCAACCCAUUUUUAUCUUUAAAAAAAAUGUAAAUUGAGCUCAAUAAAUAUCAAAUUAGUCCAAAUCACCCAAGUCCAUGGAUUAUAUACAACAAUAUGUAAGUAUUUAUGUUUAAAAAAAAUCAGAAAUCAACAAAUUUUUCAUAGAUUUGCAAACUGUAUACAUUGAGCUCGAGCCUUCUUCUUCUUAUGUCUUCCGCUAGUUCUACUAGCAAGUGAUGCUAGUUGUGUCCAAUUUUGAAUUGUUGAUGAUUGUGAUGAUGAGGAGGAGAUUGCCAAUAAUAUCUUACCAUCUACAAGAAGUAAUGCAAGUUUUUCAAUUGAAAUGAGGGAGCAUGAUAAAGAUGAUUUCGUACUGGAGAAAACGAAAAGAUGAUUUGGAUGAAAAAGAGGAGAAUGAAUUGGAUUCAGAUAAACAAGUAGACAAGUUUUAGAAUUUUUUAAAUCGAUGUUCGUGUCUAAUCUAAUUAUAAGAAUUGAUUAUCAAGUAAUUGCAGUAUUUAUAUUUUUGAGCAAUAUAUUUUUGUUGAAAUUAUGAAAAACAAAUAUAAAGUUCAAGAAUUGUAGUGUUUAUAAUUUUAAGCGAUACAUGUACAUACAUGCAUAUAUAUAUUGGAAAUUUGAAGAACAUGUAUAAGGUUUAAAGAAUCCAUUAUUUUAUUUAUUUAUUAGUUUAGAACAUUUAAAAUAAUAUUAAAAGUUGGAAAACACAUAAUUACGUAUAUGCUUCGCAUAAGCACGCAUAUGCUUGUAAUGCUUGACCGAAAUGCAUUGCUAUGCAUUAGCAUUUUAGAACUUUGGUGACAUUAUAAUACGUGAGAAGCUAUCUAUCUACUUGAUUGUCUUUGAAGUGUAGAGUCCACUACGAGUUUGAAUUUCUUCAUUGUAAGCUACAAUUUCACUCGUAAUCUUCGAUUCUAAGAAUUUCUCAAGUUAAGUUCUUUCCUUAAAGAAAUAAAACUACCAUCAUGGGAGAGAAAGCAGAUCAUAUACAUUCCCUUCCUAAGUUGAUUGUCAAAUCUUAUUACUUCCAUCACGGGUGAUGUUAAAAUUAGGGUGUGACCCGAAUUCUAUUUUGAAGAUAAUUGGAGAUUCUACUUAAAGUCAACUUAAGAAGAAUUCUAUUUGAAAUGCUUAUUGGAAUCUUAUUCAAAGUCUAUUUGGCAAAUUCUGUUAAAGUUCUAUUUGAAAGCCCAAUUGAGAAUUAAAAUUUGUGUUGAACUUGAAGAGAACAAGAUAUGGACAAAAGGAAUGAUGAAAACAUCAUUGGAGCAAUAUUUCCCAAGAUCGGGUGCUCCAACGCCAUGUUGCGGCUCUAGAAGAAAAAAGGAACACUGGCUGGGAACUCUGGCACCGGUUGGGUGCCUUGGGCCAAGAGGACAAUGGUACCCUGAUGCCGCCUAUACAAGAAGAAUCCUAUUUUGAUAUUGAUUCUUGAAUUUUACUUCAACUAGAAUUUCAAAAUUAGACUCCUAUAUAUACUUAGCACUUCAUUCUUUUUAGAUUAUGUUAGACAAAAUAUAAAUAUAAAAUCAUUGUAUUCUUUCUCCAUAUUUGAGUAAAUUCUCAUUUCCUCUGCAAAUUAUUUUGUUCUUGAGUUUGUGAUCAAUUACUAAUUACUUAAUAUUGUGCCAUGUUUUAUUUUUUCGCCCAUUACUACAAUAAAUUAGUAUCUGAGCGAAGGUUUUAUUCAUUGGAGUUUGAUUUUGGGAUGGCAACCAUGAAGUAGGAUAUUUUUCUUUUGGAUUGCAACAUAAGAUUUUCAUUGUUGUAGGUAAAAAUGUGAGCAAUAGGGCCGGCCCUGAAACUUUUGAGACCCUUAAAAAUACUCUUUUUUUAAAGCCUAACAAACUUAAAUAUAUAAAUAUCAACAAUUAGCAGCAAUGCAUCAAAACUCAUAAAUGAUAAAUCAUUAACUCAUAAAACAAUAAAACAUAAAUUAUUUAUCAUAAAUCACAAUUCUUACUUCUCAGUCAUAAAUCAUAACUCAUAAAAAAUAAAUAAAAACAUGAAUUAUAUGAUUGAUAACACAGAUGAAAGUUGAAAGAAUCAUAGGAUGCUUCAAAAUGUGCCUUUCAACAGUAACUAGAUAACUUUUUACUUAGUUGAUUAAUAGCUCAAACUCUCUCCCACAAGCCCUGAAACAAAAAAGUAAAGAUGGAAUAGAAAAUAAAAUGUGGUGGGAUUACUUAUUUAUAGGAUAUUUAAGAAAAGUGAACCUAUAAGAGGCGGUGGGAGAGAUGAAGAGAGAGGCAGUGAGGUAAAAUGCCUUCACUUUACAGCAGUUUUAAGCUCCAAACAAAUGAUAGUCUUUUCAUUCUUCUUAACAUCCUCAUGAAUUAAUCAAGCGUUGAAGAACUUGUCUAUCAAGAGGGUCAAAAACCACUCAGAAAGUUGUGAUGAAUUCUCUCACUGCAACAAAAUUCAUCAAAUCAAAAAUCAUCAAUUCAACCAUGAAAAUUUAAAGACUAGGUUACACGAAGAGAUAGAAAUUAAACCCACCACGUUCACUGUUCAACGUUCGCACAAAUCGCUUCGAAGGGUUUCAAUGGGAAAUGGAUUUGGAAGCUUGGACAGUUUGCUAGAUAUUGGUUUGGGGUAAAUGGUAAUCAAUUUAAUAUAAACGAUUUGGGCUAAUAUUUUAAACAAAUGAAAGCCCAUGUUAAUUUUCAUUAGCCUAGAUAGAAAUAAAAAGAGGAAAAACCCAGAUACCUAACACAGGCAUUUCAUCUUCCUUGCUUCUUUUCCCUCUUUCGAGUUCGGACUGCAACUCCAACACCCAGCGGCAAUGGCAAUUAAGGAAACCCUUUUUCUAUUGGUGCUGGUAUGUAUUUUGAGGCCUUGGGCCUAAUCCACAUUUUUGAAGCCCUAGGCGUUUGCCUAGGUGGUUUGGCCUCAAAGUCGGCUCUUGUGAGCAAUAUUCACUCAGAUGAAUUUGGACAAUACAUUGUUGGGAUUUGACAAGAUGUCCACAACUUGGAAUAAGGAGUAGAAACACGUAGGAAUCUAAAUAUCCUACAACAAACUCAUCUUUAUCUUUUGAAUAAUAUUCUUUAAGAGGUUUUGAAAGAGAAGUCCAGGCUGCGUUAUGGUUGAUAUUGCAGUAAUUACGUAUGACAAAGAGUCUAACUAGCAAAUUGUACUUAAAGCAACACCUUUAUUCUCAUCGUAAGAUAGAAUUUAAAAAUCUUAAAUAACACCUAGCUAUUUUUAAUGAUAUCGUAGUUGAUUUGGAACCCUUGGAGUUUAAACAUGAUGAAGAAUAUUUUGGUUUGAUAUUGUUGUGUGUGUGUAUGUAUGUAUGUAUGAUCAAGCAUCUCGUUAGAACUGAGGCUCAUAGAGAUGCCCUUAUUGUUGAUAGUAGUUGUACAAAGAGCCAAUAAAGGUCUAACUUUACAAACAAAAUUUGUAAUUAUUGCAAGAAGAAGGGACACUUGGUUACACAUUGCUAUAAGUUACAGAAUAAAGAAAAACUGGCUACAUAUAAUCAAAAGAGAAAGCAAUAAGGUACUUCAGGUGAAGCUAGUGUUGCAAAAGCGUUUCAAAAUGAUGGAGAUAUUUUGAUUGUUUCUGAUGGCGUCAUGGCGACUUCAAACAUAUAGAUGAUUUGAUUUUUGAUAUGGCUUGCACUUUUCAUAUGUGUUCCAGUCAGGAUUCAUUUAUAACAUAUGAAGAAGUUUCCAAAAGUGUUGUGAUGAUCGAUAAUAAUAUACCUUGUUGGAUUGCUCUUAUAGGAAGGAUUAGACUUAAGUUCUUUGACGGAAAUGUCAGAACACUUGAUGUAGUCAACAUGUUCCUAAUUUAAAAAAGUAAAAAAAAAAAAAAAAAUCUUACCUCCUUAAGUACCCUUGACUUGAAAGGGAACAAAUUCAUUGGUGAAGGCGAAGUCUUGAAGGUUCGUAAAAUUGCUUAUAUUGUGUUGCAGGGAUAGGAAAAGACCCAAUUAUAUGUCUUGCUAAAUCCUACAAAAUCUUUGACCAAUCAUCACAAAUUUGGAGCUCAGAUGGAUUGUAAGUUUGGUUUAGUAUUGUCAGAGUUUUGCUUGGGUCUACUUUGAUGAAUAUAGGGAUGUAAAUGAGCCAAGUUGAACCGAGCCGAGUAAUAUAUUUGUAUAUUUCACUACAACAAAAACAGCAUUUUGCAAAUUUCAAAAAACAUUUCCAAAGACCUUUUGCAACGUUCGGCCGUAUGUUGCAAAUCCUGAUGUUGCCGUAGAGUAAAAGAUAAGGCAACGUUUUUCGAACGUUGCAAAAAACACUUUUGUAACAUUUUUCGAACGCUGACAAAAACCUUUUCGCAACGUUUUUUGACCUUUUUGUAACGUUUUUCGAAUGCUUUUAGCAUUUUUCGACCGUUGCCAAAAGGUGAAGAGAUGAGAGUUGCUGGUCACGAAGAAUGAGGAGUAAAAUUUGUCGUUUGAGGAGUAUGAUCUAUGUAUGUUUUUUUUUUCAAGUCAUCCAUUAGUAGUCCAAAACUUAAAAAAAUGAUAAUAAAAGUUAUUUUGGUUGGGCCCAAAUAUCAUUUUAGGUUUUUGCAACAUUUCAUAAACAUUGCGAAAGAAAAAACUUUUGGAAACGUUGCGAAAAAAACUUUUUGUAACGUUUCAUAAAUGUUGUGAAAGAUAAAGCUUCUUGCAACGUUUAUUUAAUGUUGCAAAAAAACUUUACACAAAUUUUUUUGGUCAAUGAUUAUCAUCUUGAAUACCUUGUUUAAAAGUUUAAAAUCAAGUUGUACAUUACUUAAAGUAAUGAACAUUGUUUGUAAAGAGGUUGGUUGGCCUUGAAAAAAACUUUUUUUCGGAUUUGCUAAGCUCGGAUUUCAUCGUCGAUGAUUGCAUAAAAUAAUGUGUGAGUACAUGUUUGUUGAGACACAUAGUUUAUCUAUGGGAGUUGAAAUAUAAGUCAACAUUAGAAUCCAAAAUUGUAAAAGGAACAUGGGCUUAAUACUAAACUAAAAGAUAUUAGUUGUCUUUUUUUCCCCAAAUAUACUUGUGAAUAAUGAAAUGUAAUAAAACGUACCAAAAUAUAGGCAAUACUCAAGAUUAGUAACGUAGAUAUACAAUUUUGCAAAUUUUGUUAUGCUUGAAUCUUCGUUAGAGUCUAAUUUGACUAUGUGAGAUUAAUCAUUUUCGAUAAAAAGCCAAGAAUUUGUUUGUUUUCUAUAAGUAUUAUGCCCUAGGUCCAAUCAAUUUUGGAUAUAAAUACUUUUGAUAUAUAAUUAAUGUAAUUUAAUGGCAGAUCUAUUAUUUAAUUAAUAGACAAUUAAAUAAAUAAUAGAGUCCGUAGAUUCAAAUCUUCAUUAUUUGUUAAUCAUAAGGAGUUGUGAUCGUGAGAUACAAAUUACAUCUGAUUGAAUCUUAAAUCGUCCGUGGUCGUAAGUAAUAACGAGAUACGGAUAUCGUUAUUACGGAUAGACCAUCACGUGUGGCAUUUCUUACUUGUGAAGUAAGUAGCUGAUCUCACAAGUUAAAGUAUGGUGACAUUUAAAUCAACACGUGGAUGUUUUAUUAUAGAAUAAAACAUUGGAGACCCGCUAAGAGAUUCCACAUGGAUAACUAUCUGAGUGUAAGUGGUUAAUCUCUUACGUUCGGUACUGGAGUUGGUCCUAUGACUUGAGGUCAUCAUAGUGCCUUGUAUGAGGAUAGUCAUGCUUUGACGGUGUUUGAUGUUGCUCUGUCAAGAGCCGCUAAUACGAUAUCGUUCGGGUAUGUCAAGAACCAUAUGAAGGUUGUGAAUGACCAAUAGAGGAUUCGUCACUCUUAUAUAGUAAAAUAUUGUGAUCUGCAUUUCGUUCGAUUAAGUCAAUAACGAAAUCCUUGGUCAAGGUAUACAUAUAAGUCGAAAAGGAGUUUUCGACUCAUAUUGGCUUAAUAGUAGAAUGAAAGAUAUGAUCGAUAAUCGAAAUUAACACACUUCCAUAUCUCGUAGUUGAUCGGAUCAUAUUGACGAAGGGAUUAUAGUUUCAUGGUAAACGAACAGUUUUGGCUUUGUCACACCACGUGACAUUUUUCGUCACAUGUAUUGCCCUGAUACAUUGCUAGAUGCCAAUUUGGGACGGCGAGUGUGAAUUUGUGAUAAAUUAAAAGGGUGUUUAAUUUAUCAAUUUUGAUUAGAUCAAAAUAAUAUUUCACGUCGUUAGGUAUCGUGGUCGGGAACUUGAUGGGUCGCACACAAAAGAGAAUUAGAAGAUUGUAAAUUACCAAUUAAUUAAUUUAUCCAAUCGUUGGAUAAAAUUAAUUAAUUUGAUUGGUUAUUUAUAGCCCCGAAUUAAUUAAUUGGAUUAAUUAAUUCACGGACCGGAUUUAAUUAAAUGAAUUAAUUAAAUAUUGGACCGGAACGGGCCGAGCCCAUUUGGUUUUAUAUAAAUACAUAGCUAGGGUUUGAGAUCCAUAUGAUUUUCAUAAUUCUUGCUGACACAAGAGGAAAAAUCCUAGAAACUGUAAUCUUGUUCUUUGUGUGGAUCACCGUUGGAGGCUGGACAAUUGGACAACUGCGUGUGGCGAAUCAAGAUUGCUAGAACGAAAAGAAAAGCAACAGGUUUGCAAAAUUCUUCAAAGAUAUAAUCUUUAUCAAGAUUUCUGUCUAAACACAAACGGAUCCUCGGUGGAAAUCGAAAUGAUUUUAAUUUUUCACUGUGCAUGUAUAAGUAGAUUCCCAAUAGUAGUAUCAGUGCCUCCUUUGUGUUUGUUAGAAAUUGAUUUGUGUGAUUGAACAGUCAAACGUUGAUUGUGACUAUUUUUCUUGUUUCUAGCAAUUAAGUGGAAAUUUAAUUUUAUAUUUUUGAAAUCUGAUUCGAAAAAAAAAAAUUUAGAUCCGCGGCAUUCUCCAUCACCGGUGGGCAGCAGCAGCCGACGGGAACAACGUGCUGCCCGCCGACAACAGCAGCUGCACCAGCGCCUACGGGGCGCCUACAGCGACUAUCUGUCGUUAUACCAGCAGCGGCACACAGCCACUGCUAAUUUUGAUUGCAAGACCCGUCGCGUGUUUUUUUCCAAAAUUCAGUCGGUGAUUGAGAUUUGGAAGCGGGGGCCUCAGUUGCAAAUUUUCAAAUUACAGGCCCCCGCUUGCAAUAUUAUGAAAGGGAUCAAAUGUAAUUUUCUGAAUAAGGGCAUAUUUGCAAUUUCGAAAUUUGAAGGGUUUUGUUUGUAAUUUGAAAUUUGGGUCAAUUUGCAAAUCUCAAAAUUGUUUUGAAUUUGAAUUUUUAAAAUGGUUUUAAAAUUGUAUUUUAAUGGGUUUGACCUAUUAUUUUAAUUUUGAUCCAAAUUAAAAUCUUAUUUAAAAAAUUGACGACAUUUUAUAUUUUCGUUAAAAUUGAAUUUUAAUUUAAAUAUUAAACUUUGAUUUCAAUUGAAUUUUAUUUUAUUUAGGAGUGUUAUCCUAAUUUAAAAUAUUGAUUCAAUUUAAAUUAGAGUUGGACUCUAAUUUAGGACUUAAUUAAAAUUUAUUUUUAAUUAAUUUUUCACCUGAAGAUAUUUUAGAAAUUAGAAUUGGAUUCUAAGUUGACGUUUAAUUAAAAUUUGAUUUUAAUUAAGUUGUUUCGCCCUAAACUUUUCUUUAAAUUAGAGUUAGACUCUAAUUUGGUGUUUGAUUAAAAUUUGAUUUUAAUUAAACGGAAAUUUUAAUCAAACGGAUUUGCCCUAAAAAUCUUAGAUUUAGAGUUGGACCCUAAUUUUGCUAAUUAAUUAAAAUUUGAUUUUAAUUAAAUCUAACCGCCUUAUAUUUUGAAAUUAGAGUUUGACUCUAAUUUGAUAUUUAAUUAAAAUUUGAUUUUAAUUAAAUUAUCCCCCCUAUAAUUGUUGAAUUAGAGUUGGACUCCAAUUCGGUAUUUAAUUAAAAUUUGAUUUUAAUUAAACAUGCCGGCUUAUUAAAUAAUCGAUUAAUAUGAUUAAUUAAUUAUUUGAUUAUUCCGAUCCAUUUGUCUAAAAGAGUUUAGACGACUUAAUUGCUAGAAACUUGAAACUUAUUUGUAUAUAAUAUUAGAUAUUAUAUAGGUAUACAUUUAUGUGAUGAAUAUAUUAUUAGUGGACGAUUAUGGACUCGAUCAUAUGGAUGUGUUGAAUGGUUAAUUUUUAUUCUUAUUGUUUUCUGGGCCUGCAAGCUAUUAAUUGUUUUGGGCCUGCGAGCCCGUUAUUAUUGUUAUUAUUUUGAGCAUGCAAGCUUUUGAUCAUUUUGGACCUGGGAGUCCAUUAUUAUUAUUAUUAUUAUUGAUGUGGGCCAACGAGUCCAAUUUCAUUUAGGCCUACGUGCCUAUUAGUAUAGGUUACAGGUUGCAACUGGACUAAUUGAAGAGACAAGAAGAGGAGGAGACCAUGAAGGUGGUGCAUUGAUACUGUUUAAUGCUAUACCCCCUAGGAAUUGACCAACUAGUCUUUCUUAUGGCUCGGGAAGACUAGAUAGUAAAAGUCCAUUAUCGCCACACUAUUAUAUUAUGUUAUAUAUGUUUAUUUGCAUGGUAGAUGUAUAAUAAUAUAUAUGUGAUUGUAUCGUUGUUGAUGAGACUUUUGAAUGCAAAAUCCCUCCACAAAAUAUUAAGUCACAUUUAUAAUUUUCUUCCAUCAUUAUAGUGAAAAAUCAGAGUCCUAAAUCGUCUCAACUUGUUGAGUACACUCAAGGUUGGUCUAUUAGGGAUAUGUUUGACACUAUUAAAAUAUUAGAUAUUUCUGAAUGAUGGGUUCGAUUUAACUAAAAUUUAUUUUUUGUUAAGUACACUCAAGGAGAUAAAUUUUGGAGGCAUGUUAAGCUAACACAUAAGAUGUGUGAAAAUAAAGUGUUGUCAGCUUAAUGAUUUGGGAGUUGUAUGGAGAUACAAUUGAUAAUAGUAUCUACCCAAAUGUUGUAUUAAGGCUUGUUGAGUACACUCAAACUCUUAGUAUAACAGAUGGGAUCCCAGCCAACUGGGAGUCGAGUAUGGACUCCAUAAAUUCAUGUAAAAGGGUCAUAAAUUUGAAUUAAACAGUGGGAGCAUAAUUAAUUUAAUAAAAGUCCAUAUUAAAUUAAUUGAUGCAUUUUAUAUAUUAUUCUUUUUCUUUUCGUCAUUUAUAUUUAUUGAAUUGUGAGUAACCAUGUGUAUUUGAGAGGUAUAUUGGAUGUCAACAACCAAAUUAAAUCUUCUUGAUUGGCACUGCAAUUUGAGAAUUUUCUCAAGUAUGAGAAAGUUGGUUGUCCUUAAGUAGCCAUUUUUCAGAGACAUUUGUUGAUGACUCGAUUAAGGAAAAGAUGACUGCUAUAAUAAACGUAGUGAUUACAAUAGUACUGCAACGUAUGUGAUACCUGCAACUAUGUCACCUGAGUUACAAAAGCAAUUUGAGAGUAUAGAUGUUAACACAUAAUUCUUCAUUACAAAGAGUUAUAUGAUAAUAAUCAUGUGUGGAAGGAUAUGAGACUUUCAAACAACUAUAUCGAUGCAAAGUGACAAAAGAAUCUUCAGUCAAUCCUCAUGUACUGAAGAUGAUUGACAUGAGAAAUGUCUCAACUGAGUUCAAUCACUAACUAUGAACUAAGUAUUGACUUAGCUCUGCAAUCUCUGUUAUAGAGUUAUUCAUACUAAUUAUGAAUUAUGAUAUGAAUAAGCUCGAAUGAAUACUCAUUAAGUUACUUAACAUGCUUAAGACUGUUAAGCCCAACAUCAAAGUUAGUAGUGGGCAAGUCAUUGAUUCCUCUAAAGAUAUUAAGAGAAAGUCUAAAAAGGCUUUGUGAAAGCGUCCAAUAUGGUUAAAACCGUCAAAGCGAAGGACAAUACCAAAUGUAAUGACCCUUGGUUUCAUUAUAGAAUAAAAGGUCAUUGGAAGGAAUAUUGCGUGACUUACGUCUACUUCACGAGUUUCUUAGGUAUCUGAUACCAGAUGUAAAUCUCAUACUUAUAUAAAUAUAGAGAAUCUAAAUAGAAGUAGACCACUAUGAAAGGGAGAAGUUAACCUAUACGUUGAAGAUGAGCAAAGGUUACUGCAUUGCUUGUAGGAAUAUACUUCUUGCCAUUGCCUUUUGUUUUAGUAUUGGAAUUAGAGAAAUGUCGUUUUAUACCCACCAUAGCUGGAACAUUAAAAUGAAUUUCAUGUUCGGACAUGAACUAUUUUAAUUUUAAGGACAAUUGUUAUUCUUAUUUAUCUUGAUGAAGAUCCUAUGGCUAUGGUAAAUUACAAGACGAUGUUUAUAUUCUUUAAUACUAAGGACUCUAUAAUGAGUAUAGAAAUUAUAAGGUAUAAAUGCGAUAAUCUAAUUAUUACCUAAAUCUGGCAUGACGGACUUUGUCAUAUAGACGAAAAGCAAUUCCAAAGUUACAUAUAGCUGUAUACUUGGGAUUAAUUGAUUUUGACAAGUACAAAUUAUGCAUGUCUAGCACAACGACCAAAUCUUCUUUUACUUGAAAAGAAGAAAGAUCAGCAUAAUUACUGGUCUAAUGCAUAUGGACUCGUGUCAGUUAAUGUCAGGUAAUGUUUCUCUUAUUUCAUCAAUGAUCAUGUAUACUUGAUGAAAACUCAAACAUGAAACUCUUGAAAAGUUCAAGGGAUUCAAACUAGAAGUAGAGAAACAAAUAGGUAAAGAUACCCUCACAUUAAGAUUCGAUCGAGUGAGAAUUUCUUAAAGAUAAAAUUUAGAUUAUCUAAGAGAAAAUGAGAUUCUCUUGCAGUGGAUUCCUCCAUAUACACUGCAGCAUAGUGGUGUAUCUAAAAGGAGGAAUCAUUAAUUAUUAGAUAUAAUGCGAUUAAUAACAAGCCAUGCAAAUCUCCUAAAAUUAUUUUGGGGUCAUGUAUUGAUUGCAGUGUGCAACACACUAAAUCAUGUCACACCUAAGUUGGUUAACAAAACUCCAUACGAGUUAUGGAAAGGCAGUAGUCCCAAUUUAUCUCAUAUGAAAGUUUGGGGCCAUGACGCUUAUUUGAAGCGCCUUGAAUCGGAUAAGUUUGAGACUAAAUCCGAUAAAUACAUAUUUGUGGGAUAUUCAAAGCAAAUAUUUGAAUAUAAAUUCUAUUAUUGUGAAGAAAGUCUUCAUCUCACGACAUAUCGUCUUCUUAGAGAAAAUGUUUACUCUAAGGGAGGACAGUGGGAGCAAAAUAGAACUUGAAAGAGUUCAAGAGCCCACAAAUAUAGUUAGCCAAGUAGAUGAAUCCGAGUUUGAUCUCAUAUCUGAUAUGGGACAUACUCUUGAUCAGGAAGUAAAGACUCCUGAGGACAUGUCAGCUCUAUGUGAAUCUAGUAGGAUCAUUCAACCUUCAAGAAGGUGCGAAUCCAUGAUUGCUAAUAAGAUAUUACUGAUCCAGAAUGAUGAACCUACUAAUUGCACCAAAAUAAAGUCAAAUGUUGACUUAAAAGAGACAGCAAGAGGCCAUGAAACUUGAGAUGAACUCGACGUAUGUGAACAAGGUUUGGACCUUGGUCAAGCCUCUUGAUGGAAUAAAACCCAUAAAUUUUUGUAAAUAGUUUACAAAGAAAAAGUCAAUAUGGAUGGGAAUAUCCAUAUAUACAAAGUAAGGCUAGAAGUAAAGGUUAAGUGUUAACCUUGGUGAAACCUUUCUCCUGUAGCCUUGUUGAAGUCCAUUCGGGUUUUGCUUGCAACAGUUGCAUACCGUGAUUGUAGGCUAAGGGAAGUCUAUUGGAGCUGAAAUCUUAGAUUUGAUGAAAAAGUCAAAUUGUUUGAUUUUAUCAAAUUUGAAGACGAAUUGUGUGUUUACAAGAAGAUAGUGGGAGCAUUAUCGUAUUCCUAAUAUUAUAGAAAACGACAUCCCUAUAUUUCAAUCGUUGAAAUAAUGGUUGUUCAAGGAUUUAUUCAUGAACAAUAUGGGAGAAGCAACUUGAUCUAUAGAGGUAGAUCUAAAAGAUUACUUAACUCAUCCCAAUUUAUAUAGAUGAAAUCUUGAGAAGAUUUUAUAUGGAGAAAUUGGUUUACUCUUAAGCGGUUUGUUGGAAAGGUUCCAAACGUGAAGCAACCAUUGAUUCAAUAGUAGAAACAUAAUACAUGAUUACUUCAAAAGUAGCAAAGAGUUGCAAUCUGGAUCAUGAUGUUCAUAAAUGAACUUGGAGUAGUUCCUGAUAUUGUUGAUCACAUGCUAUUGUAUUGUGAUAACAAUAGAGCCAUUGCGAAAGCAAAGGAACUAAGGUCUCAUCAAUGAUCCAAACAUGUAUUAAGGCGGUAUAAUCCCAUUAGAAAGAUAAUGUAUAGAAAUGACGUAAAGAGAAGAACAAAUUCCCACAUUUAACAAUAUUACAGAUCCACUGACAAAGAGUUGCCAUAGCAUAAACAUGAUUGUCAUGUAGACUUAUGAUAUUGGAUACAUAAGUGAUUGGAUCUAGUACAAGUGAGAGUUUGUAAGUAUUAUACCCUAGGUCCGAUCAAUUUUGGACAUAAAUACUUUUGAUAUAUAAUUAAUGCAAUUUAAUGGCAGAUCAAUUAUUUAAUUAAUAGACAAUUAAAUAACUAAUAGAGUUCGUAGAUUCAAAUCUUCAUAAUUUAUUAAUCACAAGGAGUUGUGAUUGUGAUAUACAAAUUACAUCUGAUUGAAUUUUAAAUCAUUCGUGGUCAUAAGUAAAACGAGAUACGGAUAUCGUUAUUACGGAUAGACCAUCACGUGUGGCAUUUCUGACUUGUGAAGUAAGUAGCCGAUCUCACAAGCUAAAGUGUGAUAAUACUUAAAUGAACACAUGGAUGUUUUGUUAUAGAACAAAACAUUGGAGAUCCGCUAAGAGAUUCCACAUGGAUAACUAUCUGAGUGUCAGUGGUUAAUCUCUAACGUUCGAUAGUGGAAUUGAUCCUAUGACUUGAGGUCAUCAUAGUGCUUUGUAUGAGGAUAGUCAUGCUUUGACGGUGUUGGAUGUUGCUCUGCCAAGGGCCACUAAUACAACAUCGUUCGGGUAUGUCAAGAACCAUAUGAAGGUUGUGAAUGAGCAAUAGAUGAUUCAUCACUCUUAGAUAGUAAGAGAUUGUAAUCUGCAUUUCGUUCGAUUAAGUCAAUAACGAAAUCCUUGACCAAAGUAUACAUAUAAGUCGAAAAGGAGUUUUCGACUCAUAUUGGCUUAAUAGUAGAAUGAAAGAUAUGAUCGAUAAUCGAGAUUGACACACUUCAAUAUCUCGUAGUUGAUCGGUUCAUAUUGACGAAGGGAUUAUAGUUUCAUGGUAAACGACCAGUUUUGGUUUUGUCACACCACGUGAGAUUUUCCAUCACAUGUAUUGCCCUGAUACAUUGCUAGAUGUCAAUCUGGGAUGGCGAGUGUGAAUUUGUGAUAAAUUAAAAGGGUGUUUAAUUUAUCAGUUUUGAUUAGAUCAAAAUAAUAUUUUACGUCGUUAGGCAUCGUGUCAGGAAUCUGAUUGGUCACACACAAAAGAGAAUUGGAAGAUUGCAAAUUGCCAAUUAAUUAAUUCAUCCAAUCGUUGCAUAAAAUUAAUUAAUUUGAUUGGUUAUUUAUAGCCCCGAAUUAAUUAAUUGGAUUAAUUAAUUCACGGACCGGAUUUAAUUAAAUGAAUUAAUUAAAUAUUGGAUCGAAAUGGGCCGAGCCUGUUUGGUUUUAUAUAAAUACAUAGUUAGAGUUUGAAAUCCAUAUGGUUUUCAUAAUUCUUGCUGGCACAAAAGGAAAAACCCUAGAAGCUGCAAUCUUGUUCUCUGUGUGGAUUAUCGUUGGAGGCUGGACAAUUGGACAGCUAUAAGUGGCGAAUCAAGAUUGCUAGAACGAAAAGAAAAGCAACAGGUUUGCAGAAUUCUUCAAAGGUACAAUCUUUAUCACGAUUUCUAUCUAAACAUAAAGGAAUCCUCGGUGGAAAUGGAAAUGAUUUUAAUUUUUCGCUGUGCAUAUAUAAGUAGAUUCCCGACAUUUUCUUUCUGUGAUAUAUGUUCCAAUAUUCUUUGGAAUUCAAACCUUGUUAAGAGUUCCAUUAAAAAUAAAAAAUUGCCGAAACAAUAACUUGAAGAUCCUUAUCUUGAUAUGAUGGUGUAAUCAAUUUUACAGGCUGACUCCAUCUUCAAGGAUUAGAAGGAUGCUUCUUAUCUUGCAGUCAUAUUUGGCACAGGAAGUUCACGUAGACAGCAAAAUGGAUGGAAGCAUGCAUUCAUGUUGGUGUUUUGUUACUAAUAAACGGGCAAGCUUGCAAUCAAAUGCUAAGAACCUAUAUGGGAACAUUUUAAGAAAAGAUGACUCAAGAACAUUUUUUAGUAUAUUUUGAACUUCGAAGUAGUGUUUAUAAUUUUAUCUCAUGAGGGCAAUAUUGAUGAAAAACGAAAAACAUGUUUACUUGCUCCAUUCCAAAGAUGUUACAAAUACGAUUUUAGUUUUCCUCUUUCAAUAGAAAUUCAAAAAUCAGCAAAUGCGUACCUGAUUGAAGAUCUAACAUUUGCACCAGCAUAAAAGAAAUAUUGAUGCCAGCUACGUCGAAAGGAUACUCCCAUUCCGACCUAUCUCCAACUCUCUUGUGCAACAAGUUUUGAGAUGCUUCCUGUUAAAAAGAGAAGUAGAUACAAAAAAACUAUUUUAAAAAUUUUUCGAGUCGAGCUAGCUCUUUUUUCUGAAAUUCUAAUUUUUAUGUUUGUAAAGAUAGUCAUAGCUACCUCGGAAAUUAAAGGCAAUUGUAAAUGCUUUUUUCAUUUCAAAAACAUGGGCCAAAAUGGCCCGUAUUGGUAUGACCGACAAAGGCUAGCUCGGGCUCGAGGCCAAUACUCAAAAAUGAGGCUUGACCCAAGUUGAGGCUUGAUUCCAAUGAGCCACGAGACGAGCCAACACAGAUUUUUCCCGGGCUGAGCCUUGAGCCACUCAAGCCGAAUUGACAUCUCUAAAUGAAUACAUUGAAGUCAAGUUUGAAAGUUAUAGAUAAUUCCGCUACCACCAUUACCAGUGGUUUUUUUAAUCACUUGCUAGAAACAGAAUCGUUUGUGAUAUUUUGCCUUUACAUAGGUAUAAAGAUGCAGAUAUAGUUGCAUACGUUUUGAAUGUGGUUGAAGGUAUUGAUUCUAGCCAAGAUUUUUUUGUCGAAGCAUUUUGUGGUGAUUCUGUUAUAGGUUAUUCGUGAUUCGAGCAACUUUGGUGUCCAAGGUAGUUCUUAGACUUUUGUUACUUAGUUUUUGGAGUUUGAACCUAUUUUGGGUUUUGUGGUAGAGGUAGAUGAUAUUUUAAAGUUGGAAAUUUUGAUAGAGAAUUUCUUUUGUGUUUUUGACACAGAGUUGAAGUUUAAUCCUUAUAGUAGAAUUGGAGAUUCUUUAAACUUUAUUCAUGGCAGUGAAUUUGUGUGAAGGUAGAGUUUGUAGAAUUAGGAUGUCAUCUAAAUUCUAUUUUAAACAUAAUUGAAAAUUCUAAUUAAAGUUGACUUAAGAAGAAUUCUAUUUAGAAUGCAUUUUGGAAUCUUAUCCGAAGUCUAUUUGAUAAAUUCUAGUUGAAGUUAUAUUCGAAAGCCCAAUUGAAAGUAAAAAUCUAUAUUGGACUUGAAGAGAAUAAGAUACAGACAAAGGAAUGAAGAAAAAUAUCAAUGGAGCAAUAUUUUCCAAGAUUGGGCACCCCAACGCCUUGUCUCCGCGCCUAGAAAGAAAAAAGAAAUAGCGGUUGAGCGCCUCGAUGCUAGGAGAGCUGAUUCUUGCAUUCUACUUCAAUCGGAACUCCAAAAUUGGACUUCUAUAUAUAUUUGGCUCUAUAUCAUAUUUUAGAUUAAAUUAGACAUAGCAUUUAAAAAAAAAAAAAAAUUACUGUAUUCUUUCUCCAUAUUGUAAUGAAUUUUUCUUUCCACCGCUAAUUAUUUUGUUCUUGAGUUUGUGAUCAAUUAGUUCAUAUUGUGUCAUAUUUUCUUUUCUUGCCUAUUAUUACAACAGGUAACAAAACUUGCGAUAGCCACAUUCAAUAAAUAUACAUAUUUCUUUGUUCAAGAAUACGAAGAGAACAUACACUUCAAUGCCCCAGCAUCAAACUUAUGGUGCACAAUUUAUACAAUCAAAUGCUCCCAAAUGAAAAAUAUUUGGACUAAAGCCCUAGCUAAUUUAAGAAUAUGUUGUAUUUUUCUUCUUCGUCUCACCAUUUUAUUGUGGGUUCAAGUGCAACUAUAUGAUGUAUAAUUCCAUGUCUAUGGAGAUGUUCGUGAAAAGAGUUAACCUUCUAUCUAGUGACUAGUGUCAUUGUAAAAUCUAAAAAAAUAAACCUUGACAUGGAAUUAAUUAAUUAAUUAACAAAAUUAUGUUAAGGACGUUAAUAAAUAAAAUUCUUGCAAUUUCUAACUAUUUGAGUGGGUAAAGGAUAUCAUCCAAUAUCGUGUUAAAGUUAAUAUGGUGCAAAUUCAAGUGAAAAUUGGGAAUCCGGCAUGUAUGCUUUACUACAAGAACCAUGAAAAUAACAUGAUAGAGAAUUUUUGAAUUUAUUUAUUAUAAGGUGGAAAAACCUAUGGAUAGUUACUUGGAGUGUAUAUUUCCAUUUGUACAGAAAUUACAAUAUGUUUGAAAAUAACAUGAAUCAAUAUUUCUAUCUGUACAGAAAUUUUUCUCACAGAAUUCUACCAGAGUACUCCCUUGUGUGUAGGCCCCAUAUUUUGAUAAAAAAAAAAAAUGCCAAAAAACUCUCUCUCCACUCCUCUGUGAGUCAUUCAUAUCAAUUCGGUGAGCCUCCAUCUGUACAUGUUGAAGUGCUCCUAUAGAAUAUGAAUAAAUAAUAUCCUUUCUUUCUCGAUAGUCUAAGCGCCUGUCCGGCACCAAUUUCUCCCAGAUUUUCAUUAAUUUUUCUUACCGUUGGAGCAGAUUCCAAGUGUAAGAAGCAAGUCAACAAAGCUGUCUAAUUUGGCUAGAAGUUGACCGAAGUGUACGGUAACCUACUUGUUGAAUUUUCUUUAGUAUUCUUUAUUGGUUGAAUCAACAAAACCGGCAAAGCAUUUAUGCUUACACGGGAAAUUUGGGAAUUUGUCGACAUAACACACCUAUAGCAAAGUUGUACGCUCAAAGUGCAGCUUUGCCCCCGUUUUGGCCCCCAUUCAUUUUUAUUUUAUUACAUUUUAUUUUUCUCUCUUUUAUUUUCAAUCACAUAAUCUUACAUAAAAUAAUAUUACACAUAAAUCGAAAACUUUUCUUUCUUUUUUAACCAUUCAUUUUUUAAAAAAAUACUAUUCUAUCCAUUUUCAUUUCUACAAAAUGGAGGCCAAACGGGGGCUUUAUUUCCAAGAGCCUAGGACCAUUUGAUAUGGCCCCACUUCGCUUCCAUCAAAUAUCAUUUUAUUUUUUUCUCUUAUAUUUUCAACCACACAAUUUUUUAUAAAAUAAUAUUACACAUAAUUCGAAAAAAAUUUCUUUUUUUUUAACCAUUUAUUUUUCAAAAAAAUACUAUUCCACUUAUUUUCAUUUCGAAAAAUGGGGGCCAUGAUGUUAUAAUCAAAAUAUUUUGGCAAAAAAAGUGCACCCAAACAAGGCUAAGUUGUAAGUAAGUAGUCGUAUCAAAGCAUGUAAAUGACAUAGAUGGAAAAAAUGAAUCUAACGUGUAUAUGAAAAAAUGUAAAAAAAAUAAAUGAUUGUAUCGUAAUUUAAACUCUUAGAUUUGAUAUGAACAAGUAACAAUAUCCUCAAGUACACAUAUUGAGUUUUUGUUAAAUGCAAGUGUGCUGAGCAUAAUACUAAUGCAAAGUGCAUACUUGGCCCAUUGAAUCGAACGGACUUUAAGAGAGAGAGAGAGAGAGAGAGAGAGAGGUGUGAAAAUUUUGUGACUUGUUUUCACUUUCUAGCACAAUUCCUGGACCUAGCCGAUUUAAUACAUCUAUUUACAACAUAUUUGAUAAGGCGAAAUGGAGAUAUUAAGCACUAUUAAAGAGAAAAAGAUAGUCCAAUCUUAUAAAAGAUUGUCGAAAAUUGAAAAUUGUUGCAUAUCAAACAAGCCCGAAGAACUAACGAUUGAAAUUUUUGACAAGACAACUUUAUGAUAUUAUAAAUGUACUAUAUUCACUGAUCCUAUAUAGUGAAAUACUAAAUUAAGUGAAAAAUAGAAUUCAUCUAAUCGACUCUAAAUUCAUUAUAAAUAAGAUUUCACUCGCUAUUAUUUGUUAUUGGCGAUUGCAUAUUAACUUAUAUAAGUAUAUUGUGAAUAACUUGGCUGCAUUUCAUUGUCAUUUUUUGCUUUCUUUUCCUUAUUUGGCAGCCUAAUUAUUUGCACCAUAAAAUAUUAAUUACUUAGUUGUGUUUGAAAAUGGGAUAUGUUUUUAUCAUCUAGAAAACAAAACUAUAAUGUUGAAAGCGUUACUCAAAGACUCAUAAACUGAUCCAAAAUAUCAGGAAUUAACUUUACAAACUACCAAUUACUGAGUUGACUUAUGGUACACGAUUCCUAUAAAUAUCAAAAGGAAAUGUUCAAAGAAUAUUAAAUUGUAGACAAAUAUUGUUGAAAAUGCAAUUUAACUUGCUUAAAAUCUGAAAAAAGAGGGAAAAAAAAGCAUGGAGUAUCCUUUUUUUUCAGACAGAUGUUUCUAACACUAAACUAUUUAAUAAUAAUAAUAUACCUCCUGUUCUUCACGUUUUACAACUUAUGACUUGUCCAUGCUCAACUCCUACACUAAUAAUCUCUCUCUCUCUCUCUCUCUCUCUCUCUCUAUAUAUAUAUAUAUAUAUAUAUAUUCAAUAUGCCUACUGCUUCCAAAUUUUACAAGUUUUACACAUAUAAUUUCUCAUUCUCUCCAUCUCCUUUCUAGAUUUGUUUCAUACUUCCACGAUGAAGAUGGAAGAGAAAGGCAUUGAUUACACACAGGACGGGACUGUUGAUCUAAAAGGUAGACCUAUCCUCAGAUCAAACACUGGCAAAUGGAAAGCUUGUUAUUUCUUUGUUGGUAAGUAAAAAUAACUGGUAGGGUCUACCUACUAUUCGAUUCUAUACGUUCCAUGAUAUCAUUUUAUCAAGGUUUGCUUUAGAUUUUCUACAAACUGAGAAUGAUUAGAUUUAAACGCAGAAGUUUUGCUUCAUAGUUUCGUGUGCUAAUAGAAGCAGAACUCUUUUUUGCAAGUUAGAUCUUUUGUUUUGAGUAUGAGAAUUUAGAAUAGAAUUUAUGGACCCUCAUUGUGUUAUUACAGGGUAUGAAAUUUUUGAGAGGAUGGCAUAUUAUGGGAUUGCAUCAAACUUAGUAAUUUAUUUGACACGGAAGCUCCAUGAAGGCACUGUCACAUCUUCAAACAGUGUCACCAACUGGGUUGGUACUGUAUCGUUGACACCCCUUCUUGGUGCUUAUAUUGCUGACACUUUUCUUGGUCGAUACUGGACUUUCAUCGUUGCAUCAGUCAUUUACCUUGUGGUACUUCGAUUUCAUUUUAUCUCAAUUCUCAAGGUGUAUUUUCAUCGUGCAAGCUAUACACGAACAACUAGACAAUAUAAUGAACAAGAUUUGCUUAAUCUAUCGGAUCAUGCUUUUAAGAUAAUGUAAAAAUACACUAGUUUUGCUUGGUAUUUUCGACACCUCACAUGGAGGUAGGUGGGUUAAUUUUUUAGCACUGUUUAUUCAAGUGAGGCUGAUGCCUUUGUGAGUUCCUUGUAAAAAUUCUGUCAAGAAUUAAUCACACUGAUUUAUUCAAAGUACACAGCUUUAAACACGAUUGGACACUAAAAUGGACAUGGUUUUACUCUCUUUCUCUCUUUUAACAUUCUCUCGUAUUAUAUAGUUCGGCUUACACCAUUAGUAUAAUCAUUUAAACACGACCACGAAAUCCUUAUAAGACCGGGGAAAACAACUCUUGGUCAUAUUUCCAUUCCUUGUAACAGGGAAUGUGCUUAUUGACGCUAGCCGUUUCAUUGCCCGGACUGAGGCCUCCGUCUUGUGAGCACCAAGUAAAGGAGGCGGAUUGUGAUAGACACGCCUCAACAUUUCAAGUCGGCAUCUUCUACUGUGCAUUAUACAUAAUUGCAGUUGGAACAGGUGGAACAAAGCCCAAUAUCUCCACGAUGGGAGCAGACCAAUUUGAUGAUUUUGAGCCUAAAGAAAGGUUAC